UGCAGACAGAGGCAUUGGGAUAUAAAAUGACGUCAGUUUCUAACUGGCCUCAAUACUAUUUAGUAGCAUCGUUAAUGUAGUAAGCUCUAUUGAGGCUACGACUAUUACGAUACCAGCACCGAACACCCAACACUACAUAUGCAAAUAAGGUAGGAGUCGCGUCGACCAAUCAACAGCGAGUAGAUGCAUGUCACGUGCACCCGGUGAGUCGGUAAUUGUUAGAGAGAAAGCUUUCUUAUAAACUGUGUGUGGCAAAGUUACAGCGAAAGGUAAAAAUUACUUAAUUUUAUUUACCGCAACAACUAUAAUAAUAAUAAGUAAGAGAAAAAUGAAGUAAUUAUCUAAUGACAGUAGCAUUUUGUGGUGGUGCGGGGUGGCGUUUUCUUUUUUUUUUUUUUUUUUUUUUUUGCUCUGAUAAAUGAUUAUUUGUUUAUUAUGACCACCUCCACCCUCAAAGGAAUUAGUAUCAGAGGGGAAAAGAAAAAAUAAUUAAUUUAAAAUGUGUUUUGUAAAUUAAGAAUGACAGCAAUAAUUAUAAGGGAACCGAUUUUUGUAUUAGGAGAGAAGGUGGGGGCGAAAAGCACGAAAUAAAGAGAGAGAGGAAAAAAAAAACAAUUACGAAUAUAUUUUUGUUUGAAAUAGUAGUGGCAGAAAUAUAAGUGAAAGCAGGUUUCAAUAGUAGUGGAGUUCGCAAAAGCUGUCUUUCAACAUACACACGUAAAUGUAUACAAUUAUUUAUUUGUUCAUGCAUAUAUAUAUAUAUAUAUAUAUAUAUAUAUAUAUAUACAUAUUUAUUUAUUUACACUCAUAUGUACAUACAUAGAUACGUUUGGCUCAGUUCAUGUAGAAUUUAUAUAUAUGUUAUAUGUAUAUAUUGCGUGUACAUCUUUAUGCGAGUGUACAUCUAGUGAGCGAUUUAUAUAUAUGUAUAUACGUUUGUGUAAUGUGUUUGUGUGUGCAAAUUGUAUAUCGUAUAUAUGUGUUAAUUAUAUGCCGUACAUGUGUCUACUAUUCACUCUUUUCUAAAUAUAGGAUUUAAUUAUUGCUGGUAUUUAAUAUGUAUAUUUUAUCUUUGCUUGUUCACAGUUUCUCGGCUAUUUCGUUAUUGUGUACCUCUUCCGAUUCUAACAUCACCAAACUUUCUAUACAUAUGUAAACCUCAAGAACAACUGGAUUAGCAAUUUUUAACCAACAAGUUUGUGGAUUAUUUUUUCCGUUUACACUUAAAUCCUUAUACAACAACUCUGCUGGAUGAACAACAGCUAAAACCAUAUAUAUAACACACAAAAAACGAAAGGUAAUACAAUUAUUACUUCUAAUAACGAUAACCAAUAUUUAUUCUACGAAUAUUUAUUUAUUACAUGUGUGUCGUAUGUAGAGUAUAAAACCUGAUGAUGUGGCCUUCACACCAUAUCCAGUUGUGUAAGCACUAAUAUUUAAAGUAGUAGCAAUUCGGGAUUAAUGCCAUGUGUGUUGUUCUCUCGAUUAUUUUACUCAAGACAAUUUGUGUGUGUGUUUUAUAUAUAAUGUAUGUAUAUAAUAUACAGUUCAUUGGAGGUUAAAACCUAAGUCGUGACUCGGAGAUUUAAUUCUCAUAAAAUAUAAACAUUAUCCAACUAUUAAGUGCUCUCUUUACCCAAUGUUGUUCGUAUAUAUAUAAUGGGGAAGGCCGGUUUAUGGGAUUUAAUUUUAAUAUAUACUGCUUUACAUAUUAGAAUGUGCUACUUUCGGAUUUAUGUUUAUUUUACAAAUUAUAUAUAUAUAUAUAGGUGUAAGCGUGGCCGUGUGGUUGUGGAAUUUGCUACCCAAUCACAUGGUUUCGGGGGUACAGUCUCACUUCGUGAUACCUUGGUUAAGUUCCUCCUAUAGUUUCGAGUCGACCAAAGACGGAAACUAAAAGAAAAUUGUCAAACUGUCAUCUAUAUGUGUGUGUUUGUGUGCGCUCUUGUCUUGAUAUCGCGUGAUAAGAUGUAUAUGAGUAUCACUGUCACACACGCAAUGUGCGACAGUGUCAUCAUUUGCAGUUAUUCUACAAAAGCAUGUCUAGCCAUGGGAAUGUAUUACCUUCCGUGAAAACAGGUUCGGAAUGGAGAUAUGAAGGGCAUCUGUCUAUAGAAAAAAAUUCUGCCCCAGUGAAAGUGAAAACUCUGUCCAACUCAUGCAAGCAUUGGAAAAUGGACGUUUAAAUAAUUAUAUAUAUAACUGAUUGGCCCUAGGUCAGCCUUGAUAUACAACUCUAAGCAUUCCAGCAGGAACUAUCUUGUCUUAGCUUUUAAAACAGUGUUUCGAGGACUGCAUUAUAUAAGGUGUCCUUGGCUUUAUAUAUACAUAUAAAGUGUGGUUUGAAGGAAAUUUGGCUGCUAUUUCUAGCUCGUCAAUUCAUUACACAGUCUCAUUCGUUGGCUCUUGUAUAAAAUUACUUAUAGGGUAUGGUUGGUUGUCGUUUUAAUCAACUGUACUUUAGUAAUGCUACUUUCAUUAUUGACUUACUGACGGGAUUUGCGAUAAUUAACAUUACUCAUUUGCCAAGAUUCGUGUCCUUUUUUUUUUUUUUUUGUAAGAAUAAUUUUUGAACUUCAUUAAAAAACAAAUCAAGGAAAAGCAUUAUGACUAUUCCUACGGAUAGAAUAAAAAUACGCGUUUGCGGGCACAACACACAGACAUAUAUAUAUAUAUAUACAUAUAUAUAUAUAUAUAUAUAUAUAUAUAUAUAUAUACACACACACACACACUUAUAUUCUUUAAAUUAAUACAUAUAGAUAUAUGCGGUGGUGGGAGAGAUGUAGGUGUUUAAAAUGUGCCUAUACGCAUAAAAAUAGGCAUAAACAAAAUGUAAUAUGUAUGUAUAUUUAUGUGUGUGUGGAUCAUCGUGUAAGACAUACAUAGAACUGGAUAUCAAUAUGGUUAUACAUGUAGAUAGAAAGAUAGGGGUUGUUUAAUUCAUAACCAUGAGUAAGACAAUACAUUUUGUUUUGCCUGAAGGCCUCUUUAUAGUGUCCUGGCUUUGAUCGUGUAAAUUUGUCACCUCCCAAAAUAUGUGUAUAUAGAUAGAUCGAUAGAUAUGUAGGUAUGUAAGUAUAACUGUAUUUAAUAUACAUAUAUAGGCGCAGGAAUGGCUGUAUGGUGAGAAGCCUGCUUCCCAACAACAUGGUUCCGGGUUCAGUCCCACUGCGUGGCAAGUGUCUUCUAUAGCCUCAGACCAACCAAAGCCUUGUAAGUGGAUUUCGUUGACGGAUACUGAAAGAAGCCCGUCGUAUGUGUGUGCGUGUCUGUGUUUGUACCCCCCUCCAUCACUUAACCGAUGUUGGUAUGUUUACGUCCCCGUAACAUAUCGGUUCAGCGAGAGAGACCGAUAGAAUACUAAGCUUACAAAGAAUAUGUCUGGGGUCGAUUUGUUCGACUAAAGGCGGUGCUCCAGCAUGGCCAUAGUCAAAUGACAAACCAGUAAAAGAAUAUAGAUGCAGAAAUAUGUGUAUAUACCUACAGACACAUGUUUAUAUCUAGAUGCAUGUAUAGUUUUAUUUUACAGAUUUGAUGUUUUAGUAAAGAAGUCCUGCUUUCGUUAAAUCAUAGCUAAUUCCUCUGCAAAAUAUUUUGUUUCAGAAGAGUUAUUUAUGAAUUAGCAAAAGAUACGUUUCUCUGCUCAGACAUUAAAUUCUAUAAAACAAAGCCAGUUGCUUUACAGAUAUAUUUAAUUUGUAUAGAAUGCCCUUCAGAUUUCUGGUUCCCACCCCAAAUAUAUAUAUAAGCAGGUAUGGUUUGGCACAUCUGUGACUGUUGUUAAGCUGUUCGCUUCUAACUACAUAGCUUCAGGUACUGUAAGAGUCAUUAUUAUAGAUCUGACUGACCAAAAACUUGCAUGCAAAUUUGGUAGAUAGAAACUAAAAAAUUGUUGUGCGUGUAUAUAUACACACACACACACACACACACACACACAUGUCUUCCUGCUUGGUAUCAUGUGUUAAUUAUAUAAAAGUACCAUCCUCAAGUAAGCAAUGUUCCUUUAUUAUCUUCUAUGUCCAGGCUUGGGGAAAUAUUACCAUGCAUGAGAACAAGUGAGGAUUUCCAACAAGAAUAGUAUUUCGUCCUUACAAAAUCUACCUUGAUGAAUUUUGUCAAACCCGUUCAAAUAUGGGGACCCAAGAGUGAGUGUGCUAACAUGUAGUAAAGUACAGGAAGCAAGUACAACAGGGUGGAGUUAGUAUGUUGAUAGGUAAAAAGGAUGGGCCUGUGCAGCCUCUCAUGUAGGCCUAGGGUCAGACUAAUGGAAAACAGAUGGUAUAUAUAUAUGAAACAUAUGUGCCCAUGUGUGUAUAUACAUAUUUGAAUAUCUUUCACAUAUUCAUCUCUAGCCACCUGUCACUCUCCUCUCACUCUCUUGCAUAUAUAAAAUCAAAUAAAUUAGAUGUUGUGGUUAGAAUUUUCACCCAUAAUUGAAUGUUCAUUUAUUCAAACAACUAAACUCUCAGGUUCAUUAGAUUAAUAUAUGUGGAUGAAUAUUCAUCAGGUGUGUACCCUAAACGUAAUUCUCAGGCAGAAUCAGCAUGACAAUAUGUGACAGGGCUGAAACUUUUGAGUUACAUCUUUAGUGUAACUGUAGCAGCCCAUCAAAUAGAUUAUGUAUGUGUGUGUGAGUAUAUAUGUACAUAUAUAUAUAUAUAUAUAUAUAUAUAUAUAUAUACACACACACACACACACUCACGUGUGUGUAGCUAUGUAUGUAUAUCUCAAAACCUUGCAAAUAGUCACUUCCCUCUCUACUAUAUUCCUAUUCAGUCAGCUGUAUCUUGGCUUUGUCAGUGGCAUGACAACCUCACCAAUGCUGGUGCCACAGAAAAAGCACCUAGUACAUUCUGUGAAGUGGUUCAGAUUGGGGAGGAUAUCCAGCUAUAGAAACCGUGCUAAAUCAGAUGUUCAAGCCUAAAGUUGUCCUUAUUGGACCCUAUCAAACUUCCCAAGUUGUGUCAGCAUGGAAGAUGGACAUUAUUAACCCUUUAGCAUUUAAACUAGCCAGAUCCAGCCUCUCACACUAUCCUACAAUGUUACUGUAAAAUUAAACAGGCACAUCUUUGAAGUGUUGAAGCUACAAGGUAAUGCAUGGUUAAUUCAAAACAAUGUGAAUAAAUAAGCAUUACAUCUGACUGUAAUCUCAAUGAUAAAGGGUCAAGUAUAAUGAUGAUAAUAUAUACAUAAUGAUAUAUAUAUAUACACACACACAUACAUAUCUAUUAUAUAUAUAUAUAUAUAUAUAUAUAUAUAUAUAUAUAUAUUUAUAUACACACAUACAUAUCUAUUUAUAUAUAUAUAUAUUUAUAUACACACAUACAUAUCUAUUUAUAUAUAUAUAUAUUUAUAUACACACAUACAUAUCUAUUUAUAUAUAUAUAUAUAUAUUUAUAUACACACAUACAUAUCUAUUUAUAUAUAUAUAUAUUUAUAUACACACAUACAUAUCUAUUUAUAUAUAUAUAUAUAUAUAUAUACACACAUACAUAUCUUAUAUAUUUAUAUACACACAUACAUAUCUAUUUAUAUAUAUAUAUAUAUACACACAUACAUAUCUUAUAUAUAUAUAUACACACAUAUCUAUUUUUAUAUAUAUAUAUACACACAUACAUAUCUAUUCAUAUAUAUAUAUAUAUAUAUAUAUAUACACACAUACAUAUCUAUUUAUAUAUAUAUAUAUAUAUAUAUACACACACACACACACACAUACAAACAUUUUAUUAAAAAUAGUUAUGUUCAAGUUGUUACAUUUUUAAUUAAUGCUUUUUCAUAUUUCUGUGAAAGUUUCUUGCAGUCUGUUUAGAACAGUAAAAUUCCUAGAUCCAUAACUAACAUUUCUAUACUUUCACAGUCUCAUCAUCAGGAUAUAAAAUAUACUUAGCUCUGUAUUUAUUGCCUCUUUUAUUGUAGUGAAAUUUAUGUAGAAUUUACUGUCAAGAAUUUUGAGUAUUAAGUUUCCACAUCAGCAAUCACAUGUUAAUUUUGUUUUAUUAUAGUCAAAUUAUGGAGGGUUACUGCCCCAAUUUUUCUAACAUAAAGCUUCUAAGUAAGCAGUCACAUAUUAAAUUUUUUGAUGUGAGUACUGCUUGUGUGUUUUAGUGAUGUGUUGCUAAUAUAUGUAUGUAUAUAUAAUCAUUCUUUUAAAGCCCACUUUUCUGUGUGUACAUAUAUAUUAAUGCUUUUUUGUUAUUGAGUUAUAAUAAAAACAGUUUAACAUUAAAUUGAUGGAAUACUCAAUACUUUUUUUUAGAGUACUUUUUAUACAUUUAGAAGAAUAGUAGUGACAGUGACUUCAAAGUUUGGCCUCCUAGCCUUCCUCUUUUAACUAAAUCAUCUUCCCAUCAUCAUGACAACCUUUCCAAGUAGACCUUUCUGGUUUCUUGGAUACCAUUCAGCAACUGCUUGAGUCCACCUGCUCUCUGUGAACCAGUGGAACCUGUGCUUUUGAUAUUGUGUGAUCACACAUAUGUGUAAGUGUGCAUGUUCAUAGUAGAAAUGUGCUGAGAGAAAAACUGGUCAUAAGAGGAGUCAGAUGUGAUGUAUAUGGCCAUAUAAAGAAGUGCUGAUCACUUACUGUGAAUAGAUCUUGCUGGAGAGGAAGACCCAGAAUACAUGGGAUGAAAGGCUGAUCUCAGGAUCUUGAAACUCAUGGAGGAGAUGACAAGGGACCACACUGACUUGUGAUAUUUGAUUCCCAAUAAGAAACUCCCAACUCCAAGAAACUAGGGUUCAGAAGCACUGUUCAUGUGUGUGUGUGUGUGUGUGUGUGUAUAUAUAUAUAUAUAUAUAUAUAUAUAUAUAUGCACAACUAGACCCUUAACUCAAAUUUCCUCACUGAGACACUUCCACCACCCUUCAUACCUCUAACUGCAGCCUUUCCUUGAUACUGCUAACUUUUCUCACUGUCUGAAAUCAUUUUACUUGAUAUCCAUCUCUAAUCCUUCCUUAAAACUGUCCUCUCCACCCUCAUUUUGCAUUACCCACCCCACCAAGUCCAUUACUAUUUUGCUGCUCACCCUGUUAGUGGUCGCCACAAACCCUUAUCCACCGUUUACUACAUCAAUUCCUCAACCUUACUCAAUCUCUGCAGUUGUCACCUACUCUUCUCUACCUCCCCUACUCAAUAUUUAUUGUUCAUUCAUUAUAUCCACUGCCUCACCCAUCCCUCAUCUCUUUGUUCAAUCCACCUUUGCAACUGUCAACCACCACAUUUCUGGUUCCUCUGCCCCGUUCACUUCUACUCACUUUGUACAUUGAGGAUCCACACAAAUGCUUCAACUAAAUUUUACAAUUUUACCCACUCCACCCCACCCUCCUGAUCUAUUCUAAAAUAAUAGUAGCUCUAUGGCCUUCUUUGUAGCAAGAAACUUGUUCUGCUUUGACCCUCUUCUUUCAUACUUUACACCUUAUCUCCUAACAAAUAAACUCUUCUCUCAGGAAACAGUCUUGCAAGCAGCAUGGCAACCUCAUUAGUGCUGGUGGUGCAAAAAAGACACCAGGUGCAUGUGUUGUAAAGUGGUUAGUGUUAUGAGGGGCAUCCAGCCAUCAUAGGUAAAGGGACAUAAUGCAGUUCUUGGACCCCUCAGAUCCUAUCAGAUCUUCCAAACCAUGCCAGCAUGGAACAGACAUUUAAUGAUUAUGAUGAUAUGCAAGUGUGUGUGUUUGCAUAUAUAUAUAUGUUGUGUUUAUACGUAUGUAUCAUACUGACAACCCUCAUUUAUGGUUAUCACAAAUUACAGAAUUUCAGUCACAGAAAUUAUAAUAUAUGGCCACUUACUUUGGGAUGCAGUUUGUAAUUUCACCCUUGUGGGAACUCAUAUGAAACCAUACUUUCUUCUUAGCCAAAAAUUUGUUUCUUGGCAUUUUAGGUGAGAUCAAAGUAGUAAACAAUUUGAAAAACUAUAAUCAUAAUAUAUGCAUGUAUGUGCAUGUAUAUAAAUAUCACUAUCCACACCACAUUUAAACAACAAUAUAAUUAACAAGAACAAUAUGACCAUUGCUACCAUCAACAAAAUCCCUACCAAAACCAGUACAAUCCACCACUACUGACCCACCAAAUUUUUAAUAAGCAACUUGAAACAACAAUAAUAGUAUCAGCAUUAUAGCAAUGUCUGUAGCUACAUAUUUUGUAUGUGAAACAACAGUAUGAAAGAGAGAGACAGCUUGUGUGGUUGGCUUUUGUGGCUAAAGUCAGAAGUGCAAGUGGUGUAGUAUCAUGUACCUGAUGACCCUUCAACUAUAAUCUUACAGUAUUUCCUCUCACGUCAAUCCUUCACCCUUUUAUCUUCUCAUUUAAAUCCUUACAUAAGACAACAUAUUUUGCUGUUACACAUAGUUCUUUCUUUGUGCUAUUUAUUACUGCAUAUUUGUUGUGGAUAAUUGAUUAUCACUUUGGCUGUUAAAUUUACCUGCAAUUCAAGGUGUUUGGAAAGAAGCCAUCAGGCGGAACUGAAGCUAAAAGUGUAAAAAGAAACAGUAAAGGAUUACAUUGGAUAUUAAACUUGCAGUUUUAAAAGAGGUUUGAUGUAGGAGAAAAAAUGUCAACUAGAUUGCAAAAGCUUUAAAGCUUUACAACAUUCACAGUUUGAACAAUACAUGAGAAUGAAAAGAAAAUUAGGUCAAGUAGAAGCUGCUUCUUUUACUACUUAUUUUUUCAUAGAUCUAAUAUCAUACUUAAAUGGAACAGUUCCUGGCUGUAUAGAUCAAGGAUCUCUUACCAAUAGUCAUAAUGGUGAUUUAAAGAAAAACAAAACAAUAGUCUUUAUGACAAUUUGCAGUAAAUAUUAGGUAAAACUUCUAAUGUAAAACCAUUUUUUUUUUGCUUGUAAAGGUUUGCUUUAAAGGUUUAAGAAGUACUUGAAUUUGUACAACACAAAAAUGAUUGAUAAAACAGUUGCUGCUGAUACAAAGGCUGCUACUAAUUAUCCUUAGCAGCAGAAGAGAGCUACAUACCAGAGCAAAUAUACAAUGCACUUUUCUGGAAAGGCAUUACCUGCUAGAAUUUCUGUUUCUUGAAGAAGAAAAAACUAACACCAAAAAUCAUCCGGUGCUUCUUCUGGGAGGAAAUGCUGCUGGUGAUACAAAAUUAAAUCCUCUAUUUAAGUAUUACUUUGAAAAUCUAAGGGCUUUCGAGAAUUGUGUAAAGUUUAAUCUCCCUUUUUCUGUUCAAAUAAGGAAGUAUAUAUAGCUAAAUGCCUUUCUGGAGGGUGGUUUACAAUUAUUUUUUGAUCUGCUAUAAGAAGGUAUAAUGUCACACAAUGCCACACAUAUUUCCAACAAAGCAUUACUCCUUUUAACAAAUGUACCAAGCUACACAGUGAACUUUAAUGAGUUUUCCAAUAAUGUGAGGAUAGAAUGCUUCCUCAUGAAUACUUAUUUGCACCAGCAAAUGGAUCAAGAUGUGACACCUCAUUUCAAUGCAUAUUAGCAGAGAACUUUCUAAUAACUUAUGAAAGCAGUUAAAUGGGAGAAUAAAGCUACUGUAAGAAACUUUUGGAGGAAGUUCAACUCAGUGGAUGCUAUGGACAGCAUUGCUGAAUCAUGGGAGGAAGUGAAACCCUAAACUUAAAAUGGUGCUUGGAAAAUAUAUGACCAGACUGUAUAUGUGGCUUUACAAGCUUUCCAUACACAUAAUGUCUACAUCAGAUUUGGAAAAAAAAGAUAUUGUAAUACUUGCAAAUGAGGAUGGAUUUAAAGAAGUCAUUGAGGAUGAUAUGGUUUAGUUGCUAGUGUCCCAUAGACAAAGCAAGUUGAGAAUAAGGAAAUUCCACCAACUCCACUGAAAUUAACUGCAAAGAAUAUUGCCAAGGAGUUGGCAUUUAUAGGUCUGCAAGUUUUUUCUCAAUUAUCCUAGUCAUGAACAUAGCAAAAAUUACACGGAAUUUACAAUAAGCUUCUUUCUAUCACUGUGUGGUAAAAAGAGAUGAUAUACCAUAAACAGUAGUUUUAGAUAAGUUGAUGAUGAAGUAUUAGUAGAUAGUGUCCCUCAUCCUCCCAGUAGCCCUCACACAAACAUUUUUUGUAGUAAAAAUAUAACCUAUUACAAUAUUACAUUCUUAUUUAUCUUCAACUGUUUUCAUGUAUACAUAUUGUACUAUGUUUAGAAAUUGUUUACAUGCAUCAAAGUGGUUGUGUUCCUUGUAUUUUUUGGUGGUGGUUAUUUUUUCCAAAACACAAAAAUUGAUAAGAAUACAUUAUCAUUUUAUUAUACGGAAAUGAAUGGGGAAAAUUAAUUCCACAUUACAUCAAACUCUUCCUCAUAUAUAUAUAUAUAUACACACACUCUUUACUCUUGUUUCAGUCAUUUGACUGUGACCAUGCUGGAGCACCGCCUUUAGUCGAGCAAAUCGACCCUAGGACUUAUUCUUUGUAAGCCUAGUACUUAUUCUGUCGGUCUCUUGCCGAACUGCUAAGUUACGGGGACGUAAACAUACCAGCAUCCGUUGUCAAGCGUUGUUGAGGGGGACAAACACAGACACAAACAUAUACACACACACAUAUAUAUAUGACGGGCUCUUUCAGUUUCUGUCUACCAAAUACACAUGCGAAAUGAAAAAGAACAUCUCAUAACCACUAUUGGUGUAAUUAUCAAUAUUUCCAUACCCCCGCUCUCUCUCUCUCUGUUAAGUUUUGAUGAAUGAUGAUACUGGAUAAUACUUCUCUCAUUUUCAUUUUUACCUUGAUGCUUGUGCAUCUGGUGCCUCAGAUAAAAACUGAAGUAUUUUUAAAGUAUAUCCACAUCUUUGCUUUGUAUAUCUUUGUAUUUUAGUGGGCUAUUUAAAAUGUCUUCUCUUAAACCUUAACUUUUCUUUACUUUAAAUGGAAAUUGGCAUUCAGUCCAUAUGGCUUUCAAUCCCCAAGUUAGUUGCUAGACCCUUCAAGAGCUUCCUACUAUAUAUAUCGCUGCAUAUCUUUUAUAUCUUUGCUCUGGGAAUUAGAGCUUCAGUUCUUCUAUUGCACUGGGACAGUCUUCUUGUAACAGCAUUCAAUUUCAUGAAACUCUGCUGUUAGUUUAACGCUAUGUUGUCUAUAAUUAAGAGCAGAAGCAACCAAUGUUUUCUACUGGACCAACAUAGUUUUCUUCUUUUGUUCUGAAUUAUCUCAAAAUCCAGCCAACCAGUUGCCCACACGUUUCCAUUUUACAAAUAUGUACUCAGUAUAACACUAUUAUUCAUGUGGAUACCCAGAUCACACACUGAUGGUAAUUCCAGGAUUGCAAAACCUGUGGUCUUGUGUAUUCAGAUUGCAAUCUGUGGACUGAUGGCAGAACACUUAAAGAAUUUUGAACUGCAUGUUGUUUUCUUCAACUCUCUAUAAAUUGGAUUCAGGUCUGUCUAACAUUACGUUAUCAGGGUGCUGAGAGACUCUGCAAUGAAUUGAUAAUUCCCCAGGGACAGUCACUCACCAAAUUUUCCAACUAUGGCAAGGUCAUGUAGCUUGUGACAUAUCAACUUUAUUAAAGGCUAUGGCAGACUCAAAAUAUUGAUUGUGCUGCUGUCUUUCUUACCAUUCAUAAGGCUAUAGUGAGCUGUGUUAGGCUAAUUUGUGCAUGGAAGCCGUACUGCAUGUUUAAGCCAUUUUCUUUGUGAUCAGCUCCUUUCUGACAAUGUGUUCCAUGACUUUGUUGAUGUAUGAGAUCAGAAAGAUAGUUCCAUGACUUCUAACAUGUUCUACUUCCUUCAUUUAUGGAUAGGGCACAUACCAUUCUUUAACUUCUUGAGAUUCUGUGCUACAUCCAAGACAGCUUUGAAACAGCAUAUGCUAUUGCUUUGCUAGAGCCUUCUUAUGUCUUUAAAAGAAUUGAUGGCAAAGCAUUAGGGUCUGUUGCUAAGUUCAAGUUUAUCUCAUCAUUAGCAAAUAUUACAUACUCCUCUUUUAUGUUACACAAUCAAUGGAUUCCUCUUCACUGUGUAGAGCUGCAGUUUUGAAGAACUAUUCAGGCUUGUUUAGCUGCAUAUCUUUACAAUUUAGAGUUGUUUUUGUAUUUAACUUAUUCUUUCGAGGUCUUCAGUUAAUUUUCUUCAGUGGUACUCUCCUGCAAAGCUCUAGAGCAGAUUUUUUUUUGUGCAAGGGCUUGGGGUUUUCUUAUAUAUUUCCGCUAUCUUGUUUGUUUGUUUUUCUUCCUCCUUUCUUUUUCAUAGGAGAGCCUGAUUUUCUCUUUGAUUUCUAAAAAUACUUUUUUGGAAGUGCAACUCCGAACCCUUAAAUUAAAUGAUUUGGAAUCUUUAUUCUUUCUCAUAAGGAUUAUCUUGUCUCUGAAAAUAAUGUUUUUGUGUGUAUUGGUUCUUUGGGAUAAAUUUAAUGAAUAUGGCAUGUAUUGACUUACACAGGAAAACUUUUAGGAUCUCUUAUUGAACUAAUUUUCAAUCAGCUUUGUACAAGUUUAUGCUGGACAGGGUUCAGGUGUUUCCUGUGUGAUAUACAUCUUCAAUUUAAUUUGGGCCAUACAUUGUUAGUUUAAGUUAUAUGAGAAAAUCAUUUUGUGGACAACUUCCAUGUUAUUAGUAAAGCAAUGAUCCAAGAUGUUGUUGCUCUUGGUCAGGCACAACAUUGUCUCCCUUGAGCAUCAAUUUAGUGUGAUCAAGUUGUAUUUUUGCUUGAUUUUGCUCUUGGCAUGACAUUCCUGAGAUUACAUCACCUUUAAGCCAUUUGAUGUAGGAGUAAAUUGAAACCACACCACAGAUGUGUUGAUUUAGUUUCGUUAGUACCUUUUUUAUCAUUCGAAUGUUUUCCUUAAAUUUACCUUUAUGAUUUAAGGAGUCCUUGAAUGAUGUAAUAUACAUAUUAUCACAUCAAUUUGCUUUAUGUGUACUAUUAUUUGUGAGUCACAGACCAUUUGAAUAUGAUAGCAAGAUUAAUGACAUGACAUCUUUGUGGUUGUACAUAGCGACUCCACCAUUAUUUCUUUUUUCCUCAUUCUUUCGUCCCCGUAUCUCCGCAUCAACUGUGUAUAUAUCUAUAGACAUGUAGUAUAUGUGUGUAUAUGUAUAUUUAUGUGGUUACUGAUAUGUAUAUGUGUGUGUUAUAUAUAUAUAAGAUCCUAUGGGAUCCAGCCACAAACUUAUGGGUGGAAUGAUGUUUCUUAUUAGCAAACCUUAAACUGUCACUACUGCAUAGUACCAAAAGUUCCACCGUCCCUCUGCUGUAAAGCUUCAGUUUCAAUGAAUAGCCCACAUUUUUCUACAUUAACGGAAAGUUUUAAAGAUCUGCUGUGAUAGUUGUGGACAUUUUCAAGAGACACGUCUUAGAUGCCAGAUGGACCUGUGACAUGGCAUGAAACCGAAAUGAGGGUGGCAAUGUUCCCCACUCUCAGAGAAAUGAAAAGAAUUAAAAAUCACUCCCGUGGUUGUGCUCCAUCAAGCCACGACCCCUAGCUAGAACAGGUAAAAGUAAUGUGUGUGUGUGUGUGUGUUUGUCUUUCAUUCCUCCGGGGUCGAUGGUUCGACUGGCCCCCUCCUCUUAAGAUUGCUGGCCUUGUAUCAAAAUUUGAAACCAUUAUUAUUACUGUCAUCAUCAUCUCUCUCUACUUACAAGACUGAUGUUAUUUAUCCCUCGUUUACUUUUAAUAUUUUUUCUCAUUCCCACGUAUUUGGCUGUUGUCUAUUCUGUCAUGUCUAUAAAUGUAAUAAAGAAUGUCUCGCAGAUUGCCCAUACUAUAAUUAAGAAAUAGAGCUCACUAAUCGCUCAUAAUAAUAAGUAAGGAAUAUCUCACACAUCGCACAUAAUAAAUAAGAAAUAUCGCUCACACACCGCACACAUAUAAUAAUAAUAAGUAAAUGGAGAACGCGAUGAGGAUAGUAAGAGGAAAGCAGCUCUGAUCCGGGUGAGUAAUGGGAUAUGGUAGAAAUAUGGCUGCCACUGGUUGUUGUGUGUGCCAUUAUGUCUAUAUCUACUAUACUCUUACAGAUAAAUUAUAUUUUCUAUACAAAGCAGAUUAUAUAUGUAUAUGUGUGUGUGUGUGUGUAUAUAUAUAUAUAUAUUGCAUCGAGUCAAUAUGUCGUCUACGCUGGUGCCCACUUUGCUAGAAAUAGAAACCAAAAUCUGCCUGAUAUUACAAAGUCUAUCGCCCUAAAAAAGAAAGAAAAUGACGUUAGAUAAUGUGCUCUGGAAUACCGUCUGCUUCAGAAGAAUAAAAAUGUAGGAUGGUCACGGUUGAAAGGCCAUUCGUCAUGCAUCUUGCUCAUGACCUGGUGUUAAAACAGCAACCUAGUUUCCGAUCUAUCUAUCUAUACACUCGCGCGCGCGCACGCACACACACACACGUAUGUAUAUAAUGCGCGCAUCUGUGUUCUUUUGUCUCUUAAUUAUUUUUAGAAAUGUCUAUGUACCAAUUCCUUCUCUGUCUCUUUCUAAUUUUAUUGAAGGUCUUGUUUACCACCAUUAUUUUUUUUUUACAUAUCUCUCCAUCCCUCCCUCUCUCUUUCUGCCUCUCUCCAGUUAUUGUUUCCUCUCACAAUCCUCUCUCUCUCUCUCUCCAUGCUCAUAACUUUUCUUCUGCCUUUCCUUUAAAUCUUCUCAUUAUUUCACCAAUCUUCCGGCUAACGACGAUCCACCGAUUCUACAAGUUAGUAAUAGAGAUGUAUAUAAAUCAUGUCUGUUGUAUAAACGUGUGUGUAUUUGUGUCAAUACCAAUAUAUACAUAUGUGUGUGAAUAUAUAUAUAUUUGUGUGCUCGUAUAUAUAUUUAUGUAUGUAUGUGGAGGUGUUAGCCCGCCUUUCCAAACUAAUAAUAAUAUUCCAUGUCUCAUAUAAAUGUCUGAAGAAUCAGCCGAUUACACUUGAAUGGUUUUUUUUUAUUAUUUUACCCCAUUUUCCGUCUCCUAUUCCUUUAAUUAAACCAAGUGAUUUUAAAUUAUAUCCCCAACGUCUGGGAACUAGAUGGACGUAACUAUCAUUUCUUUGGUGUUUUCGCCCAAGCAAAUUGUCAGCCCGUGUUUUCUUUCCCAAAAUUUAUUUUAAUAUUUCUGACAGCUCUCUGCUCGUUCGUCAAUUCUUCUUUCUCUCCACAAUAAUGAUAUUCCAGUGAAUUAAGAGGCAAAGUUGUGUAGGUGUUCAGUUGAAGAGUUUUAUACCUAUUGCUUCCGCAACAACACAGAUUUUAGAAUCUUUUUAGCUGCUUCAUUACAAUGUUGAUACACAGGGCUUAAUAGGGACUUUCGGCCCUAUUUCAAUAGGGCUUGUACACACACACACACACACACACACAUAUAUAUAUAGAUAGAUAGAUAGAUAGAUAGAUAGAUAUGUGUGUGUAUAUAAUUUCGGUAUGAACCGAGGGGUUUACUUCAUUAAGGUCAUCUACAGGUAUUGGCUAUCAGAUAAGACAGUAAUCUGGAGAUUGUUUUACCAAACAUAUCUGAAAAUCCAAAUAGCCGUAGUUUUUAUUAUGACAAACAAAAAGAGUGAAGUGAGCAAGUCUUUAUUUCAUCAAUUACAAAACACUUUCUCAUUCCGUUUUUCCUUGUCAUUAAUAAUGUGUGUGUAUGUUCAGUGUGUAGAAGAUAGAUAGAUGUACAGACACACGCAUACGCACAAAAUAAAUUAUCUCAAUAAUGACGUUUUAAAUAACCUAAUUGAAAAUGAUUUUCGUGUGUGUGUGUGUACACUUUGAUUCUUUGUCGGAAUAUUUCUUGUGUAUAUGUAGAUGUUACUCCUGAACAAUGUUGCACUCGGAUCAGUCUUACAAGCUAAAACUCUGAGUGGGAAUUUAACUCGAGUGCGUGUGCGUGUGAAAACCUAGAAAUUCCUUGUUGCCUUAAAUUACUCCGAUUUACUGUCAGAAUCCAAUACAUUUUGGAUGUGUGUAUGUCAUUAAUUAAUGGCCUUCCAAAGGCAACUUGAAAUUUUACUCUAGCUUUUCUUUCUGUUCCAAUUUAUUAUUUUAAAUCUCCUUUCUUCGACAACGUUAAAUAGCAUGUAUGUAUAUAUAUUUAUACACACACACUAACACGUGUGUAUGCGUGUGUGUGUAAUAUAUAUAUAUAUGUGUGUGUGUGUGUGAGAGAGAGAAAUAUACACAAACACACACGCACAUACAUCUAUCGUUUCUAGCAUUCCACCAUCUUUGUACUCUACUGUUGUAUUUCGCACCAAUUUCUUUGUUGAUAUCCUACAUUUUCACUUUCAUUUCGUUAUUUUAACAAAUAUUAAUCCCCACGUCUUGUUAUUUUUACUCGUUAACACUAAGAAAGCCUUUCUAAAAGUGAACGUGGGAAGAUAUAUAAAUAAUAAUAUAUAAUGUCUUGGUAGGGAGGAAAUGGUUUUCUGUGUUGGAAUUUUCGAUUCCGCUUCAUCUCGGAAAGCUUUCUCUCUGGAUAUGUUUACUGAGCUGCUAAAAAUGAUGCAAUUCUGUGUUUAAUGCGGAGGAGGAGAACAGUAGAAAAGUGUUUGGUGCUUUUGUCGUAUUGCAUUAUGCCGCAGAUCAAACCAUUUUCUUCCUGACCUAUUCCGCUUCUAUGGAGAAUAUUGUUUUUUUCCCUUUCUGUUUCUCACGUUAUAUAUAUAUAUAUAUAUAUAUAUAUAUAUAUAUAUAUAUAUAUAUAAACAUUAUAAUUAUUCAUUCUUAGAAUUACCAGUUCUUUUUAACUCGUUGCCAAAUGCUGGGGAUCUUAUAUAUUCUUUUGCUUCUAUCUCUUUUUGUCGUGUGAGGUUCGCCUCUUGUAAUGUAUUUUGGGAUUUAUAGAAGAUCCUUGCUUCUUCAGCUUAAAUAUUGUUUAAAAAUUCCUGUUGACCUCCACCUCUCAUCAUAAUUACGACAAGUAGGGGAGAUUUAUUGUGUAUUAACUAUUUUUACAUAUGAUGCUGCUGCUGCUAUCAGCAAAUUUUAGUCGACUCUGCUGGAGUAAGGAAGGAAUCAGGUUCUUUGGUAAUAGCACCAUAUUGAUACUGUAUUGUGUUCUACACCAUGUUAUCGUUAGUUCAGCUAUAUAACGUUCUGCCUGUGAAUUUUAAAUCUAGGUCUUGUAGGGGUUUUUUUAGAGGUUCCUUUGAUCAUCUAUUUGUUACACAACGUGGAACUCCUCUUGGAUGAAUCACGCAAAUAUCUUCUGUGAAGCUUUAAAAUUUUUAGUUUUUGCCUUCAAGGCCUCAUGCAAAAACGGUUUCGAGUUUGCCAUUUUAUACACAAUAACAUACCGCCUGUAUGUAUGUGUGUGUAUAUAUAUACACAUACAUAUAUACACACACAUCAUCAUUGUUUUAACGCGCAUUUUUUUCAUGCUUGCAUGGGUUGGACAGAGAUCAUUGAAGCAGAUUUUCCUGUUGCCAACCCUCACACUGUUUCUAGACAAGGUUAUAUUUCCCCAUUGCUAGAGAUGUUUGUACAAUAUAUUUGAAAUGAAUGACACUGCUUGUAUGUCAAGUUGUCAAGACAAGGAGACAUACAUAAACACACAUGUUAUGGGUUUCUUUGAAUUUCCAUCUAUCAGAUCCACAAGGUGUUGAUUGGCUUGGAGCUGUAGAGCACGAAAUUAAUUUUCCCAUUGAAUUUUAUGUCAUAAAGUGUGAUGUGUUCUACCAGAUCAAGCAAUAUUACCAUUUUUAUGCAUGAAAAUAACAAACAUACAUAGUAUUAUAUGUAAGCAUAAAAACAUUGGAAGAGAAAUAUAUAUAUAGGCACAGGAGUGGCUGUGUGGUAAGUAGCUUGCUAACCAACCACAUGGUUCCGGGUUCAGUCCCACUGCGUGGCAUCUUGGGCAAGUGUCUUCUGCUAUAGCCCCGGGCCAACCAAUGCCUUGUGAGUGGAUUUGGUAGAUGGAAACUGAAAGAAGCCUGUCGUAUAUAUGUAUAUAUAUGUAUGUGUGUGUGUUUGUUCCCCUAGCAUUGCUUGACAACCGAUGCUGGUGUGUUUAUGUCCCCAACACUUAGCGGUUCGGCAAAAAGAGACGGAUAGAAUAAGUACUGGGCUUACAAAAAGAAUAAGUCCCGGGGUCGAGUUGCUCGACUAAAGGCGGUGCUCCAGCAUAGCCGCAGUCAAAUGACUGAAACGAGUAAAAUGAGAAUCAUAAUAUAAUAGGGUAUGUUCUGUUUUCUGAAUGAGAAGUAGUAGUUAAAUUACUGGGGGGAUGGCCAUAUUUUGCAAAUGCCAUUUCAAGUUGAGGAUUUCACUUUCUCUCAUCACUCGGUUGUGUUAACCACAGCAUCUAUUUUGUUAAACUUCAUCUCUUACUGUACAUUUAUCCUCCCUAUUAAUUUGCUUUUAUAAAUUGUUUGAAAGUUCUCAGAUAAUAUACCUGGAAAUUGUCAUACCUUGAUCCAUUAACUGGAUCAAAGAAGUAUUCUUGGGGAUAUAUUCUACUCUCACAUUAUGAGAAAGCCCAUUUAAGUUCACUGGUUGACUUGAUGCUUUGUCUAAAAAGUGCAAUGCUUUGUUGGAAAUAUUGUGUGUGACACUAUACUUUUCCACAGCAAGACACAAAGAUAUUUGUAAACCAUUCUUUAGAAAGGUUCCUAGUCAUCUAAUCCUUAUUUGAGUGUUAAAUCAGAGGUAGAUUAAACUUUGCAUAACCCUUGAAAGCCCUUGGAUUUUUCAGAGUGAUCUUUAUAUAGAGACUUUAUUUUCAUAUCACCAACAGCAUUUCUUUCUUGUAGAAAUGUCGGACAAUUUUUGGUGUUGAUUUUUCUUGUCAAGAAAUAAAAGUUGUAGUGGGCAUGUACUUCCAGAAAAGUGCAAUUUCAUCAUUAUUUUGUAUUUGUUCUGGUGUAUAAUCUUCUUUGGCAGUCAUUUUCUUCAGCUGCUCAGAAUAAAUUGUAGAUGCCUCCUGUAUCAACACUGGCAGCUUCACCAGUCAUUUUCACAUUGUGAGAAUUUAAGUGCUUUUUAAACCUUUCAAGCUAGCUUUUACUGGCCAGAAAUGGUUUUUCAUUAGAAGUUACAUCUUCCCUUUUUUUUUUUUUUUGCAAAUCAUCAUACAAAUCAUAUAAACUGUAUUUUUUUUAAAUUACCAUAGUGCUCAAGUCUAUGCUGAGCUUGACCCUUAAUUUAUACACUAAUGUGCUUCUCACUUUAGAUCUAUGAAAAAAUAAGUCCAAGCAUUCUAAUUAAUUUUCUUUCUAUUGUCAUGUAUUGUUCUAACUGAAGAUGUUGCAAGCUUUAGUGUUUUGGCAAUGUGGCUGACUCUUCCUCCAGCAUCAACCUUUUUUAAAACCUUGAGUUUAAUAUCCUGUGUAAUCCUUUUACUGUUUCUUUUCGCACUACUAUCUUCUGUUCCACUUGAUGGCGUCUUUCCAGACAUCUUGAAUUAUAGAUAAAUCCAACAGCAGCUGCUGUGAAUAUUAUCAAAAACAUAUGUAAUAAAAAAAAAUAGCUCCAGAAGUAUGGAAAUGAAAAGGUGAAGAAGUGAGGUGGGAGGAGAUACUGUAUGAUUACAUUUAACUGAAUGAUUACCAGGUUUAUGGGUAUUAUGCCCCUUGUUGGCUUAACACCUUAAAAUUCCACACUACUUUCACACACAAACACACACCAUUGUGUUGACAUAUAACAUACAUAGCUAAAGACAUUUCUAUCAAUCUGAUACUAUUAUUGUUGUCAAUUACUUGUGGGUUGGUUGUGGCGGUGCCGUUGGCUCUUUUGGUUUUGGUGUUGAUAUUUGCAGUGGUGAGAGUAUUGUUGCUAAUGGCAGAGGUUUUAUUAUUCUUGUUAAUUGCAUUGUUGCUGCUUAGUCUCAAGUCGAUCCUCAUUGACCUAAGAUCAAAAAACAUUUCAACUUUUAAAAUAUACUAGGCUACCACAUUAUCUUAUAUCUUUUAUUUUAAAUUGAGCUGCUUAUCUUCUUCAUGUUGUUGUUGUUCCUUUAGGUAUUGGUGGAUUGGUGAUGAUGGUAGUUGUAUAGGUUUUAGUGGUGGUUGUAUUGGUGUUGAUGAAAUACAUGUAUUUAUAUGAUUAUAGUUUUCAGAUUGUUAACUAUACUUUGAUCUUGGUUACAAUGCCAGAAAGCAGCCAUUUGGCUGAGAAGAAAGGAUAGUUUUUAAAUUGCUUAAAUUUUCUGAGCCUUUCAUAAAGGCAUAAUGACAGACCAUAUCCUGAAAUUAGCGAUCAUAUUUCACUGAUUUCCAUAACCAUGAGAUCCCAUAACCUGAGGUAGCUGUAAUGCAGGGGAUGCUUGCAUGUAUGUAUGUGUGUGUGUAUGUAUAUAUAUUACAUAGUGGUCAAUAUUUACUGACCACUAUUUACCUGCAAUAAGAUUUAAAUGCAAUAUAUGAGAUAAAGAUAACAACAUGCAAAUUCAUCAUUAUCAUCAUCAUCAAAUUAAUGUUAAAUUUCAAAACCUCCUCAACCCAUUAAUAAAAUAUAUUGCAGCCAAAAUACACUGGAUCGCAAGGGAUUGCAACCCCAGCCAAUGUCGCAACCAGUUUGUAACCUGGUUGUAAAUGUGAGCACUGACAUAUCAUUUCAUGUACAUAUCAAUGGCAACAUGUAGGCAACUGGCUGGAUGGAUUGUAAGAACUUUCAGAACAAGAGACCAGGAAACAGUGCUGGUCUAUUUGUCCUAAUUAUCUAAGGACUGUGUCUGACCUCUAAGUAGUAAUGAAGAAAAUGUCAAUUCCCAUCAUGUAAUGAUGGUUUAAAAUUCUUUGACCAGUGAAAUUACAGAGGUUUCCAUGAAAUGUAAAUAAAAUUAAACUUGAAUGUUCAAAAUAACAUUUUACUCUGCUUUAUAUUCAAUCAUAUUUUCAGUGGAAUUAAAAUUAAUUUUUUUCUCACAUUUUGUAUUUAGCUUAACUCCUUUUCUAUUUCAAACCCAAUGAUAUAUGUCUACACUGAUUGAAAAUUUUCAGCUUUUAGUAUAUAGUUAACUCCCUCUUUAGUAUAUGUUGUAUCAUCCUUCUUUCACAUGGCCACUUCAUUGUUAGAAAGUCGAUUGUAAAAAUAUGCCUAUGGACAAUAUUUCUUUGAAAUAUGUUUGUAAAUUAGAGCUAUAUUAGAUCUAUUUACUGAGCCAACAAUUAAGGUUUUCUAGUUCAUCUUUGUCUUUAAUAGAUUGUUGAUUCAUGCUUUCUUAUCAGAGAUAUUUAAAAAAGGCAGAAUGGAUGACUUAGUGUUUAUUGAUCUUAUGCACGUAUUGAAAUAUAACUUCUAUUGUUUGCUGUAUUAAUUUUUAAUUCUAAUCGUAUAUUACUUUCAGGCAAUAUUCCUAAGCUUUUGUGCAAAAUAAUACAAUCUUUUCUCGCAAACGACUGCAACUGCUUAACUUGCUUAACAGGAUGUUGUUAUUGUAAGAUAAAAAAAUCAUAUAGAAAGCUCUUUCUUUAUGGUCUUUAGAAAGGAGGGGAAAAAAUAUUUCCUUAAGGUUUCAUGUUCUCUGAGCCAUAAUCUCAGGAUCAGUCUAGGCUACCUUUGAUUAGAGCUUCCAGAGAUUUUAGUUGAAGGUGACAAAAUGAAUGCCCUUUCAUUUAUGUAAUCUUAUUCAUCUUUUAAAAUGGCUCCUGCUUAAUACAAUUUGUGUUUUGUAGCAACUGUGUUUGUUUUAAACCACAGUUGGCCCAUUUUAUGUAUUUGUACUUAAGCUAUAUUCACCUUGAGAAAUGAUCACUAAAUAAGACCAAGUAAAUGAUACAAGACAGAUAUAAACACUGAUUUGGAGCAAAGCAGUAGCGGGGGGAGUCAUUGAGUCAGUAAACUGAGAACUGCACUCAUUUUCUAUGUAUAGUUGUGACUUGUGAUAUAUGUGAUGUAAAUGAAUGAUAUAAAAGGGUGAAGGCCCCCUUCGAUCAGGAAUGACCAUGGGAUUGCACCCAGAAAGUGCCUCCACAGUACAAGUCUGGGUAAGAUUGUUUAUGGAAGACCAGCAGUUACCUAUGCAUACCAGCCUCCCCUUUCCACACCGCCAAUGUUAUCCAAGGGAAAGGUAAAAGCCGGUACAGCUUGGCACCUGUGAUGUCACAACUCAUUUCCAUAGCUGAGUGAACUGGAGCAAUAUGAAAUGAAGUGUCUUGCUCAAGAACACAAUACACAGGCUGGUCCAGAAAUCAAAUACACUACCUCUUGAUUGUGAGCCCGACACUCUAGCCACUGAGCCUUGUACCUUCAUCAUGAAUAUAAAAUCAGAAAUAUACUGUACAUUUCAAUCUAAUUCACUUAGCACAUUUUCCAUCUGUAAGCUAUUGAUUUUAAAUAUGCUAAUUACUUUAUAAAUGAAUUUUCAAGUAAUCCAAUAAACCAUAUUAAAACGAAACUCUAAAAUGUAAAAGGUUUUGAUUUUGUACUAGUUGUGAAUGUGUGUUAAGAAGUUUGCUUACCAACCACAUGGUUCCAGGUUUACUCCCACUGUGUGGCACCUUGGGCAAGUCUCUUCUACUGUAGCCCCAAGCAAACCAAAAGCCUUGUGAGUGGAUUCGGUAGAUGGAAACUAAAAGAAGCCCAUCAUACUGGUGAGUGUGUGUGUGUGUGUUUGCCCCUUCCUCCAUUUUCACUUAAUUAGUGGGGUUGGUUUGUUUGAAUCCCUGUAACUUAGCAGUUCAACCAAACAUAAAAAAAAGUACUGGGGUUGAUUUGUUACUGCCAUAACAAAUGUGACAGCCCUGGCUUUGCUAUUUCACUGAAUAACUAAAAAACAAGCAACUAUGCUUCAAAUGCCAAGCAUUAUUAUGAUUACUAAAAGAUCAAAUAUUAUUUUAAAACAUUAAAUCCUGUUCAAAGAAAUUUCUGAGUUAAAAUUCUAGAAUAAUAAUAUUCAUCAUGAGAUAAGCGCUAUUACAAUCAUGGCUGUUAUUGAUCAAAUGUUAGGCUUCAGUUAAUGUUAGCCAAAACUAACUCAAUAAAUAAAUUGGUGAUUUAUCUUUUACUUUUUUCAGUCAUUAGAUUGCAGCUAUAUCAGGGUACUGCCUCAGUGGAGUUUAGUUGCACUAAUUGACCCCAGUAUUUAUUUUCUUUUUAAGCCUGAUACUUAUUCUAUUGGUCACUCAAGCUGAACCACUAAGUUUUAGGGAUGUAGACACCAACACCAUUUGUCAAGCAGUGGUGGAGGAUAAUAUUUACACAUAUGGGUUUCUUUCUGUUUCUGUCUACCAAAGCCACUGUCAGCCUGAGUCUAUAGUAGAAAAUACUUGCCCAAAAUGUCAUACAGUGGAAUUGAACCAAGAACCAUUUGGUUGAAAAGCAAGAUUCUAACCACACAGUCAUGCUUGUUGGUUCUGUUCUUUUUGUAUUUUGGUCUUUUUGUUUAGAAAUUCUUUAAAUGUAUUUGCAUAUGUAUUGAUGAGUGUAAAUUACAGCAGAAGGUUGGGGACUUCUCACAUAGAGGAAUCCUUGUUGCUUAGAAGUUUUAAUUGUUGUUGUUUAGCUUGAGUCAGCCAUGAUUAAGCAGGUCUAGGAGGAAAGCCACCUAUCCAUGACUAGGAGGCUUUAUAUAUCAUGACCUGCAUUUGCUAAUGUGUAUGUGUGCACACGUGUGUGUGUAUAUAUUCUUUUAUUUGUUUCAGUCAUUUGAGUGUGGCCAUGCUGGAGCACCACCUUUAGUUGAACAAAUUGACCCUUGUUGAACCACUAAGUUAUGGGAACAUAAACACACCAACAUCGGUGUCAAACGAUGGGGGGGGGCAAGCUCAGACACAAAUACAUAUAUAUAUAUACACACACACACACACACGGCUUCUUUCAGUUUCCCCCUACGAAAUCCACUCACAAGGCUUUAGUCAGCCUGAUAUAUAUAUAUAUAUAUAUAUAUAUACAUACAUACAUAUGAAGUGUAUAUUCAGUAUGGAGCAAAAGUCUAAGGUCCUGAUAGUGUGUAAAGUUAGCGUAUUUCCAGAGAAACACCCAACCCAGAUACUGGGUUAUCAGCACUGUUAGGUUCCAGGCUAAUGCCAGAAUUCCUCAGGUGUAGAAAAUCCAGGUUUCACGACGAUCAUACCGUAAAUUGGAUUUAGUUAAAAAAUUCUAACGAAUCAUUAAAGAUGUGUUAAAAAAUUUUCUGUGUUAUUAUUUGGUAUAUAUAUAUAUAUAUAUAUACACACGAUCUUGUUUCAGUCUUUCGACUACAGCCAUAGUGGGGCACUGCCUUGAAGGAUUUAGUCCAACAAGUUCACUCCAAUACUUAUUAUUUUUAAACCUGGUAUAUCAUGGGCUUCUUUCAGUUUCCAUCUAUCAAAUCCACUCACAUGGCUUAUCUGUAUAUAGUCAAGCUGCUGCUUUGUACCAAACUUAGAACUGUUACUAAUCCAUCUUUUUAACCACACAAAUUUAUGUGUAUUAUUAGGUGUGAUCUCACUGUGUGGAAGCUGUUGGCAAGUGUCCUUUGCUAUAGUCCAGAGUUGAGUAAUACCUUGUUAGUGAAACUGGUAGACAGACUGAAGAACCUCAUAUGUAUGAGUUCCUAUUUACCCUCAUCUUUACAUGUAUUCACUGGUUUUAAAUAGAAGCAUUGUUUGCUUACAGUUCACUGCAAAAGCAUGUUCAGGCUUCGUGACAUAUCUUGAUAUGUUAUAUGAUCUGUAUAAACAAAAGGCUCAAUCAAAUAGUGUUGUUUGUUUCCAGUUUUCAAUCUAACCAUGUUGAGGCUAUUUACUGUCUGCAUGGAAACAGGUGAGUUAGCAUUACAAAAUACAUCCAUCCUUAGAAGCCUCUGCUCUGGCUUAGUCUCAUCUGACCCAGGAAAGCAUGGAACUGUUAACUUUAACCAUUUAGCAUUUAAGCUGGCUAUGUCUCGCCCAAAUAUUCUACCUGUGAUAUGUUCAAACUGGCCAGAUCCAGUCUCUCACACCAACGCCAAAUUGUCAUUCUAAAAAUAAUCAUAUCAUAGAAAUCAUGAAGGUACAAAAUAAUGCAUGAUUAAUUCUAAUCAAAAUGAAUAAAUAAGUUUCACAUUCAACAUUCAACCUUAAUUUCAAUGCUAAAAGGUUAGAAAAUAUUGAUGAUGAGGCGGUUUUCAACUGUUUAUAAACUGGUGUAACACAAACUGAUAGCAUAUAUUUCUGUAAUAUAAUGAUAGGUGUCUUUGCUAAUUCAGGUGCAUUUUGAUAGUAGUUGUUUUACAUAUCUCUAUCAGUUGACAAAUGAUCACAGCAUAGGGCAAUAUUAUGUUAAGGUACAUCUUGAUCUUGUUUGGCCUUCAGUAUAGAAAUUUAAUUCAUAUUUCCACUGAAUGUGUACAGAUAUUGAAUUUUGUCAUUCAUUGCUAUGCCAUACCUUUUGUACUUUGUUCUUUUCACUGUUAUAAACUCCACAAUAGUCUCUAGUUUCUAGUGUAAUUAUAUAAGAUGUUUAUAACUAAAUGAGAGGUUAUGUGACUCCCAACAACACCACAGUCAGUAAUUGUCUCUUCCUCCUCCUCUUUAUACGGAUUCAAAUCACAAAACUGUAAUUAAUGACCAUGCAUUCUCACUUCCCUUUGGUCUUUGUAUCAAAUAAAUUACUGUGAUGUUUUCAUUUAUUUCUGCCUGAAGACGGGGUAGAGACUUUAAAAUAUAUUUUUUGCUUCAUUUCUUUAAUACUACUACUUUUUCUCCCACACAGUUGCAAGCAAGGCUGUGUGGUUAAGAAGUUCACUUCUCAACCAUAUAGCUUCAAGCUCAGUCCCACUGCCAUACACUUUAUGCAAAUGUUUUUGUGCUCUAGGCCACCCAAAGCUUUCUGAGUGGAUUUGGCAGACAGAAACUGAAGAAGCCCAUCAUAUAUGUGUGUUUAUUUUGUUUGCUUACACCUACUGCUCACUUUUUGAAAAGUCAUGACAUUUGCACUGUGUUUAUUGGCAUUUUGCCUGUCGAUAAUUCAUUUGCUUCUUAAAAACAGACAAGGGUUUUUACAUAUCUCUAUUGAAAACAGACAAGGGCAUCUAGCUGUAGAUCAGUGCUUCAAUAACAUAGCAUGGAAAAAGCAGACAUUACAUUUACAAACAAAAUAAUGAAUUAAAGAACAUGCUGGGCUGCUGUAUCCCUCUGUCAUCACUUUAUCCCUUGGAUCACAGACUUCUGUCCCUUUUGCCAUCUCAAUCAUAUUACCUUGAAUAUUUGAACUUAACUCAAGAAUGCUAAGUACUCCUGUCCUUCAUCCCACAGUCACACUCCCUUUCGUUAUUAGCAUUUAUACUUCCAUCACUCAUGCUUCUAACUCUGUAAAGAGGUAAAUGAACAUGCAGAGACACAGGGUUAUGAUGUCUGUUUAGUUGAAAUGAGGACAUGGCUGCUUCUCAUGGCAUGAAAGAAGCAUCUAGUAAACUCUGUAAAACUGUUGGUAUUAAGGACAUUCAGCUGUAGAAAUUAAGCCAAAAUGAAACCUGAGCAAGAUAAGGUCCCUUCAACCUGCCACAGUGAGAUCUGUCUAACCCAUACCAGCAUGAAUAGGGGUCAUAAAAUGAUGAUGAUGAUGAUGAAUAUGCAGUGAUUUUCAGUUAUUGCUUAACUUGUAUUUUUCAGUAGCCCAAGUAAUAUUGAUUAUCUUAAGUAUAAUUGAGUAUAAUUGAACUUUGAUUAUAGUAUCAAAGAUUUACUUUUGAAUUUUACAUGGUAAUCAUACUUUCAUUUUAUUAUUAAUGCUUAUCAUUAUCGGCUUCAUUAAGUGAUUUUUAUUUUUUUAAAUAAUGUAUAAUUUUAUCAAAGAUUUUAUUACAAAUUGCUGACUUCAGAUAUAUGUUAUAUUUUCUGGCUAUCUUUUCAGCAAUAAAACAAUAUUAAUGAUAAAAAGAGCAUAGUGUCAGGUGCUACAGCACAAGGCCAAGGAAACUUUCAUUUCAGCUAUGGACUGUGAACAUGUUAAGGUACCAUGUUCAAGAGCUUAGUCAAUCAUAAUGACUUCAGAAUUUACUUCUUCAGUCUGAUAUUUUAUCAGUUUCUGCUUAUCAAACUAGCAAUUUAUGAGAAUAAAGAGAGACAACACACAUUCACAUGCUCAUACACACAUGAUAAUUAGCAAUGUGUAUUUAUUUAUUUACUACCAUACAAACAAAACAGAGUAGAAGCGGGGGUUGUCAAAUGGCAACAGAGUGUGGGUAACAAGGAAGUAUAAUAGUGGAAGGAUGAGUUAUUCAUCACUCUACAGAGGGGGCAAACAUGGAAAAGAAUGGAUGAGAAAACUGAACAUAAGGAUGGCUUGAAGUAAGAGGUAUUAACAUUAUGUUUGUUUUUAAGUAGAGAGUGAAACAAACUUAAUAUGCUGGAAGUCUGGUACUUAUUCUAUUGGUCUCUUUUGUUGCAUCACUAAGUUUUCGAGGAUGGACAUAAACCAACGCUGGUUGUCAAGCAGUGAUUAAGACACACAUGUAUAAAUACACACUGGGCUUCUUUUAGUUUCCGUCUACCAUAUCCACUCACAAGGCUUUGGUAGGCUUGAGGCUAUAGGAGAAGACACUUGCCCAAAGUGCUAUGCUGUGAAACUGAACCCAAAAUCUUGUGGUUGGCAAGCAUACAGCCAACCUGUACCUAUGAAUAUUGUGAUAAAAGAACUUAUGGAAUACUGAUAAUUACAUAUAAAGCUUUCAGUAUUUUGUAAAAAUUAAAAUAUUCUUCUAAAUAUAGAUCAUUGUUUUUAAUUAAAUUUUUAUUACUGUCAUUAAACUGUUCAGUGAACAGGUAAAAGUAUGGUAAGCCAAAAAGUUGUCAUCCUUGAUGGUACAAUUGCCUACAUGCUUAUAUACUAUUGUAACCCAUCAUUUUCAGCAUGACAUGCACUAUCACUUUUUCAAAUUAUUGAUAUGAUUUUACAAUUAAAAUAAGUGUGAAGCUUUAGAUAAGAAAUUUACCAAUCGGGUCAUAUGUCAAAAACUAUCAUUUUUUUUUAUGACAUUGGUACUAGCUUCUAUGUGUGUGUAUAUAUAUAUAUAUAUAUAUAUAUAUAUAUAUAUAUAUACACAUACACACACACACACACAAGGUUGGCCAAAAGUCACCUGGUGCUUGAGGAGACCUAUUGAGUCAAGUACAUCAUCAGCGAUAUAAAAAUCAAAUCAAAUGGAAAUUGUAGUUGUGAGACCCAUGCCAGUAGCACGUGAAAAGCUCCAUCCGAAUGUGGCUGAUGCCAGUGCUGCCUUGACUGGCAUCUGUGCUAGUGGCACAUAAAAAACACCAUCCGAUCGUGGUCGAUGCCAGCUCCUUGGGCUCUUGUGCCAGUGGCAUGUAAAAAGCACCCUCUACACACUCGGGGUGGUUGGCAUUAGGAAGGGCAUCAUGCUGUAGAAACAUUGCCAGGUCAGUUUCCAGACUCCAGUCGAACCAUCCAACCAAUGCCAGCAUGGAAAAUGGACGUAAAAAUGAUCAUGAUUUUAUAUAUAUAUAUAUAUAUAUAUCACGUGACCGACCAGACCAUCAGAUGUUGUUACACAUCGCUGGUCACAAUAUGUUCACAUUGUUUUAGCCUUUGAAUGGUGCCACCCCGCUGGCUGAGCGAGCAGGCCAUAUAUAUAUAGACUGCAGCUGUACUGAGGUACCACCUUCUUGAGGGGUUUAGUCAAAUAAAUCUACCUCAAUACUUGGGUUUUUUUUUAAGUCUGACACUUAUUUUGUCAGUCUCUUUUUUUUUCUAUCAUAAUGUCAUGGGGGUGUAAACAAAUCAACACUGGUUGUCAAGCGGUGAUGGGAAACACACACACACACACACACACACACACACACACACACACACACACACAUAUAUAUAUAUAUAUAUAUAUAUAUAUAUAUAUACAUGACAAGCUUCUUUCAGUUUCUGUAUGACAAAUCUAUUCUCAAUGUCAGCUCUGGGUUAUAAUAGAAGACAUUUCUCCAAGGUGCCACACAGUGGAACUAAACACAAGACCACAUGAUUGGGAAGCCCAUACAGCCACAUAGUAGUUUGGAAAUUGUCAAUAAAGCACAUGCACUGGUUGUAUUUCACUCAUUCUAUUCUGAAUUAACUAAUUAAUCAGUUAUUUAGUUUCUCAAAGCUUUUUUCUAACACACUGUGACCUUAUCAAUAACAUGUCCCUUGUGUGCAUUUACUCUGUGCAAGUAUCCACUUGCUCUAUGCUCUGUGUUACUUUCUGAAAACAUGAUAGGGUAAGUUCUUUCUUUUUUUUUUUUUUUUUGUAUUUAUAAAGUAGGAACUUUGUGUGUGUGGAUGUGUGCAUAGUAUAAAAAUAUAUAAAAAUGAAAAUGUAAUUCAAACAUGUCACUUAAAUACCCCAGCCUCACUGCAACCACCAUCCAAAAUAAUGAUUAUAAUGGUAAUAUAAAGAGCAAAAAAGACAAAAAUCUGCUGCACAUUACUGUAACAUAUUCUGUGGAAAUACAAAAUUACAAUAUUGCAAUAGAAAGUAACUGACUAAUCAGAAAAUUUCUUGAAUCAAAGAUCAAGGAGAUCAGAAAUCCAAAGUGGAAACAAUAUUAAUUAAUUGUAGAGCAAAUAUCUAUAGCUUACAGAUUUAAUAUUUUAGCAAAGGAACUUCACUUUUCCCAUAUCACUAAUGAAGCUGCUUUAUUAAAAGAUCAAAUCUGCAAUAUGCACAGAUGUGUGUGUGUUUAUUGAUGUAUCAUUUUUAUAUUCUCUUUCCAUACUAGUAUGGGUUGGAAAGGUCAUCACAGUUCUAGCCAGUUCUUAUUUGAAGUCACUGCUCUUGAUGAGUACUACAGCUGAUAUGUUUCAUUUUCAGCAUGACCUUUAUGGCAGGAUGCCCUUUCUAACAACUACUACUUUACGAACAACUUUCUAACAACAACUACUUUGUUAUUAUGAAGAGCACAAGCUUCCUGAACUUUUCCCUAUCUUUUUACUCUAACUAGUAUGUUUUUAGAACAAUCACUUCCACUACUAAUUAGGUCUCCUAGGUAACAAAAGCUAUCCACUGUGAAAGGAACCUCUUGGGUAUAGGGAAGGAAUCUAUUUCAUGGGUGUUUACUGCUCCUGAACAUCUGCUGCAUAUAAAAAUCUUUCUCAGCAUAUGGGUCAAUAGUUAGUGUCGGGGGACACAAUCAUGAAGUAGUGAGUUUGAUUCCUGAACUGGACUGUGUGUUGUGUUCUUGAGCAAGACAUUUCAUUUCAUGUUGCUCCAGUUCACUUAACUGUAAAAAUGAGUUGCAGCAUCACUGGUGCCAAGCCGUAUUGGCCUUUGUCUUUCCCUUGGAUAACAUCGGUGAUGUGGAGAGAGGAGGCUAGUAUCCAUGGGCAACUGCUGGUCUUCCAUGAUGAACCUUGCCUGGAUUUGUGCCUUGGAGGGUAAUUUUCUAGGUGCAAUCCCAUGGUCAUUCAUGACCGAAGGGGUUCUUUACCCAUUAGCUUAUGUGUGAUCUCAGUAUAUCUCUUGUGUAUCUAUAAUUUACACUGGGUAUCCUGUAUGGAAUUUCAACCUUACUCCUUUUUCUGCAUAUCAGACAUGGCUAUUUCCCUGGUGGUAGCAUGGUUCUGUUUGUUUUCCUAACCAAAAUUCAAGUCUCUCCUAAGUUUACUGUGAGACCUUGCUUUUCUUGAUUUUACUUCCAUUUCUAGAAUUUCAUCUCUUUCUGUAUAUAUCUUCUAUAUUUUCAAGUCAUCAGCUUAGAGAAGUCCCCAAGGAGAGCUGGUCUAAAACUCUUAAAAUCUGGAGGAAUGCAAUGAACAGGAGGGGGCUGAAAACUGAAUCCUGGUGGUCCCUAAUCUGCAUAUUUGUUAUAUUAAUUGCUAACUCUCACUUUGCUGACUGCACUUCACAAACCAAUCAUCUGCUGUUCAUUUCCUUUGUAUGAAUAUAUGCAUAUGUAUCUCAAUAUGUAUAUAUGCAUAUGUAUGUGUGCAUGUAUUUAUACUACUGAGUGUGCAUGUAUGUAUGCAUGUGUGUAUAUAUUUGUACACUAGUUGGCACUUGCCCAGAGUAAGUUGAGCUGGUUCCACCACAUCACGGACAGAAGCCAACCUUGCUCACCAAUCACAGAUGUUCAAUGAGGAAAUUUUCUGCUAGUUGCAAUGUCAACAGUAAAUAUCAUACACUUGCGAACUAGAUAUUGAUUCAAGACUUGACUAGGUCAUAGUAAUCCACAUUUUCAACUAUUCACCUUGUAGUUAAUACCAUUCCAGAGACAUUGACACAGCUGCAUUGCAGCAAUUUGUAAGUAAACCAACAGAAGCACUUCUUAAGUAAGAAUUGUUGUUGGAAAUUGAUCCAACAAUGCUAACAAACUUCAGAUUUUAAUACGAAAACAAAACUCAAAGAUUCAGUGAAGGCAAAAGUAAUAAAAAGUUUUCAACUGGCAUAAAUUCUCUGCUCAUUUGCUUAUGUGCUGUAGCCAUAAAGCAAACUGGUAUAAAUGAAUGCUUGGUAGAUGUAAAUUUAUGUGGCUACUCAGAUCCCUGGACCUAGAUCAAAGCUGGUUUUGAAAUCAACAGGACUACAAUAAAAAACAUUUGCUUGAGUUACUGCACAGUGAUACAAAACCUGAAACCACAUAGUUGAGAAAACGAGCUUAACUGCACAGCCAUGGCUGCUUGUUAUUUAAAAUACAUGAAAUAGAACUGUGAAAUAAUGAUUUCAAAUUUUGGCUCGAGACCAGUAAUUUUGUGGGAGGAGUUAAGUCAACUACAUUGACCCCAGUGCUCCACUGGUUUCUUAUUUUAUCAGCCCCAAAAGGAUGAAAGGCAAAGUCAGCCUCGGUGGAAAUUGAACUUAGAACAUAGAGACUAACAAAAAUGCUGCCAAGCAUUUUGCCCAACACAGUAACUAUUCUGCCAGCUCACUGAUAACUGGGAAAAAGAAAGAAGCCCCUUGUUAGUUAAAAGUCUUGUUAACAUUUAUCAAGGAACUAUAUUUUUCUGUACAACUCUAUUUUUUAUUUAACUAGUAUAUGUCAAUAAAUGUUCAGCAUUUAUUUUUCUAGAAAAUGCAAAACAUUCUUUUUACUAUCAACCAUUAAGAUUAGUGCCUCCUGACAGUGUGAUGUAAUUUACCAUGCUAAAAGAAAAAUUGAAUCGUAUUGAGCUACCAGUCAAUAAAUUAACCACACCCUAGUGUUUUGGAGUGCCUGCUAUACUUUUUUAUGUUAUAAAGUUUUAAAAAAAAAACAUGUAAUUAAACUCUCUGACAUUGUAUUAAAUUAUUGCCAAAAUCUGUAUUCAGAUAAAAAUCUUUGAUUGAUUACUGCAUGAGAGGAAGUGUAUUAUUUUACCCAAUAACAUUUCAUUCACUGCUGAAAUGUUUUUAUUUUUUUAUGAUUAAAAAUAGGUUAUUAAGUGAUAUAUUUGGGUCCUAUUUCAACUAAUGGGCUUCAAUGCAGUUUGGAAUAACUCUGUUCUAUGUAUUCUAAAACAUUUCAUAUCCUAGAUUUUUUCUUUUUUUUUGUGUGUGUGUGUUUACCAAUAAAUUCCAUCCAUAUUUACUUGUUUCUCUCAUGCCUUUCACAGUUUUCGGUUGAUUUUAGGUUGGAUGCUAUGGAUAUGUCUAUUUUGUUCUUUAAAUUCAGUGUGCCAACUUGUAUUGAGUCAAAAUUUAAGCUUACCCUUAAGGUAAUCACAAUCUUUUCUUAAAUAACCACUUAUUAAUUUAUGGUGUCUAGCAAUUGUUGUCACAGAGUGCACUGUUAUGCUGAAAAAUCUACUGCUUUGAUAUAAAGUUUGCUCAAAAUUAAAUAUACAAGCUUAAGGCUGUUUCUGUACAUAUGACUUCAAAUUAACUUUUUUUCUUUUUUUUCUUUUUGUAGUGUGUGUCAUUUAAUUUGAAAACAAAUUAUGACCAAAUUCUAUCAUAUAAAAGCAGAAUUAUUAUAGAAAAUUUACCAUCUUUGGUGAGUGAGCAGCACUCAAAAUACACACCUCAAAGUUUAACAUCCAAAUACAUAAAUAGCUCUAAAUGUACUCUUCUAUUGUUGAUUUAUUUAUUUGGGUAACCUUUUUGUGCCAAAUGUUAGCAUUAUAUUGUAUUUUUAAUGAGACACCCAUUUUAUAAUUUUACUGCAAGAAUUCCAUUGACUAUAAAACAGGAAUCAUCAGUAAAGUUGUUCACGUGACUGUUAGACAAUAUUUUCUUACCAUUCAUUUAUUUCAAAUGAUCAUUUAACCCCUUGCCUCCAGUUAGGGCUUGUCCAAACAAAUAAAAUUCAUUGGAGCACAUGAAAUGCACAUGAAUGCAAUUGUUCAUUGCAGCUAGUUUCUCAGCAAAGAAUUCAUUUGACCUUUUCCUGAAGACUAGCUGGUGAGAGCAUCUGUACUGAUCACUUAGUAUUCUCUCUCUCUCUCUCUCUCUCUCUAUAUAUAUAUAUAUAUAUAUAUAUAUAUAUAUAUUCAGGGUGCAAGAGGUAUUUCAGAACAUAUUUGGUAGUUUAAUAAAACAACUCUAAUCUAGCUAAAACCAAAUGUAUUUUGAUAAUAAUUUGUGUAUAUGUUCUUGAUAAGCUCAUUGACUGCUUCAAUGCCUGACCAAAUCAUUGAUAUGCCUGCACUAAGUGGUCCUUAUUCAUUUCUGACAUCACUUGGGCAAUGGUAACCUCCACUGAAGCUAUGAUAUUAGGAGAAUGUCAGCUAGUCUCCCUUUCAGCAAUGCUCCCAAUAUAGUUAGCCAGGAACUAAUUGAACUUCUUGUUAGCAAUUGAUCGAAUCGGUCACAAAGACUGGGAAAAAGUGGAGCAGUCUUGGUGAACACACUUCUUCUUGGCUGAAAUCUUAUAAACUAAUACAAAUGUUACAAUAAUACUGUAAAGAAUGAACCUUAAGUAACUAAUCAUUCCCUGUGGAUAUUUUCUGACUCUUCAGAAAAAUAUGGUUGAAAAUGCAAUUCUCUCUUUUCUUAGAUGUUUCAAAAAUAGUACAGGUUGAUUUGAAAAGCUGCACUAUGAGUUGUAUACCAAGAGAAAAAAAAAGCUGUACCAUUAAUUUUUCUCCUCGGUGUCUUCUCCACUUUUCUCAUGACAUUUUACAGUUGAGUUACUUUACUUCGAAAUAUGCUCUUGAGAUAACAAAUUAUUCACAAAGCAUAUUUAGUAUAUCAACUGAAAUCUUAAGUUGUAGAAGUUUCACUUUAACUUUAUAGAACACUAGAAACUUCCUAUACAAUAAAUUCUUCCCUCUCCACACUACCAAUGUAUUUUAAGAGAUAGACAAUGGCUGAUACAGCUUGGCAUCAGUGUUGUCACACAUGAACUUGGAAUGUAAAGGAUGAAGGGCAACAUUAACUCAGAAUGUAAAGAUCCUCAAAUGUUGCAAGGCAUUUUGGCCAAAACUCAGAGGAUUCUGCUAAUUUACAUUUCUGGGUUUGGUACUUUGUUUUAUCAACUUCAGAAGGAUGUAGGGCAAAGUUAACUCUGGGAUUUGCACUCAAUUUGAAGAGCCAGAAUGAAUAGAGCAAGACAUUUUGUUCAAUGCUCUAAUAAUUCAACUGAUCCACCAUCUUGUCACUUCCCCAUCCUAAGAAUAAUAAUAAUAAUUUCAAAUUUUGGCACAAGGCCAGCACGUUUGGGGGAGGGUGUAAGUCUAGUAAAUCAAACCCAGUGCUCAACUGGUACUUAUUUUAUCAAACCUGAAAGGAUGAAUGGCAAAGUCAACCUUGAUGGAAUCUGAACUCAAAAGACGGAUGAAAUGCCACUAAAUAUUUUACUUGGUCUGCUAAUGAUUCUGCCAGCUCACAGCCUUAAUAAUAAUAUUAAUAAUCUUUUCUACUCUAGGCACAAGGCCCAAAACUUUUGGGAUGGGGGCCAGUCGAUUAGAUUGAUGCCAGUACACAACUGGUACUUAAUUUAUCGACCCCGAAAGGAUGAAAGGCAAAGUCAACCUCAGCGAAAUUUGAACUUAGAACAUAAAGACAGAUGAAAUACCACUUAGCAUUUUGCCUAGUAUGCUAACAUUUCUGCCAGCUCACCACCUUAUUAAUAAUAAUAAUAAUGAUGAUGAUCUCUAAUAUAAGAACAUAACUGGAAAUGAUUUGGGAUCGGGGCAGAGUAUGGCCAAACAUCUCAAUCCUAGUAUUUCACUAAUAUCUUACUGACUGUGGAUGAACAAACAGCAAUGACAGCUCCCAGGUGAGAUUUUAAUUCAGAACAGAAGGAACUUGAAUAAAUCCCAUAAGGCAUUUUAUUCAUAACUCUACCAACUGUGGUGUAAUCCACUACCUUCAUAUACCAUGAUAGAAAUCUAGUAAAAUUUGGCAUUGUAUGUAGCAAGUGUCAGUGAUAAUUUGUUAACUUCCAAUAAUUCACAAUUUGACCAUUGUGAAUGAAACAGCUGGGUUAUGUGCUUGACUAGUUGUUUUUAAUGAGGUUACAUUUUCUUUUCCCCAAACAACAAAGUUUUUUUUUUUAAAUUAACAUCAUUUUUCACAGUCUACUGGAUUGUGUUUUGUUUAUUGUAGAAUGUUAUUUUGAAUACAUAUCAAUAAGAUUAACUCUAUAAUUAUUCCUGAAAUAUAUAAAAGAAUAUUCUAGUAGAAAAUAUUUUUUUAUAAAUCAUAUCAGUUUUCUUAACAUAGAUGACGAGCAUAAGAACUAAGUUAUAGGACUUUAGAAAAUAAUUAUUACUAUAACAAUUCUUUCUACAAUAGAUACAAGACCUGAAAUUUUGGGGGAAGUGGGGCUAGUCAAUUACAUCAACCUCAGUACCUGACAGGUACUUAUUUUAUCAACCUCAAAAGGAUGAAAGGCAAAGUAGACCUCAACAGAAUUUGAACUCAGAACAUAAAGACAGAUGAAAUACCACUAAGCAUUUUGUCCAGCAUGCUAACAAUUUUGCCUGCUUGCCACCCUAAUUAUUGCUAUUAUAAUAUGUAGAAGAAAAUUUAUAAAUGCAACAGUUUUAAUAAUACUGAGGAAAUUUAACUUGUUUCUCUACUUUAGUAUUUAAACUGGCCAUAUUCAGCCAAAAUAUUCUAGCUGUUUUAUGUUCAAACUUGCAAGUUCUGGCCUCUUGCACCUGCCCUAUAAUAUCAUUCUAAAAAUACACACUAUUUGAAUCUCAAAACUACAUGAUGAUACAUGAUUAAUUCAAAACAAUUUGAAUAAAUAAACAUAACAUUUGAUAAAGUAAUCUAAAUGCUAAAGGGUUGAGUGGAAUUUGCUUUGAUAUAAGAUUUUUUUUUUUAUCUUCUGUAUAUUUUUUCUGUUCCCAUUCCCCUUGAUAGGUAAGACUGCAGUGUCUUGAUAGGUAGUGAUGUUGUGCCAAAUAGUGAAGCCCAUGUUAAAUUUCUAGUAUGAUCUAUUGAAAACUAAUCAAGGUGGGUUACUUUUUCAAAGAAAAUAUUUCAAUGAUGGUGUUAAAGAGCUGGGAAUUUAAAGCAAGGUUCAUUGAGGUUCUAUCUAACAGAUUUGGGCUGUUGUCAAAUAAACAAUUUAUUUACAAAAUACCAAUGUUUGAAAGGGAAUUGAUUUUUAGAGAACUCAAGGAAUUCUUUGAAUGAUAGCUUGUCAGUUCAUCAAUGGAAAUUGAAUAUUCAAAGGAAAUCAUCAAUGCAGAAAAAACAAAUAGAAUGUAUGCCAUAGAACUUUUAGAUUAGAAUUCUCGAGAAUAAUAAUUAUUAUUUGAAGCAAUCCUGAGAUGACUAGUUCAAUUGUUUUGAUGAAAUCUAUGUCAAUUUGAAUCCCAAUUGCUGACAAGAACUAGAUAUACUUAAUGCAAGAAUCACAAACAUUUUUAUAAAUAUUUGUGUUUUUGAUGCAAUUCAUAUUUAGAAGAAAUUAUCAAGAAAAUAUUUUGAUAUUGAUUUUGUAACUAGGAAGCUUAUCAGAAAACCUCUGUUUGAGAUAAAAGCAGUAUACAAACCAAAAUGUAUUGCCUAUAGCUACUUUAUUGUGGCUGUCAUCUAAGAGCUGACAAUACUGUCAGUUAACCCUAAGAAGACCUCUCCUCCAGCUAGUUCAUUCAGUGCAUUUUGUCCCACCCAAUAUGUAUUGCAAGUGAGAGAUAACUCCUGCCACCCUAGCUUCAAGACCUCCAGACCAUGUGGUUUCGAUCUGCAUCAGACCUCCUCAGUGGUGGGUACUCAUUGCCAGGCAUGGCAGCCAUUUACCUCGCUUGUAACAUAUAGAAAACAGUGUCAUACAGUCACUGAUUUUGUAACUAGGAAGCUAGUCUGUUAGAAAAUCUCUGUUCAAGAUAGAAACAGUAUAUGAAGCAAAAAGUAUUGCUUAUGGCCACUUUUAAUAUUCUUUUUACUAAAACAAUAAUUUGCUGAAACAUGACAGCAAGGUAAUAGUGACAUAGGACAGUGAAUUGUCUUCUCUUGAGUGUAUAUGCGCGUGUGUGUGUGUAUAUAUAUAAGGCAAAACAAAAACAGGAAAAACAACGAAAGUGAAAAGGCCAUACACAGUGAAGAUUGAUGCUCAGAGAAAGUUUAAUAUGGAAAAAUGAUGGAGUGUGAUAUUUCAAGCAUGGCUGUUCAUUAGAUAGAGAAAUGAAGAAAAGGGAUAGAAGGAAAAAGAAAAUAAUCUGAGAAAAGCAUGUCAUUACAUGGUUCUCUCUCUCUCUCUCUCUCUCUCUCUCUCCAUAUAUAUAUAUAUAUAUAGUAAAUCCAAACAAAGAACAACAAACACAAAAAGCAAUAACGCCAGGAUGUGGUACAUGUAAAGUAUUAGCAGACGCUCAGGGAAAGAGAGAAAGAUGGUUUAAUGUUUCAAGCAACGCACUUCUUCAGAAAGAUAGGAAGAAAAUUGCUAACGAUUAACAUGUGGCACAAGUCUGGGCAAGGUUGUUUGUGAAGACCAGCAAUUGCUCGUGCAUACCAGUCUCCCCUCUCCAUAUCACUGAUGUUGUCCAAGGGAAAGACAAAGGCUGAUGCAGUUCAAGAAUGCAGCAUAUACCCCAGUCUGGGAAUCGAACUCACAAUCUUGCAAUUGUAAGCCCAGUACUAUAACCACUGAGCCAUGUGCCUUCCACACACACAUAUAUAUACAGGAUAACUUUUAACCUCCCCCUUUACAUAACCUACCUUAUCACCUUUACAAAUUUAUCCCUCCAUUUUUUUUUCAACCUUGACAUCAAUCCCUUUUCUUUCUGCUCUUCUCUUCUGUAGCUUUCCCUCCUCUGUCUAUCAGAGACCAUUUAUUGUCCAUUUUCCUGUUCUCUCUCUGUUAAAUGAGAUCUCUUUAGAGCCUUAGCCUUGCAACUUACAAAGCACUCAUCACUUGUACUGGAGCCAUGAAGACAAUGCCCAGUAUGCUCUAUAAAGGGAUUUAUAUUGUGAAGAGCGCCCAGAUGUAGAAACCAUGACAAAGUAGACAUUGGAGCAUGAUGUAGUCCUCCAACUCAUCAGACCCUAUCAAACUGUCCAAGCUAUAUCAACAUAGUAGCCUAAUGUUAAAUAAUUUUAUAUCUAUGCCAACAUAUUGUAUUCAAGAAGACCUGUCCACCACAACAAAAUUGAUACCAGUGCUGGUACUACUUAAAAAGGCAUUUGUGCUGGUGUCACAUUAAAAGUACUGGCAACCAGUCAUAGAAACCAUGGCAGUGGAGCCUGGUAUGGUUUCUAGCCUUACCAGCUCCAGUCAAACUGUCUAACCCAUGCCAUCAUGGAAAACAUGUUAAGUGAUGAUGAUAUAUAUGUAGAUGGUUAAUUUCAUAGGACUAAAUUGUCAAAAACAUUUCCUUGUCUUAGACAGUGUAAUUGCAAUUUUUUUUUAAAAACCACUAAAAGUUUGUAAUUACUUUUUGUCUUUUGUAAAAAUCCUACUAGUGGUAACUGUUAAUUUUCAUCAUUAAUUGUGGAAAAGUUGCUGAAAUGAGAUAUAUUGUGCUAUUGUUAUUGCAGGAAUGAAAUAUCCUUUAUCUAAAUGUCUAUUGAUUAGGUAGGUUUUUGUUUGUUUUUUUUCUUAGCUAUAUUAUGUCUAAAUUAACUUCAGGUUUUUUUUUCUUUUAUGUAACUAGUUGGUUGUUCAAUAUAACCUGCAUAACAGGUUUUCCCAUCUUCACUAGGGGUAGGAAAAUAGCUGUUCCCUUCCAUCUCAUGCAUACGCAUUAGUACAUGCAUACAUGUGUGUUUGGAUGGGGGUGUACACUCCCCUCAUAAAUACACACUCCAUAGAUACAUAUUAAACCUUUUUCUAUUUAUCAAUUCAUAUCCAACUAUUUUAUAGCAUAAUCUGUUUUUCAUAGCAACAUGUUAAUCUGUUCAGAGUUUGUGUACAACUGCUUCUGUUUUUUUGUUUUCUAAUAUAGUAAAUCAUGUGAAAUCAUUGAUUUUAUUUAAUUUGAAUUAAUAUCACUGAUCUCAGUGUUCUUUUAUGUUCUAUUUUCAAUUGACACAUUGUUUUAAUUGCUGCAAUAUCUGCCUGCUUCAGCGUUCACACAAUUGUCUCCAAUAGAAGCAGUAUUUCAUUCAUAUAUCUUCUAUAGCUUUAUAAUAUAACAAUUUCCACCCCCAUCUCCUUUCCCACUGUGAGUUCUUUAUAUGGUCAAAAUUUUUAGAACAACUGACAUGUAAUUUGAUAUGGAAGCUUUGAGACAAGACACCUGCUCUUGACUUUUAAUAUCGAUUUAUUUUGGCACAAGGCUACACAUUUGUAAGAAAGGAAGUAUAAUAGACUGCUCUAAAUGCAUGAUAUUGAUUUUGACCCUGGAAUGACAAAAGGUAAAGUUGAAAUUAUCUGAACUUAAAACAGGAGUUAACCAAAAUUGUUCAGUAUACUCUAUACAAAAGAUUGAAAAAACUUUUGUUUGCACCAUUUAUGGUUUAUCAGUCUUUUAGCAAUAGAUUUUUAAAAAAAACUGUCAAAGAUUUUCUGAUGGUUCUGUAGAAGUGUUAGUGAAAACAGAAAUGUUAAGUUUCGUGGUUGAUGGAGGAAAGAAAAGUUUAUGAAAUUAAUGCUUUUCUUGAAAGUAUGUGUAAAUUUUAGUAAAAGAUGUAUGAAAAGGUUGACGCUGAUACAUACAUCAAGCCUGAUGUGUAUGACAUGACAGUAAACAAAGGAAAAAGCUAAAAAAGAAACCUUGCAAUUCAGAUUAAAUUGUUUUGAAUUAAUCAGGCAUUAUCUUGUACUUUCAAGAUUUUGAUGAUAUGAUUGUAUAUAUUUUUAAUAACAUUGUACCAUAGGUGCAAGAGACCCAAUUAGGUUGUUUUGAACAUAAAACAGAAUAUUUUGGCUGGAUUUGGCCAGUUUAAAUACUAAAGAGUUAAAAGAAGAAUUUGAGAAAGGUCUCUUAGUAUCCUUUGUGUGAGGACAUACAAUUUUGAGAUAUGGUAUAGUAGUGUAUUUACUCAAACAUUUUGGUGCAUUUUUCUGAAUUUGAUGCAGUUAAUAUAGAAACAAAAAUAUUGGUAUUAAAGUAAUGGUAUGGAUAUGUAAUAUAAAGGGAUGAGUAUGCUAGAAAAAAUAUAUAAAUUUGAAGAAAACUGCAGAUGAAGUCAAUUGGUGUUUAGCAAAUAUGACUUGUAAUAGGAUACAUAAUUGGGAUGCCAUAACUUAUGCCAGCAUAGAUAAUGAUCUUUAAACGGAUAUUAGCAAAUGAUAGAUUUAUUGGAAAAAUGAUCUAAAUACACUUCUUGUUGAAGUUGUAGUCAGAGAUUUGCAUGAUUUUCAGUUUGCAUAAGAAGUUCAAUAAUAGGAUAUUGUUAAACUUCUUCAUUCUUAGGUCUAGAGUUAAAAUCCUGCAACAAAAUUAUAUAAGCUAUCAUCAUUGUUUUAAUGUCCAUUUUUCAAUGCCUACAUGGGUAGGAUGGAAUUUGUCAAGGCAGAUUUUCUAUGGCAAGGUGCCCUUCCCUCAAUCUGUCGCCAACACUCAUCUGUUUCCAAAUAAGGUCAUAUUUCCCCUUUAUUGAACAUGGAGAUUAGAAAUGAAUGACACACCUUGGAAAAAUGAUGCGUACUUACUACUAUCAUGUAAUGUCAGGUGAUGAGACACAAGCAUACAUGCAAACGCAUAUACAUAUAUACACAUACAAUAAGCAUUUUUCAGUUUCCAUCUAGUAAAUCCACCAAGGUUUUGGUCAACCUAGGACUAUAGUCUACUAUAUCCAGACUAUCACAACAUAGAACUGAACCAGAAACCAUGUGGUUAAAAAGUAAACUUCUUUAACUACACUGCCAUUCCUGUACAUGUAACAUAUAUUUGCCAUUUUACAACUGAAUGGUUUAGAUUAAGAGUUUGCAGCUGCUUCAUAACACCUGCUCCUAUUCCUUCUUUUUAGCUGUCCAAAUUUGUGAAAUCCAUCCAAAUGUAAAGGAAUACAUGAUAAAAGAGAAUGAUUAUCAACAGGUAUUAGUUUGAAUGUAAGCAAUGGCUCUUAAUUUAUUAGCAGCAUUUUCUUAAACCCUUAUUUUAAUUUUUUUUUUUAUUUGUUCACUUAUGUUGAAGCAUAAAUUAAGAACUAGCAGCAGUGUCAGGCCUUACCCAAGUUAAAGGGAAAAGUUAGAUAAUCUUUGACCUCUCCUUGAAAAAUGUAUCUCCAUACAACAUUUUUGGUACCUAGAUAUACAAAAAUGUGACUUACAACUUGAAACAUACUAAAUGUAACCCUAUAUUAUCUUGUAACUUUGAAAUUUCUAUGAUCUGAUUGUUUACUUUUUGAACAACAUUGUAGGGUAGGUGUGAGCAGCUGGAUCUGCCUAAUAUAAAUAUAAAAUGAGUAGAAUAUUUUCACUGGAUAUUGCCACUUUAAAUGCUAAAGGGUUUAAUUCAAGUAAAUUUGUCUGUUUCAAAAGUUUGAAUCUAUUAUGCCAUAAAGGUAUUAUGAAUAAGCUAUGAUCAUUACGUGGCAACUGUUUGUGUAUACUGACUGCUUUUGUUUAAAUCUUGUUUAAGAUGCUGCAAAGUGAAAAUUUAAGAUAAGUAUACUUUGCAAAUGAACUUAACGAACUGAACUAGGAGAACUCUACAUCCAACUUUUGGGUUUCCAUUGAUCAAUGAGAUAAAAACUUGCUUGAAAUUAGUUGCCGGUGAAAUAGCUACCUGCCUCAAGAUCAACCCUCAUCCUGUACUCAGUGUCUUGUCAAGCAUCACCAAAAGCAGUCUGAUUUGAAGAGAAGCAAACAUUCUGUUCCUUUUAUCACAGACCAAAUAUAAAAGUUACUUAGACCAAACUAGCAUAUAAUUGGUUUAGUACUUAAAUAUAAACAUAUAACUUUCUAUUUUUUCUUUAUAUUAUUAUAUCUUAAUCUAGUUGGGAUUUUUUUUCAUUUCGUUUUGUUUUAGAAGAAUUUUACACAAAACAUACAAAUAUCUGUAUGUUACACUUGCUGGUAUAUAAGGCACAUAAACAUUCACUUCUAUGUAUUAAGAUGAUAUAUAAAAAAAUACAUAAUAGCAUAUAAACAUGCAUUUAUUAACAUUUAAAUUAGGUUUAUCUCCCUUUCACUUUGUGUUCUUUUUAAGUCUAAAGCUGAAAGACAAAAUGCAACAUUUAAGGUUAAUGACAGUUGUUUUCUGAUAAAUUUGGUGAAUGUCUAAAUCAGUAAAUGACUGAUGAUCUAUUCACUUCUUUUAGUGUUACUAAUUUAUUCUCUCUUCAUUUUUAUGUUCUGACAUAUCUUUGAUAUUCUAGUGUUGGUAUUUACAUACAUGAUAGUUGUUUUCUAAUGGCAGUAUGAAUUACAAUGACUAGUUAAGGUUCUUGAAACCAGAAAAAGAAACAUACCAAGAAAUCCUUAUUGGGUCAUUAACCUGCUCAAACAGGCCCCUGGUUUUGUAAUGCAAACUUCCUCUUUUAAAGAUAACUAAUUAUAACCUUAAGAAUUUCAUGUAAAUUUAGGCCCCAAGCACUAGCUUAACAAUGGCCUAGCUAUUUUACUAAAUUCUUUAUUUUCAAAAAUAAAUGAUACAAAGCCAAUGAAUUUCAAUAGAAAUAUGGCAACAAAAUGGUUAAUAUAUAUAAUUUUUAAGGAUAUUAAAAGUGAGUUAACAUGGCAUAGCCCAUUCCUUACAUCCAGUAUUCACAACUGAAGUGAAAUGAUUCAACUGAAAAUCAAAACUCUCUACUACUUUAGUCUAUCUAGGUGCUACUGUCAUUUUAGCGAUUAAGAAGAGCCUUGAGCAACUAUCUCAAUUUGUAAGCCUAUCAAACAAAAGUUAACAUACAUGUUGAGAAAACAAAGUACGUAUUUUACUAUAUAGUAAAACAACGUUUCUACAAUUGUAACUUGUUGGGAAUUUGCUGUUAAAGUUACAGCUUUUAACUAAAUACUUUUGUGUAUCUUUGAUGAAAUUUAUCUAGAUUCCAGUUUCAAAUUCAGUUGAUAUCUACCUCACCAGAAAUAAAUUCAAAAUUGAUGGAAAUAUCAUCAUCAUCACCACUAAUAAUUUAAUCAUAGUUAUAUCAUAAGGUUAAUAACAAAGCAAGGGAACUUAUGUUACCACUACCAAACACAUUUUGAACAUGUUUACUCUUUCAAUUUAUACCACUUUAUUUUCCUAGUGAUUUCAUAUAUAGAUGCAAGGUUAUAUAGAGGAGACCAAACAAAUUUGCUUGUUGUUUCCAAAGAUAUUAGUAAUGGAAAUGACUACAACCAGGAAUCUAAAAUCAGCUGCACUCAGCUUACUGAACAUGUUUAUGAGAUUCUCUGUUUGUUUAUUUUAAAAUAUAAUAAUAUUCUGCUAAGUUCUAUAAUGAGUUGAUUUCAUAUCAGCUACAUUUUGUUUGAGGUUUGCUUUGGCAAUUUUUUUGAGUGUUUUUUUUUAUUUAGUGUAAACAUAAAACUUAAUGAAAUUCUAAAAUCUAACCUUUUGAUCUAUUCUUAAGUAUUUUAACCCUUUUGUUGUCAUUUUUCUGCCUUUGAUUCAGUUAAUUUUGAAAAUAACGAAGAAUUUAAUAAAAUAACUUUGCCUUUAUUAAAAUUGUGUUUGAAACACAAAUUAGCAUGAAAUUUAAUGGAAAGUUUUAAUUUAGAUUAUUUUAAACAGGAAGUUUGUUUCAUAGAACCAGGAGCAAUUUCAGGCAGGUUGAUAUCAAAAGGGUCAGAUAAAAAGUUAAGCAAACUGAAGUUCCCUUUGAGAAAAUAUAUAGCAAGAUGAAUGAUAAACAGAGUGUUGUAGUGGGUGCCAUGACACAAUUGCUAUAAGAGUCAAUAAUAUAAGGAAAGAAAUUAAAUGUAAUUUGGUAUCUUAAUUAAAAUUCCAAUCUCAGAUGUAUUACCUCCAUUAUAAUUUCUUAUUCCAUAUCAAUUAACUCAGUAAUUUAAAGAAUUAGCAACAUCCAAAAUUAUGUUUAUAGCCAAAUCAUCUGAAAUAAUGUUUACAACUUUUCACCAUUACUUAAACUUCAAUUAACUGUCAUGAUAUUUACAGCUGCUGUACAUUUGAGGCUAAACUUAUGGAAUAAAGCUCUUGUGUUUUUAUCAAUGCAUUUAUAGGGUUAGAAUUGGGUUUCAUGCCUUCUCCAAAGCAUGAGCAAUGAGAGAAAUAUUUGUGAAAGAACAAUAUAAAUAUUAUUGAGGCAUUGUUUUAUAGCUGAAUGUCCUUCCUGAUGCUAGCUCUUAUCUGUUUUUCAAGUAAGGGAUUGCUUAUUCCACAAAGACAAUUUAUUGAUGGAGAAAUGAAAUUCAUCACUGCUUGCAGUUUAGCUAUUUUCAGAAAAGUACAAAUGUAAACAGGCACACACACACCACAAUGAGCUUCUUUCAGUUUCUGUCUACCAUAUCCACUCACAAGGCUUUAAAUUGCCUAGGACUAGGGUUAUAUAGUAGAGAACACCUGUGAUCAUGUACAGUGAGAUUGAACUGGAAACACAUAGUAAGAAAGGGAACCUGUUAACCAGAGAUGGCCAUGCCAUGAAUGUGUACAUACAUACAUACAUGCCUGCAUGCAUAUAGAUAGAUAGCAUUGCUGGAUUGUAGGUAAGGUAAUCAGUAUUACAGCUGCAUACUUUUAUUUGAUCUUCCUAUCAUUUGCACAAGGAUUGGAUUCCUUUUUAUUUUUUAAUCAAUUGACAUGGUCAUGUUGUCUCUCUUCUAUUGUAGUUUAUCCUAAGGCAGACUAAUUGAUAAUUAAAUCUUUCACAUAACAUUUGGGAUUGUCUAUUCAGUGUUUGUUGUCUCACAAACUCUGUUUGACAGCUCCCUUACUAGACUCUGAAAUGGUAACUGACAAGAACAGUUACUGGAUAUCAACUAGUUAACCCUUUAGCAUUUAAACCAGCCAUAUCCAUACCUGUUUUAUGUUCAAACUGGCUAGAUCUUGUUUCUCACACUAACCCUACAAUUUCAUUCUAAAGCUUAAGUUACCUCAUCAAAAUCUUAAAGCUGCAAGAUGAUGCAUAAUUAAUUCAAAACAUGCGAAUAAACAAGCUUUACUUUUGACAGAAUAAUAUGAAUGCUAAAGAGUUAACCCUUUCGUUACCAACCUGGCUGAAACCGCCACUGGCUUUGUAGUACAAAUGUCUUGUUUUCAUAAGUUUUGAAUUAAAAUCUUCUACCAAACCUUAGUCACAAUUUAUGUUCCUAACACUUGUUGAAUGAUAACUAAGUUAUUUUACUAAAUUCUUUGUUAUAUUCAAAGUAAUUGAAAGAAACACAGAGCAUCUCAAAAUAAAUACAGUAACAAAAGGGUUAAAGAACUGAAUAAGUAUUUCAUUUCUUUCUGGUAUUUCACUAAUCCCUGAAUGGUAAAUGUGUAUUUACAUCCUUUCAAACAGUGUUUUCUACAGAUAUUUAAAGAACAGUUGAUUGUGAAGGUCUGUUGAAAGUGGGGCUUCUGCUUUUGUGAUGCUUCAGUGGAAUUACCACUUGUCAAAGAUACUACUAUGAGUAUCAGUCACAAAGAAAAGAUCUUGCUAUGAAAUUUGAUAUAAUUCAUUAAUAUAAACACAGGAUCUGAAAUAAUUACAGACUUAAUUGUUUAGAUGUGCAGUCAAAUCUUGGUUAUCUGAAUUUCAGAUUGUCAAAACAGAAUCUCAAUGUUGUAUGAAUAUUUAAUUAGCCAUAGUGUUUGUUAUCUGAAUUCAUGAAUAAUAGUGGUGCUAUACUAUCAUUUUGUCCUUUAUUUACAAUGAUUAAGAGUGAAUUCAGAAUAUUGAAGAAUAUCAAAAAAGUUUUUCUAACAUUGGUCUUUUGGUUAGAAUUACAAUAGUACCAUGUACCAGUCAGUUUGCUGGUAUGAUCUGGGUUGAAAUAAUUUUUAUCUAACAUACUGAAGAAUUUAAAAGCAUAGCAAAAUCAGCAGUAUUUUUAUUCACUCUGCAAUUUUGUUCCAAGUUUUUGUUAGAAGCCUUCCAGUUUGUUGCUGUUACCAUGUGCAUGAACACCAUUAAUAAUCAGACUGAAAAGGAAGAUUUUACAGCAUCUAGAUUGUGGUGAAAGGCAUCAAAAAUUACAGCUUAUAACAGUUUAGCAAUUAAAUGACAUAAAACUCUACAGGCAGUUUUUUUUCUUCUUUUUUUACUUAAUGUUCAAAUGGCUUCCUCUGUUUAUGAUCAGAUUGGUUAUCUGAACAAAAUAUUCCCUGUCCAUCUGGUUAAGAUAAUUGAGGUCUAACUAUAAAAGUGUCAGCAUGUAAGCUGGUAUUUGUUUGGCUUAUAACAAUGAUUACAUGAAGGCUUCAAUAAAAGUGUUGUAGUUAUAAUUCUUAUGUUUUAUUAACCUUCACAUUGAGUAUCUGUGCAAAACAUAUGGUUUGGAAUAGUUAAAACACAUUGCAAAUUGUAAGAUUAACAGAAAUUACCUACAAAAAGAAUAAUUUCAGCAAAAAAUGAAUUCCUGACAGAGUAAUAAGAAAAAGUUUUCUAUUUUUAAACAGAUUAUUUUCUUAUGCAGUUUUUGAUGUAUUGAGAUUCCAAGGUUCCACUCUACAAUACUUGCAGCAGGGUUUUUAUUUGUUAGCCAUGACUUAACCUUUAAGCAUUCAGGUUACUCUGUCAUAUAUAAUGCUUAUUUAUUCACAUUGUUUUGAAUUUAUCACAUAUUAUCUUGUAGCUUUGAGAUUUUGAUGUUGUGCACUUAUUUUUAGAAUGACUUGUAGGCUAGGUGUGAGAAGCCAGAUCUGGCCACUUUGAACAUAAAGAUAGAAUUUUGAGCCAGAUGUGGCUAGUUUAAAUAUUAAGAGUUAAGUGAUUUAUUUGACUUUUGAUAUCAAAUUUUAAUGAAAUAGUGUUUGAAGAAUUUCUGAUUAAAGGUUGUUAUUUAAAAACCUUACUUUGUAUUUUACUUUUAUGGUCAUAAAAGUACUUGCUUCAGUUGAAAUAACUGGGAAAUAGUUAGUACUCUAACUUUACAAUCUAUUGGGUUGUUUUAAUUAGUGUAAUUAAUUAUAAAACACUUGCUUCAAGAAUGUAUGCAGUUGUCUCCAAUUGUUUGAAUUAUGUUUUGAAUAUGUAUUAGUUAAUUCAUAAAUAAUACUCAAGAUAAGAAACUCCAAUGAACAUGACAAAUCAUGUAGGAAGCUGAACUUUUUUGUCAAUGUUUUGAAUUUUUUGAUAAACCGGUUGAAGAAUUAGACAUCUGGUUUCAGCAACCUUCAUGAAAACUUUGGGGCGCGGAUAGAUUUGUUGAAGGAUUAGACAUCUGGUCCACUCAACCUUUAUGAAAUCAAUUUUUCAUGACUUUCAGAAAAGAGAUGAAAUUAUAAAGAGAUGGGAUAACUUAGACAAAAGUUUCUUAAGGUGUUGCUCUUUUUGUUUUCAUUUAUAAUCAAUUGAAAAGGGGACCAAUUUCAUAUUAUCACAAAAUUAAAACCAAUCAGAAUGCUAGAAUUAAUGAGCUAACACUAUGUUAAUUUUUGCAAACUACUUCUUUACAGUGUGACUUACAUUUAAAAGCCUCUAAGCCAUGGUAUUUGGCAAAGUUAUUUAUCUAGUUUUCAGGGAUUAGAGAAAGUUUCUAAAGCAGUUUUAAAAUCUUGUUUUCAGAUGGAGUCUUUAUCUCUUAGGUUGGUUUAUAUUUUUAACAUUAAUUUAGAUAGAUUUGUAAAUUUGUACAUUGAAACAGGGUUGUUCAAAGUUCAAUAUCUUCUUUAACACCAUAAUCCCACAAAGUGAUAUUAAGUCUAUUUUCAUGAUAGAUCAUCAAUGAUUGUCAUUUUCAUAGACACUAUACCGUGAUUGUAUCAGGAUUUAAACUUUAACAUCUUUACCAGUCAGUCACCAUGUCAUCCAAAUAGGAUUUCUUUACUAUUUUCAUUUAUUUUAAUUACUAAAUGGCAGGACAUUUCCUCGAAAGGCAACAAAUAGUUUCAUAAUUAAGCAAUAGACAGCGUUCAUUUUCUGCUGUAUCUCUUGUGUGAUGUAAGGUAAACUGUUAUUAGUAAUGUGUUGGAGCCAUCGCUGUAUUGUAACAAUUCUAAACAAAUGUCUUUUGCUUUCUCCCUCAGGGGAGAAAAGUUAAUCUACCUGACUGGUUUCAAAUCUCAUUUGAUUCUCAAUAGAGAAAGAAUAUCAUUUGGUAUACACACAGAAAGAAAUAUAACUACUGGUUAUAUUCACUAAAGGUAGUAAGUUUACUCAACCAAUUACUUCAAUUUGCAUAAAUAGUACUUUGAAGCAAUUUAUUCCAAUUCAGGCAAGGCUGUGUGGUUAAGAAGCUCUUUGGAACCAUACAGUUUUGGGUUCAAUCUUACUACGUGGCACUUUGGGCAAGUUUCUUCUACAAUAGCUCAUAGCCAGUCAAUACCUUGUGAGUGAAUUUGGUAGAUGGAACUGUAUGGAAGACUGUUGUAUGUGUCUCUCUUUGCUCUUGUGGUUACAAAAGAUUGAAACUGCUCUAUUAGGUCCGACUUCUUCUGUCCAUGGAGAGAAAAAUAAUCAUUUGUAUUCUGUAGCUGCAAUAUUGCAAAAGAAUUGUUUGAUUUGCACAUGUAACAAUUAUUUAGUAGGAAGCUGAACUUUUUUGUCAACGUUUUGAAUUUUUUGAUAGACCGGUUGAAGAAUUAGACAUCUGGUUUCAGCAACCUUCAUGAAAACUUUAGGGCGCGGAUAGAUUUGUUAAAGGAUUAGACAUCUGGUCCACUCAACCUUUAUGAAAUCAAUUUUUCAUGACUCAUUCAGACAUUUAACCAUAUAACGAAGUGUUGUCAUGAAUGUUAUAUACUGUAAAUGUUUAUCAUUGAUGAAUAUUUUCCUUCGCAUUUAUGUUAAACAAAUACACUCCUUUCUUGUGAAGGUUGUACUCUUCACAUCUGUUACCAUUAAAAAAAAUAAUUAUUGUGUUUGUACCAAAUAGUAUGUAAUUAAAAAAUAAUCUGGAUUCAUUUUGCAAAUGCAAAUGUAAAAAAUACAUACUUUAUUAAUUGAAACUUAUUCCAGAAGUACUUAUUCUGUUGGCUUUUAGAAUACCUAAAUACAGUAUAAUUUGCUUUAGUUUUCUUCUCUCUUUCUUCUUUUCAUGGCCGGUUUACACAGAACAAAUCUACAGCCAAAUUUUAAUUAAUACCAGAUAAUAUUUUCUUAUAUUCUGCUCCAGCAUUGGCAAAAAGUUAAGACACCCACCCAACCAACCUUUCCACCGUACUGUUUAAUGUCUUGGAAGGAAUUUUAAACUUUGUUUUAUCAGGACCCUUGGUCAAAUAGAUAUUUCUCCCCCCCCCCCUUUCUUGUUCUCUCUCAUUCACAUGUGUGUGCUUAUUUUAUCAACCUGAAAGGAUGAAAGGCAAAAUUGACUUUGGCAGAAUUUGAACUCAGAAUGUGAAGACAGACAAAAUGCCACCAAGCAUUUUGCCCAGUAUGCUAACAAUUCUGCCAGCUCUCAUCACCUUAAAAAUAUACACACACACGUUCCUGCGAGUUUACUUCUUGUGUGAUAUUGCAAAGGCUCCUACUACAUCUUUGUGGCAUUUACUGUUUUAUGAAGCUACAAUAAUCUCCUCUUAGCACUGCUCAGAUGAACCUGAAAAGUAAUUAGAACUGUGUCUGGCAGUAACUACCAAAAGACAUCAGUGCUAAAGUUUUUUUGUUUUUAUUUCUUCCCACGCAUCACAAUGAUCCACAUAGGACUGGUGCUCAAUUUUGACUAUUCUAAAUUUGGUAUAUGAGAGAUAAAUUUAUGCCUGUAUAAAAUGCUAAUAAUUCAAGAUUAUUUAGCAUAAGAUGAUGAUAUAAUGGAAAGAACAGACUUUUAGUGGGGAAAAAUAGAUAUUUCAUGAAUUUAUUUCAUAAACUUAUCUCUAUUUUUUUUUUUUUUUUAAGGUAUAUGUACCAACUGUUUUUGUUCCUAUUUUUAAUCAGUUGAAAAGAGGACGAAUCCAACAGCAUUAUCACUAAACUGAAACGAAGCAAGAUAAUAAUCUUUACUGUAACGACUUGUAUCUAAAAGCAUCUAAGUUGUUAUAUUUAGAAAUGUAAUGGAAUAUUUAACUAGGCAACAUUCUUUGUCUAGGUUAACUGAGUUAAUGUAAAACAAAAUGUACCCUGAAACAACAAAAUGCAUAUAUAUAUACACACACAUACAUAUACAUACAUACACACACACACACCUUAACAUUUCAAUUGCUAUCAUUUCUGUACUUUUUAGCAUAGAGACAAUUUUCAGUAACAUUUUUAUGUGUUAAUCUCUUAAUGCUUAAGUCUAAGUGGAGGAGGAUUUCUCUCAUUGUCAUUCCUGUCAUCAGACACAAGAAGAAAAAAAGAUUUUUAAUUAUGCUGGUGGGCAUUUGAAUUAGAAUAUGUAAUUUUAAAAGAUAUUUAAAAUAUGUUAAUAAUUUUGCUUUUUUUUUUUAUCAUGUGAAGCAGCACAUUAAGUAUAAUCUUUGAAUGAAUGUAUUUGAAUGAAAAGUAUUGUUUAAUAUAGUUUAUAUGAGUAUUUAUGACACUAUUGUUGUUUAAAGUUGUUUUUCCAUGCUGGCCUGGAUUGGACAAAUGUCUUAUAGAGGCAUUGUUUUACAACUGGAUGCCUUUCUUGUUGCUAACCUGAUUUUCAUGUUAGAGAUCUCUCACUCCAAGUGGUUUUGAAGGUGUGAAAGGAGCAGAUGGUUUGUUGGCAGAAGAACUGUCAACAGUAACACCACACACAUAAUCAGUCUCCAUAUGAUUGCAAGUACACACAUGCAUGCACGUGAACAUUUUUCAGUUUCUUUGUACCAAAUCCUAGGUCAGAACAGGGCUAUAGUAGAAGACACCACUCAUGGUGCCACACAGUGGAACUGAAACUUGAGCACAUAUUUGGUAAACAAAUUUCUUAAUCAGAGUUAUACCUGCACUUUUUUAGCUUCUUCAUUUCAUACUUUGUUUUUACAAAUUAAAAAUAUAUUGGCUCACUCAGUAAUAAUCAAUGUAAAAUACUCCAAAUUAAUUUGACAAUCUAUUAUAAAUGAUGACCAAUUUCAGUUCAGUACAGAUUAACUUGUUAAAAAAAAAAAAAAUACAGUUAAUAAAAAUAAUUCAACAAAGUGCAACCAUGACUUUGGUUAAGAAGUUCACCAAGGACCAUGUAGUUCACUGCUGCUACAUGGACACUGGUGGCUAGUAUUUUCUGCUAUAGCCACAGGUUGACCAAUACCUAGUGGGUGAAAUUUGGUCGACAGAAAAUAGCUCAUCAUAUAUAUAUAUAUAUGACUGUGGCUAAUUACCUUUGUCUUAACAUGUGUAUACUGAUGAUAAACAAAGCAUCACAGUUCAUACAAACAGUGUUGUUUAUUUGCAAUCUGUAAGAAAGCAUGUCCAAGCUGUUCUUUGUUUCAUUAGAGUUGGGGGGGAAAAAUUAAUUUGUGCCCCAGCAUGACCAUAAUCUGAUGACUAAAACAAGUAAAAGAUAUAUAUACAUAUAGAUAGAUGUUAUAUUCUAUCAUAGCAUCAUAAAGGACCAAAUAUCUACAUACUAUCAGACCAUGUGCCCAGUUAAAAAUUCUUAUCAGAUAGUGAAACAAGAUUCAGGAAUGAUUUCAGAGCUGCAACACUAUGGCUUUCAACACAUUUUAUGAUGUUGUUAGCUUAUAAAAUUAGCUUAGAACUUUGUGCAUAAAUUUCUAACAUAUAGUGAAUAAUUUGUGAAAAUUCUGAAGUAUAGUGAACAGUUUUCUCUUGUUAGUUUCUAUUGAGAAUAACUUUUUAAAAAUGCAUUCUCUUUUGGAAGCUUUUUUUUUUAACAGGAAAUAAGUUUAGAAAUAAAAAUUUCGGUCUUGAGUACAUUAAAGUCUUUUUCAUCUUUUUUAAUUGAUUCACUAGUAGAAGCAAGAUAAAUUUAUCAAACUAAUUUUCUUUUUUCCAUCCCCUACACAGUGAAAUUUUGAUUGGUUGCUUAUUUUGUUAGCUAUCUUCAAUCACAAACUUUUAUAUUUUCACCCCACUAUCUAUUCUCAUCAACAGUCUAGACCUAAAUUACAUUUCAUACAUAUCUAAAAUACUUUAGAUGCUUUUUUCAGUAGACAACUGUGGACAUAUUUGAACUUGAAUUCCAUUAUAUCUUUUCCACAUGAUAAAAUCUGAUUUUUUUUUUUUUUUUUUUUUUUUGCUAAAUGAAGUAUGAGAUCCUUAGAACUUUCAUUACCAUAUUUCUGUUGAAAUCCAUUUCCUUUCUUUCAAUUAAUUUUUAAAAUAAUGAAGAAUUUUGUAAAUUAUUUUGUCAUUAUGAAGCUGGUAUUUCAAACAAAUUAAUGUGAAAUUUUGAUGGAAGAUUUUAAUUUAAAUCACUUUAAAGCAAAGUUCAAACUUGAUAAAAUUGGGCAACAUCUUGUUCUUGAAAGCAUAAUAAACUCCUGCGUGGUUUAAAUUUGAAAACAAAACACUGUGUGCAUUCAACUCCAGCUAUCUUUAAAACUUGUGCUAACGUCUCUUCAUGCCAUCAGUAUGUAAAAAACAAUCUUUAUCUUUCACUUGUUUCCUGGAGCCAUGAAGGGUUUUACUUGAACCCCAGUACUUAUUUAUGAAUCCUGGUACUUAUUCUAUUGAUUUUUUUCUUUUUUGUUUAACCUCCAAGUUAUGAAGAUGUAAACAAGCACCGGUUGUCAUGUGGUGGAUUACUGACACAAAGAUGCACACAAACACAUACAGUGGGCUUCUUUGAGUUUCUAUCUACCAGAUCCUCUCACAAGGCUUUGAUUGGCCCUGGGCUAUAGUAGAAGACAUUUGCUGCUCAAAGUGCCAUGCAGUGGUACUGGACUAGAAACAAUGUGGCUUGGAAGCAAACUUCUUAACAUGGAGCCAUAUAUAUAAAAAAAAAAUCUAUAGGUGCAGGAGUGGCUGUGUGGUAAGUAGCUAGCUUACCAACCACAUGGUUCCAGGUUCAGUCCCACUGCGUGGUAUCUUGGGCAAGUGUCUUCUAUAGCCUUGGGCUGACCAAAGCCUUGUGAGUGGAUUUGGUAGAUGGAAACUGAAAGAAGCCCAUCUUAUAAAUAUAUAUAUGUAUAUAUAUAUAUAUAUAUAUGUGUGUGUGUUUGUGUUUGUCCCCCCAACAUCGCUUGACAAUCGAUGCUGGUGUGUUUGCAUCCCUGUAACUUAGCAGUUCAGCAAAAGAGACCGAUAGAAUAAGUACUAGGCUUACAAAGAAUAAGUCCUGGGUUCGAUUUACUCGCCUAGAGGCAGUGCACCAGCAUGGCUGCAGUCAAAUGACUGAAACAAGUAAGAGAGUAAAAAGAGUAUCUUUUUCUUUUAAUUUAAUUUUAACCUCAUUAAAUGUGUUUUAACUACAAAUCACCAUAGAUUCUCAAAGCAUCGCCAUUAUCAAUGAAUUGUAUCAUAGUUUCUAUUGUUUAAAAAUGAACUGUUCAGUUUUUUUCUAACUAACAUUUAAUUCAUGAUAGUGUUAAUGAAGAUAAUAUUUAAUGGUUGCUGUUUGUAUUCUGUUUAAAAUACUGAGAUUUAAUCAUGUGCCAAUUUGUUCAAUUGGUUCCAAUUACUAGUAAUUGAUAAGAGUAGGUAGAAGUUAACUUAAUGAAUUGUAUGCAAGGCAGAACUACAAUUUUCUUUGAAACUUUAAAUAUUUAAAUUUUCUUUGGCUUUUUUUUUUUUUUUUUUUUCUUAGCUACUCAAUGAAUGUUCAGUACAGAUAGAUUUGAGUUUAUGUGCUUCUGUUAUUAACAUAAAUUUAUUACAUUACUAUUGCAACUACUUACUUAAAAUAUUGCAUAUUCACGGGCUGUAUCAUAUUUAUGUAUUUAAUAGUUUAGUUGAUAAAAUGUGAUGUAAAUUGUAUUUAGGUGAAAGUUUUUGUUUAUUUGUUUCUUAGUCAGGAAAAAAAGCAUUGUUUCAAGACCUGCUUUUAGGGUAUCUGAAACUCUUGAGAGGGUAUCUGCAAACUGGAAGCUUGUAGUGAAUGCAGCAAUGGGGUGAAUUUUACUUAAGGCAUCCAAGGUAUCGGGUAAUGAUAUUAAACUGGGCAUCCAAGUAGGCCAUAGCUGGAUUUGAACUCAGAACAUAAAGAAUUGGAACAAAUACUGCAAGACAUCUGGUUUUAUUUACAUUCUUACAGUUUUGCUUAUCCACAGAUUUGGAUUGGUAAUUUUUUUUUAUCAAUUCUAAAAGGAUGGAAAGCAAAGUUGACCUCAGUGAGAUUUGAACUUGAAACCCAAAGAGUCAGAAGAAAUUUUCCAUAACAUUCUGCCUGAUGCUCUAACAAUUCUGUCAGUUUGUCUUUUUUUGUUUUUUUUUUGAGAGAUGAAUAUUAGCUAAAAGGAAAAAUAUGUCUUUAGUUGAGAAUGUCCUAGAAAGGUAUGGGGGUAUUAUUUGUGAUAUAUUACUUGAGUAAAUACAGAUUUCAAAACUUGCAAUGAUAUAAAUUCAACCAACUUGUUGCAUGAGAAAAUGGGUAUAAAAUUAGAAUAAUCUGUUAUCUCUUACCUUUUAUUCAUUUCAGUUAUGCAGCCAUGCUGAGACGUCAUUUUAUGGGUUUAGUCAAACAAAUCAAACCCAGCAUUUAUUUUUAAGACUGAUAUUUUAUUCAUCUCUUUUUGCCAAACUACUAAGUUAUGGCAAUAUAAAACAAUCUAAUCCUGGUUGCCAAGUGUACAUGGGGGAAAGAGGAAGGCACACAUAAACAAAUAUGUAUAUGUACAUGGCAGGCUUCUUUCAGUUUCCAUCUACCAAAUCUACUCACACAAAUUGUUUUCUGAUAUAUUGCAUGGAUGUGCAAUAUAUUGCUGUUAUAUUACUGCACUUGUCUACAUGGAAACUGGUACCAGCUUCAUUUCCAAGUAGUAAGGUUGAUUGGGAGGAGGACUGUAGAAACACUUCUCGGUAUUGGAAAGACUGAUAUAUUGAGAAUAUAAUAAAUAUUGAUUCUUAAUGCAAAGAAGAUACAAUUUAGCUUUACAUUAAUUUAGACAGAAAUAUCUUUAAAAUGUGUGUGCUUAUUGUUUAUCUAUGUGUGUAUGUUAUCUAUUGGGAUUUUGGGCUGCUACAGUAGAAAAUAGCUUUUGCUAUCUUCCAGCAUAGCUUUUACUUCAGUGGAGAGAUACACAACUAUAAUGUCCUACAUGACUCUAAAUUCUUACUUUAAAAGAAUAGUAUUCUGUCCACUACUACUAUUCAGAUAAGUUUUAACAAACUAUACAGCUGUAUAAAUUAAUGUACCUAAGGAAUUUAGAGUUUAUCCAAUAAUGUUGUAAUUUUAUAUAUGUAUAUAUAUGUGUGUGUGUGUGUAUAUAAAUAUACACACACACAUAUACACACACAUAUAUAUAUAUACAUACAUAUAUAUAUACAUAUAUAUACACACAUAUAUAUACAUGCAUGUAUAUUAAACAUAUAUACAUAUAUAUAAUUAUAUAAAUAUAUAUAUAUAUACAUACAUAUAUAUACAUAUAUAUAUAUACAUAUAUAUAUAUGUAUAUAUAUAUGUAUAUAUAUAUAUGUAUAUAUAUAUAAAUGUAUAUAUAUAUGUAUAUAUAUAUACAUAUGUAUAUGUAUAUAUAUAUAUACAUAUGUAUAUGUAUAUAUAUAUAUACAUAUGUAUAUGUAUAUAUAUAUAUACAUAUGUAUAUGUAUAUAUAUAUAUAUAUAUAUAUAUAUAUAUAUAUAUAUAUACAAGAUAAGAAAAUGGAGAAAUACAUCUAAAUCAAAUAUCAAUUACCAGAUAAUACUCAAUCACAUACUUUAUUAAACCACCACAUAAGAGACUGUAGGGUUAAACAUAAAAAAGCAGAACAAAUCAGUGUACAUAAAAGAAUGUACAUAAAAAGUGUACAUAAAAGAGUAAUGUUGUAUAAUAAGUAGAAUAUAUAUAAAAGAGAAUAUAAAUAUAAGUAAAUAUAAAUAUAAGUAUAGAUUACAUCUUACAGCUGUUUCGGCCAUGUAGAUAAGUAUGUCUCAUUUUACCAAUAUUAGCCUUUUAUGGUAGGUCAUAUAUAUAUAGAUAUAAAUGAGACAUUUACAAAAAUAUCAUAAGGCCUCUUCGGAGAUUAUGUGAUAUAAAACAUAAAAAUAUGUGUAUAUAUAUGUAUGUAGAUAUGUAUGUGUAAUUUGGUACGGUCGUUUCACACUACAUCAUUUUAUUAAAUGUAAGUAUUACAACAGUUUUUAAAUGCUGAGCACUCAUCAGCCAUUAAUAGAGGUUUUCCAUUAAUACAUAAUUUUCAUAUCAAGUGGUAACAUUAUAGAGAAGGUGAUAUGUUAUUGAGAUCUGACUACUAUUUCUAGCAGGUUGAACAACAUAAUAUAGACACAUCAAAUGAAUUAGCUAAUUAUUGUUCUUAAUUGUUUUUUUUUUUUGCUUGAAUUUCAUAUUUUCUGCUUGUUAUUUUGUCCUUCAGUUAAUUGUGUUCUCUGUUCUCAGCAGUUGAGGUGCCACCAUAAUGCCACACAUUGUUUUUGAAAAAAUGGUUCAAUAUGUGAUGUUAAUAUGAAGUGCACACACACACACACACUCUGAAUAAUUAACAUUUUUUAGAAAGUUAUGUUCAGGUACUCGACUCAUAUAACAGCUGUUAUAGUGUAUCUUUUAAUGUUUGUUAUGCUACUGUCAGAGAUAUCGAGUAGUUAGGAUAUAGGUACCAAUCCUGUUUAAUAAUAAUGGUUUAUCACUUUACAAAUGCACUAUGAUUAAAAAUACAUGAAAAUGUCAAUUUACAAAACCUUUCAGUCUUUGCCAGUACCCACACAAAACCUGCUCUAUUAAAGGACUCAGGCAUUGUCAUUGUUGAUUGAUUCAGUCAACAUUUCAUAAAGGAACGAUGAAAAUUUAUCAUUAAUUCAGGUUUAGCAUCCAUCUAUCUAUUCAUCCUUAUCUAGAUUAGAUGAGUUUGCUGAAUGCAGUUGGCACCCUCUCAGAUAGACAUUGUACAAGAAUGGUGAUGGGGUGGAUUCUGAUUGUACAAUGGAUGUGAUAUUUUGUGUACAAAAGUAGAGGUUUGAGUGGCACUGCUUUAAGUGGUGUGUUUUUCUAAUUGAUGUGGCUUUAUUUGUCCUUUUUAUUGUUUUGACACAUUCACUCUAGCAGAGCAUCCUUUGUAAUGAAAAUUAUUAGUUUUUCUCUUGCUUUUUUAGUUUCUUUAUUUGGUAACUGUUGUUUAAGUUUAAGCAGCAGCUGCAUUGAACCAGUGAUAUAAAAAGUACUGUCAGUUUGACUUGUGAAAAAUACAUCUGCUCUUUAGAAAAGAAAUCUUUCAGAUUUAUAACAAAAUAAUCAUUGUUUUGUAUUCACUAAUUCAGGAAUUGUAUGAUUGUUGCAUGAUUCAGGAACAAGAGAGUUCAUACCACAUUAGACUUGUGAUUAAAAUUCAUCUUUGUGGAUAAUGUAAAAGAUUGUGAAUAGUAUUAUACAUUUAAAGGAAUUUAACCCUUAUAUGACCAUAUUUCUGUUGAAAUGCACUGCUUUUAUUCCAAUCAGUUUUGAAAUGGAUGGGAGCCUGUGUUUGAAACAUAAAUUAACAUGAAAUUUUGAUGGAAGGCUUUGAUUUAAAUUGUUUUUAAGCAGGAAGUUUGUAUCCUAGAAUGAAGGACAGUUUCAGACUGGUUGACCACUGAAGGAAAUGAAUUUUUGAAAAUGUUUAAAUUUGACUUUUACUGUAUUUUUUUUUCUUGGAGAGCAUCCAAAAGAAACUUUUUAAUACCUCAUUUGUGAAAUUUGGAUGAAUAUUUUAGGAAAUAUGACAAUUUGAAUGGUUACUGAAUUGGUCGAAAUCUUGCCUAAUGGUCUUUGAAACUGAGGUGAUAAUUAUCUUCAAAUUACACAAAUUAAUAUUGUCCAUGGGAUAGUAGUUGCCUCUUUUUUUUUUCAAGUUCUUGGAAAUGAAAUUUUUUUAAAUAUUUGUUGCAAAGCCUAUUUUGUUACAUUGUAAGAAACAGUCAAGUUUGCAAUGCUUUCAGACCUAACUAAAUCCAAAAGUACUUGGCACAUUUGUUGUAGGUAUAGAACUAAAUAAGCCCUUCUGAUUUUAGGACAUGACACCAUUUCAAUAUAAUUGUAAUGGACCAUUAAAAAUGGCUAUAAAUGGUAGUUUUGGAUCAGGACACCCACACAAGUUGAAUUUUUUCCAUUUUGACCAGUAUUUCCCCAAUUUUUUUUCACCAUGGCCAUGUAAAGGAUGGGAGGAAGCUUUUUAGGAAAAAAAUUUUUUUGAAAAUUCAUGUCUUCCCCCUACCCAGACUGAUUUUGGCGAAUUUCUUUUUGCAAUAUGCACUUAAAAUCAAUAGAAGUCCUUUUGAAAAAUAGAAAGAAAAAAAAGUGAAAAAAUUUUAGAUGAAAAGGUGUGUGAUUUAAAGAAGAUUUAGAUGUUGUUUUUAGCACAUACCAUCACCACCUGGUACAUUUCUCAGAACUGCAUGUAGACCUAGAUUUAAAAAAGCAAAAUGUGAAAAUUCCUUGCUUUUGCAUUAAAAACAUCUGUAACUUACAGCAAACUUGUAGGAGAGAGAAAAAAAGACAAAUAUGUAUACACAAUCACAAAUUAUCUGUAUUCAAAAUUUAGAAGAAAACAACAAAAAAAAAAUCACAUCAGACUUUAAUAGUCUACAAAAUAAUAUUCUUUGCACAGUAUAGUUUUUAUGGGCAAAAUUUGACCAAUAUUUCUUGAAGUAAAAUUAAAUUUACAUGUACAAGAAUAUCUGCUAGGUAAAAUUUGGACCUCGCACACCACAUACAAAAAACAGCGAAAGAGAAUAAACAACAUUGACAAAUCCAUGUUAAGUUUUGUCUCUAGAAGACUUAUUAUGUAGCUCAAUUUAGUCCAUUUUUGCAUAGAAAUUUGUUCAAUUAGCUUGUCUGUUUUUUUUUUAAUUUUGGCUCAAACUCAAUAUUUGAAGCCUUGGAUUCAUGUUCUGUUUCAGCUCUUGCCAUGUGGGAAUAUGUCAGUUUGACAAGUAGCAUCAGUACGUGCUAAUCCUAUAGAACAGCUGUGGUCCCCCCCCCCUUUUAUUGACUUUGCACUUUUACACCAUCUCAUUACCAGAUUUAGUAAUGGCUGUAUCAAAUUCGCAAGAAAUUUUUCUUUCAUAUGGUAUAAAAAUCUUGAAGGAAAUUUUUUUUCCUAAGUGAAAAUCAAUGAUAAAAUUUUCACUUUUAUAUUUCAUAACAAUUAUCUUUUUUACCCCCAUUGAUUUCUAUUGCAAAAUAUAGCAAAAAAAGUCUUCUUUGUGACUAUAUCAUUUUCAACACAAAUUAAGUUACAGUGCUCCAGCACAUGGUCCCGUUUUUGCUUUUGGCUGCUGAACAGUAUUCCUCAUUCUGGUUCAAACUUUGUGAAUGGUCUGAAAUACAAGGGUGACUGAGGGAACCUGACACGAUAUUUAAGAUUUUGAUCAGAAGUAUAUAAGAAAGUUCACAUCCAGUACUUCCAAAUAUUUAAUUGUCCUCAAAUUAUGUAUUUUGACAUGAAAAUGAUCAAGCAAAAAGGAUUUUUUUCAUAGUUAAACUACUUGUCUCCAUUCUGCAGAGCUCUACUGUGAUACCUACUUAAAUUAUAUCAUACAAAUCUCAUGUUCAUAUUUAGGCUUAACUAAAUUUCUUUCUAAUAUUUUUGAAGCUAUGUUUAGAUAAAAUAGGUUUUUGAGCUUAUUAGAAGCAGCUAGUUUAAGACUAUUAACAUCUGUGGAGAGGGUGUAGGGUAUUGGCUUUGAAUGUUUUACAUAUAAUUGUUUCUAACCAAAUUAAAGAUCCAUAUAACAUAUUAGAACAUGAAAUCUUUUGCUUUUUAAUCGAUGAAAGAAAUAAUUUAAUGUAGAAUGUUUAAUACCUUCAAUUUUCUUUUGAAACCAAACCAAACUGCAGCUCUGAGUUGUGGAUGCUAGUAUUCAGACAGCUAUAAAGCAAAGUUUAUGAGAAGCUCAAAAGUUUUCAGAUAUGGGGAAAUUUAAGAGCUGUUCAUUUAUGUGAACUGUGUAGUGAUUUACUUUUUAUUUGUUUGUGCUGAUAUAUUUUCAAUAACUUUAAAAUUAAACAGUUAGAAUGCUUCGUUAAUUCCAAUUAAUUUAAACUACUUGCAAGAAAUUAGUUUUAAGCUACCUGGAAAUUUGCUUUCUAGGUUUAAUCCUGCUUUCAUCUUUACUGCUAGAAACCUUUCAUGUCAUUAAAAAAAUUUUUUUUUUUUUCACAAAUUAGGUCAACCAUUUCAUGUUUUACUGUGUUGUGUAGGUGGACAUUCCUUACAAGUUUGUCUGCCAAGCCUUUCAUUUAAAAUAUUUUAUUUUACCCUACUUUUUUCUUCUUUCAUUUCAUUUUUUGUCAAGUAACAAUUAAAAACUGAUCAACUGUUUCAUUUUUAAGUGACUAGAUGGUGAUAUAUAAACACCAACUGUUUUAUCUAAAUGGGAAUGUAAUGUUCUCAUUUAAAAUAAUAAACUGCUAAUUAUUUACUGAUUCUGUCGCAGAAAAAAAAAAUCAUGCUAUCUGCUCAUAUCAUAAACAAACUUUAGUUCUGUGUAAGCACAAAUCAUUUCCAACAACAAUAUCAUUAACAAAGCUUUAAUUACUUAAACAGCAAAUAUAUAUAUAUAUAUAUAUAUAAUGUGUGUGUGUUUGUCCAUUAUGCCAUCAUCAUUUAAUGGUUACUUUUUAGCUGAAACAAAUUUUUUACAAGUGGAUGAUACCAACCAUCACUUAUUUCCAAACAAUGUAAUAUUUCCCAUGGCUCGACAUGUUUUUCACGGAAGACUGGAAACAAAUGAAUUUGCUUGUGCGACACUACAUAUUUUACAAGUAUCAUGUGAUGUCAAGAGUACACACAUUCAUUUAUAGAUAUAUAUUUAUGACAGGUUUCUUUCAACCUCCAUCUACCAAACCCACUAACGCACUCAUAAGGCUUUGGUUGGCUCAGGGCUAUAAUACAAGACACUUGAACUGAACCUGAGAUCACAUGGUUGGAAAACAAGUUUCUUUACUACACUGCCGCACAUGCUCACACACAUACACACACACACACAAAAUUAAAUAAAUGACAAGGGAAGAGGAAAUUAUGUAAUGAACUUCAGUAGCUUACUGCUGUUUCUGCUAGAAGAUGCAGUGCACUCAGAGCAGAGCACUUAUUCAUUUCCUUAUACCUUCCUUGGAGCUCCAAGGAAGCUAUAAGAUGAUGCACAUGUACUCAUCUUUGAAUGCACUGCAUUUUAUAGCUGAAACAGCUGUAAGCUUAUGGAGUUCAUUACAUAAUUUCUUUGUAUCUUGUCAUUUAUCUAAUUUCAAGUUAGGCUCUAUACUCAACUAAUGCUUUAUUCUGAAGCAUAUGUUUAUUGAAUUCUAACACCAGAUUAUAUCACUAUAUCUAAGCAAAAUAAACAUAUAAGUUCAUAAAUCAUAUAAGUGCGCAAAUGGAAAACAGACACAGAAGGUCGCCAACUCCUUGUUAGUUAUCGGUCAGAGGGUCAAACGCUAUUUCAUGCCUUACAAUGUGUGUGUACAUGCAUACAUGUGUGUGAGUGUGUGUGUAUACAACCGAAGUGACAAUCUAACAUUUUCAAGUACAGUUAUUAAAGUUUCUUUGAUUGAGUGACAGUGCAAGGGUUCUUUUACAGAAUAACAAAAUGCCACUAAGCUAGAAUAUUUCCUAAGAUGUGGUGGACCACUUCCCAGGUGUUUGUCUUAGUUGCAAGGGAUUGCUAGGAAUCAUUCAUAACUCUGGUCAGUCAAUCUCCCUCGGGCAUUUGCAGCUGCCUUUCAUCUUAAAUUAUUGUGUAUGAAUGAGAUGGACUUCUUGUAGACUUCUCGAAUUUGAAAAGAGUGUGUUGUGCCAAGUAGAGAGGUGACUAUACAAUGAUCACUUUGCAUAUUAUAAUAUCUGUAAAUAAUGUUUCUGUCAGCCUACCAAAGAUCCUACUGCACCUUUUGAGUAUCUAUUCCUUACACUGAACACAUAGCAUCAACUUCCAACUUCCCUUCUAUUCAGUGAAAAAAACUUUGAGUUUUACAUUUUCAUGCUUAGCCUUCAAGAUCAAAUUCUAAACUGAAAAGUUUCUGUAUUGAUUCAUGUUUCAUUUUUCAGUUUUUAAUUACUCAGCAUAUUUAAUCUCUUCACCAUUAUCACCACCAAUCACUAGAAUGCUUAAAUUGUAUUUAUUUAGUUUGCUUCUCUUUUUUUUUAAGUAUGAAGUUGUCUUAUUUUUAGUCUGCAAUGUUGUUACAUGGAAUGAUUCCAAUCAGGAAUUUAAUCUUAAUUUGCAACUUCGUUUGAGCAGUUAUCACCAAAACAUUUUUUUAAUAAUUGCUUUAUCUCAUUAACUUUUUAUACAUAGCAGCAGUAACAUUUUCUAUUCUAUAACAAUUAUAGUUUUAUAGUGAAUUCUCAAGCGUUAUAUUAUUUGGAUAAUUCUAUAAUAGUUGCAUAAUGUAUGAAAUUUAUUAUCUUCAGGUUACAUGGUACUCUUUUUGAAAUAGGUUUGUGUUAGCAGUAAAUCUGUGUUUGUUGUCCAUGGUACAGAGCCAAAUGAUAGCAAAAAAUUUCAUAAACUUUAAUAAUCUUGCACACUGAUGAAGAAUUUAUGAUUCUUUUUGUUUUCAUUUAAUCAUAAGCCUGACAGUUAAAUUAAUAAUGUAUAAAUUAUAAUUUAUGAACGAUUCUCACAGAUUCUUUAAAAUUUAAUUUCUCAGUGUUUAAUUUAUUAAACUCAAGGCCUAUUCCUAUAUUAAAAUCAUUUUCUGUACACUUUUGAUCUGCAAAGAGUUUGAUUUAGAAUCAAAUAUUCAAAAACAAAAAUAAUAUGGUUUAAUAAUUUAUCGUAUGAUUAAUUAGUUCACUUAAACUGAUUGCAAGUGUUGUUUUACAGUUGGAAGCAGUUAAAAAUAUUCAUCAAUUUUUCAUUUUCUUUAAUUUUUGCUUUUUCCUAGCUUCAGCCAUUGGACUCUGUCCAUGUUAGGAUGUUGCCACGUUCAAAGGCAGUCUAUUACAACAGUGCUAGACCUUAUUACUUUUAGUUUGAUAACUAUUUUGUUGCUCUAUAUUGGUUGAAUCACUGAGUUAAGCUUUGUGCAAUUACACUAGUAGUUACAUAAACACAGACAUAGACUCAUAUACGCACACACAUCUAUUCCCCCCCACUCUUUAUAUGUAUAUACACACACACACACACGUAUGACGUCCUUCUUCAUAGUUUACGUCUACUAAAUUACACUCAUAAGGUAUUGGUCAACCUAACGUUCUAGCAGAAUACACUCUAGUGCCAUGGAAUCAAAUGUAGAUCCACCUGGUUGUGAAGUAAAUCUGGCCAGUUUUCUUAAUAUACAAAAUCCCUUAUACGAUAUCUUUUACUUAUUUCUUUUUGUUUUAUUUAAUCAUAAGCCUGACAGUUAAAUUAAAUUUUAAAGAAUCUGUGAGAGUUCUUCAUAAAUUAUAAUUUAUACAUUAUUAAUUUCUCUGCAGCCAUGUUAGAGCACCACCCCCAUCAUCAUCACUGUUUAGCGUCUGUUUUCCAUGCUGGCAUGGGUUGGAUGGUUUGACUGAGAACUGGUAGGCUGAGAGGCUGCACCAAGCUCCAAUCUGAUUUGACAAGGUGUCUACAGCUGGAUGCCCUUCCUAAUGCCAACCACUUUGUGAGUGUAGUGGGUGCUUUUUACAUUCCACUGGCACAGGAGCCAGUUGGACAGCACUGGCAUUGGUCAUGCUCAAAUGGUGCAUUUUGCGGCACUGGCAUCAGGUGCCAGUGAGGUGCCACUGGCAUCAGCCAUGCUUAAAUGGUGUUUUUUACAUGCCACCAGCAUGGGUGCCAGUCAAGCGGCACUGGCAUCGGCCACGACUAUAAUCUCACUUGGUUUGCCAUGUCUUCUGAAGCACAGCAUAUCUCCAAAGGUCUCAGUCAUGCUUCACCACCUCAUCCCAUGUUUUCCUGGGUCGAUCUCUUCUGCAGGUUCCUUCAACUGCUAGGGUGUGACACUUCUUCACACAGCUGUCCUAAUCCAUACACAUCACAUGACCAUACCAGCACAGUCAUCUCUCUUGCACACCACACCUGCUGCUUCUUAUGUCCAACUUUUCUCUCAGGAUACUUACUCUCUGCCGUGUACGCACACUGAUAUUACACAUCUAGUGGAGACUGUAGUAAACAUUUGCCCUAGCUGCCACACAGUGAAACUGAACCUGGAACCAUGUCGUUGGAAGCAAACUUUUUACCACACAUCCACACCUUAUGUUUUGUUUUAUGAAGUAACAAGGAUUAGGUUUUGUUGUAUGCUGAGCUUUCCAAAGUCUUAUGUUAUCUACUCUCCUUCUUUGUAUAUUUUCUACAAAUAUCCUUUAAGCUUCUGCUGCUAAGUCAUAUAUUUUUAUCUUUCUUUUAUGUUGUUUAUUUUAAAGUACCUAACAUUUUCCUUUUGUGUUACAUAUCUACAAUUUAUUGGACCAUUUAUUGCCAGUUGGCAUUGAAAACAUCAACUAUUACCAUAUAUCUAAAGGUAAACAUAAUUAAACAAGACAGGUAAUGGAUAUAUAAUUACUACUUGAAAAAUAUGCUUGAAUACCUAGAAGAUGCCAUAGCAACAAAAUAUCCUUCAGUCUUUUUUAGAGGUUCUUACCACUCUAAAUCAGUGACGUCGUGAUAUUCUUUUCCCAAGCAUCUGUAAUGACUAUUGUUGUUGUUGUUGUUAUUAUUUAAGGUAGCGAGCUGGUAGAAUCAUUAGCAUGCUGGCAAAAUGCUUAGCAGUAUUUCAUCCGUCUUUACAUUCUGAGUUCAAAUGCCGCCAGGGUCAACUUUACCUUUCAUCCUCUUGGGCUUGUUAAAUUAAGUACCAGUUAUGCACUGGGAUUGAUGUAAUCACCUAGACCCCUCCUCCAAAAUUUCAGGCCUUGUGCCUAUAGUAGAAAGGCUAAUUAUUAUUAUUAUUAUUUCUUGUCUUUUAUCUUAGUAGAAAAAAAAAGAUAUGUGAUGUGUUCUUUAUCUGUAAUCAUUCAUUUCAUCUUUGUGGUGGUGAAUUUCUUCUACUUGCUGUAGAAAAGCACCUCCACCAAAUGUUCUCAAAAUAACAAGAAAGGCAUAUCCAGAAAGAAAGAGAUAUCUGAUCUCAGAAGUUUAGAUUUUAAAGGUGAUGUGACUCAAGCUUGAAAUAAUAGUGAUAUGGUGCUUUAGCAUAGAAAAUGGUUACUAAAAUGAUGUCAUAUUUCUUGUAUUAUAUGUGAAGUGAGAUAAUAGAUGAACUUUUGAAUGGGGCCUUGUUGUCAUCACUUCCCUGCGUAGCCAUAGAGUUAAGACAUCCGCUUCCCAACUAUUUGAUAUCAGGUUCAGUCCCACUACAUGACACCUUGGGCUAAAGUCUUCUACUUUACCUCUAAGCCUACAACAGCCUUGUCAGUAGAUUUGGUAAAUGGAAACUGAAUAAAGCCUGUUGUGUGUGUGUGCAGACACACUACCACAUACUAUCAAGUGUGUUUGUUUGUGUCUCUUCGUCUUGGCAUCACAUGGUGUUGCAGAUGAGCAUCACUGUCAUACAAGCAGUAUCAUUCAUUCCCAAUCAUCUAUGAAAACAUCUCCAAUUGUGAAGAGAUAUUACACUGCUAGAAAACGGGUUAGGGUCAGCAACAGGCUGUAUAAAAUAUGCCUCAGUGAAUUCUAUCUAAUCCAUGCAAAUAUGGGAAAGUUAAAACAAUGAAGAUGAGGAAUUCUAAGAUAACCUCAGCUAAGAACAGAGACCAAAAUUUGAACUAAGCUCUCAAAGCUGUCAUCUGUAUUUUUAAUCAAUCUCUGAUUUAUGUCAUUUUGAAAAUUAUUUCCAGCUAUUUCUAGGUUUUUAGAUGUAACUUCAUUGAUGAAAAUGUCUUUAGAACUAAAAUUGCUAUUUAUGAUUUUUAAAUAAAACAAAUUGUUUUUGUUAUGCUCUUUAAAUCAGUAUGUGUGUUUGUGCAUACAAUUGAAGUUAGUAGCUUUUUUUUAUAGCCAUUUGAACAGCUAUUGGUACUUUAAAUUACUAUUUACAUUGCUACUUUGACAACGCAAUCAGUACUGGAGACGGAACUAUUAGUCUAUCUGCAAUGUAAAGGGAUUAGAAAUAGAUUAAGGAAUUGCUGCCUUUUAAAACUAGCAAUGGCUGCUUUUUCUUUUUCUUUUUUUUGCUUAAAAAGGUAGGAUGUAGGUAAAAAUAUGAUGCUGUAUGGGUGUGAGUGUGAGAUAUUGACAGUAGCUAGAUAAAACUGAGUGGAGCAUGACUUGAUAUGUAAAAGAAUUUGGAGUAAAUUAACAUUCGUUGGUGAUAUGUUAGGUAUAAGAUGGUGAGAAAACUGAUAGGUUGCUUGGAGAUCUAAUAUGAAUAUGAUGCUGGCUAUAGGCUAAUUGGAAGCUGGUAAGGGUUGAAAUAAAAUAGUUGCUCUUGAGGAAUUUGCAAAAGGUAACUAAUAGAAACACUAAUGAAGAUCCAUGUAACCAUACAAGUUUUUAAAAAUCAACAAUUAAAAGGCUGAUGGUGUUGAUAUCCAAAUAACUUCUCUUUCUUUCUCUCUCUCUCCCUCCUCUGUUAAUUUGGCAAAUUGUACUAAUAGACAGUGUCAUGUGUUAUUUAUACGCCAAAGUAAAAAUAUUAUUUGUAAUGUUCCAUUUUGGUAAUCAUGGUAACUACCUGCAUAAAAAAUUGGCUCAGAGAACCUUCUAGGUCCAAUAAAAGUAGUUUCUCAAAUCACAUGGCUUCUGCCCUGAGUGCAGUUAUUUUUAUUUAUAAUUGAAUACACCAAGUUAUAGCGUAUAUCAAAAUGAAACAUUCUGUAUAAUAUCAGAAAGUUUGUGAAUUUCCUUAUAGGUGUUGUUUUAUGUACCAUAUUAAAUUACUUUUCCAAUAAUACCUUGCCAUGAGAAAUUCUGUUAUAUUUCUGGUACAGCUGACUCCUGAAGAUUUUUCAUACUUUUUUUUUUUUCAUAUAAAUCCACAAUAAAGUAUUGUUAAAUACUAAAAUUACAUUUAUUUUAUUACUUUUGAGCUGAUUUAUUUUCAAUAUAUGACACGAUUUUGACUUCAGUGGCUAGUUACCUUUAUUUUUAUACAAAAGGAAGAAAGUUCUUAACAAAAAAUAAAUUCACUGAAACUUACUAGUGAACCCAAUUAAAAAUAUUUAGUAAUAUUUGUAUUAAAUCAGUGGUUCUCAACCAGAGUCUAUGUGGCCCCUAAGGUCCAUAUAAGAUUUUGGGGGGUCCACUCAACAAAAUAGUAAACUGCGGAUCUACAAUAUUAUUUUAAGGUGCCCCUGAAGAAAUUUUGCUUUAGAUGUAUGUAUUGCAAGAAACAUGUUUCUUCUUGAAAAGCAAAAUAGGAAUUUUGAAAGAAGUUUCUAUAAAACUACUUUUUAAGCAUUGAAUAGCUAGUGAGGCGGGGCCACCAGAAUAAAAUAACAAUCAAAGGGGUGCAUAGAUAAAAAAUGGUUGGGAACUCCUAAAAAGAAAAAUUUUGUCAUGCAAGAAUAUUUUGUUUGCUGUUAUUUUUCAGCAGCCAAGAGAGUUUGCAAUUUUUCAUGGAGUUAAAAUGUUAUGUUGCAAUGUUCAUACUUUUCCUGAGAACAUGAGUAAUAUAAUCUGAGUUUUAUCUAGCUAUCAGCUUAGACUAACAUUUCUGGUGUUCUGUGGAAAGAACAAGUAAUAUUUCCUACAGUGCUUACUUAAUUCAUCAUUUUUAUCCCCAAUGAUUAUUGUUAUGAUAUAGUAGAACAACAGUAUACCCAAAGGCAAAUAAAUGGGACCCUUGGCCAUAUCUCAGCAUGACUGAACAAGCAUUACAAGCUAGAUAUGAGACAGCUUGUAUAAGUUGUUGAAGAAAGGCAACAUGCUAAAUUUCAUAUCAAUGUUUUUGAGACAAAAUUUUUAUUGUAAAACUAAAUACUCAUUUGUAUAAUUCCCUUGAGCUGGAUAUGAGAUAGACUUGUAAUUUUAUGUAAAUAAGUCUGUUAUGUAAUAGAAAUGGUUGAAGCUUUAUCAGAUGCUGUAUUUACUAUCUGCUACUGCUGCUAUAAAUACCCUUGUAAACCACCACUUUUCAGUUUAACAGCAGAGUGGAAAUUAAAGCCUUAUUUUAAUUGACUUUCCUUUUGGAUUAUUCUUUCUUCAAUUUAACCCUUUAGCAUUCAGAUUAAUUUAUCAAAUCUAAUGCUUAUUUAUCCACAUUUUAAAAAAUUAACCACAUAGUACUUUGUAGCUUCAAGGUUUUGAAGAUGUGAGUGUUUAUUUUUAAAAUAACAUUGUAGGGUGGGUGUGAGAGACUGGAUUUGGCCACUUUCAACAUAAAACAGGUAGAAUAUUUGAGCUGGAUAUGGCUGGUUUAAAUGUUAGAUGGUUUAUUUACUAAAAUUAGUAUGAAAUGUAGGCCACAAUCUGAAAAACUUGUAGUUCAACAGCUCUUCAACCUUCACACAUGUUUUUAAGUAUUUUCUAUUCAUCUUUCCAGAGUUACACUUUAAAGGAACUAAUGACAUUGUAUGAGAUUUUUUUCAAAUUCCAUUUCCCCUCAAAAUGAGCUGGUAGGUAUAUAUGCCUAUUUAAGAUGUCACCAUAACUGGUUUAAUCAAAGAGAAGCAUGAGAAAAAUAUAUCUAAAUUAAAAGUUGUUUUGAAAUUUAAUAAGACCCCGAAUAAUAGUAGAUAUAAACUUCCAGGUACAUCUGUAUUGCUUUCAUAACACCUUUUAGGAAGUGGAUGAUAUGAGUGUUAUAUUGUUGCCAUCCGGGAAACCAUGACAUGAGCCCUAGGAUCUAUUUAAAAAUUUACUUUUGCUCCUACUACCACAACAUAGGAUGCCUUACACUUUAUGUGACCCUUCAAACUCAACACUGUUUGAACAUAUCUUCAAUUUUCCUCUGAAACUGUUGCAGUGAUGAGUAAGUCAACCUGACUUUCCUAAGGUAGAAAGAAUCUGUUAAGGGGGUACAUCUCUAAGGGAUGAACAUUUAGUCAAAGAAGUUGAACUAUUGCAAUCAAAUGCCCCAAAUGCUGACAUUUGUUUUCUCAAUGUUUAAGAACAUACCAUAGCAGUUAGGGAAUGAACUCCAUCAGGAGAUAUAAAACUGAAGAUAGAUAUAAGUGUGCUCCAACUAAAAUACCAAUAUUCCUAAAAAUCACAUUGACUUAUCUACCCUGGCUCUUGGCAAAGCACCUACACAACCACCCAAACAAACAUUACUAAUGAACUCCUUGUGAACUUUAUACUCCAUCACUCUACUCACUUUAAAAUAUCUAUUGAAAGAUAUUGAUCUGGCAGUAAUAAUGUACUAUGUUGUUUUAUAUUUUUGUUGUGGGGAGGGGAAUGUAAUAAUUUUAUGUAUAUAAUACUGUAUUCAACAAACAAUAGAUGCUAAAAUUACUACCUGCUGUUGCUGCUAUAAAUACUUUCCUAUGCUAUUGCUACUAUUUACCAGUUGAUGUCAUCCUGAUCUAAAUUGACUCCUAUUUUGGAAUAUACCUUAUUUGGCCUAAAAAUAUAAACAUUAUGUCCUAGGCUUUAGGAAAUAAGCUCAAGGAUCUCUGUAUGUUGAUGAUUUUUCUGUGUAUAGGGGAAAGAGCAGCAUUUCAACUUUGUGUAAUCUAUAUACAUAUUUAUUUCAUAUUUUCCAAAUAAGGACAUACUGUACAGUAUUGUCAACUAAAGUGAUUUUAGUAAUACAAAUUAACUUGGUAAUAGAUUUCCAUCAUUACUUGGGUCUAAUAUUUGUCUGAAAAUUCAUUUUCUAACCAUAUAAACAAAAGUUCAUACUAAAAUGCUGAAAAUAUUAAACAUUCUAAGUUUUUAAGUUACACACAUUAAGGAACUGACUGUGGAUUAUUACUCUAGCUCUAUGAUUGAUAAAGGUUGGAUCUAUGAAACAGGCUGAACGUUGGACUUAAAACCGAAGUUAGUAGAGUGGUAGUUGAUAAAAAAAAGUUAACUGGCUGUGGACUAAAUAUAAAUUGUUAUACAAUGUGUUAAAAUUUCCUCUUCACAAAUAUUAAUUUGACUGUUUUCUACACUGAAAAUAGUCCAAUCAGAUUUAAGGGUUUCUACCAAGGAAUAUCUAGUAAAAGCAAAUUUCUUUCUUAGAACAAAAUUAAUAAAGCUUGGAUUUGGACUCAUGGUUUAACUCUUAUUUUAUAGAUACAAUGUUUCUUUCAUAAAUUUAGUAGGGAUAAAUUGUUUGUAAAUUCCUUAAUAAACAUAACUAACACUGUGUAACCAUACUUCUGUUAUUAUAAACUGCCUUUAUUUCAAAUAAUUUUUUAAAUAAUGAAGAAUUUAGUAAAUUAACUUCAUUAAGCUGGGAUCAGGAAUAACUUAGCAUAAAAUUUUGAUGGAAGAUUAUGAUUUAGACCACUUUAAAACAGUAAGUUUAUAGAACUUGGAAUGGUCUCAGGCAGGUUAAAAAAAAAACACUCAGUAUUGUUAUUUUCAUUUAACCCAGACAAGUUAGUGGUGCUAAAACAUUGUCUGAUUAUUCAUAUUGGUUAUGUAUGUUUUGUGGUUUUAAUCAAUAUAAGAAAUAUGAUUAGUCUAAUUACAAAUAGAGGAUUCAAUGGCACCAUAAAUUGAUGAGUUAAAGGCCAAGGUUUUGUUUGCCAAUUCCAUAACCCUACUUACAACUACAGUUCAUACCAAAAGUUUAUUUAUAAGACCAUCUCCAGAAAGAAAAUGUACUAAACUGGUUUUACAAUAUUUAUAAAUGGAUAUUUAUAUAUGUUGUAUGACGUAAUAUAGCAAGUGACUAACAGUUCAUUAUAAUACUAUACUUGACUAGUACUUACUAUAGUUGUAUAAACUUAUAGUUGACCAUAUUUGUUGUAAGUCAAACUUUAGUGACAACAAAGAAAUAGACCAAUGUGUAAGGAAUUUUGUUGGCAUCAUAGCCAUUCAUUUGCAUUCUGAUUACCUAAAUAUUGUCUACAAGAAGAUAGAUGAAGACAAGAGAAAAAAAAAAGACAAAUUAAUUCCAUCUUAGCUAUAAUGGAAAGACUGCAGAAGUAGAUAGAAAAAGUAGUUCAUCAUCAUGAUGAACAGGCCAGAGCAUAUAUGUAUUCUCAUGUGACCUGUUGUUUUCCAUAAACCCAGUAGGAAAACAAAAAACUGUGUUUGAAAACACACUUUACAGUUAUUUACAGACUGUUUAACCAAAACUUCUAGUAGUUAUUUAUUGGAACACAGUCAUAAUAUUCACUUUAAACAACAAUGAAAUAUGUGAUAAAAUAUAUUUAAAAUUUUUGGAGGUUGCUUUUUCUCUUUGUGAUGUAGGUUAUCGAUUUAAAGAAAUUCUUAAUGGUUUCUAUAAAAGAUGCAUUUUACCUCUAAACUGUGAGCUUUUGAAACAUAUUGCUUUUUAUACUUUAUACUCUUGCCCUCUCUUUCUAUCAUAGUUUUGUUUUUUUUUUUCCAGAUAAGAUUGCAUUAAAAUUGCUUUGGUGAGUUACCAGAUUUAUCAACUUAUCUCUUAUUUGAAUCUUUUUACCUUUAGUCUUGUAGGCAAUGAACUUCACUUGAGGCUUUGCUUAUGUGUCUGAAAUUGGUAUUGGGUGCUUUUCAAAAGUAGAGAUGAAUUGCUACUACUUGUCUUUGAGAUUAAGCAGAUUGUGAAUUCAAAAGAAUUAACAAAUCAAAUCCAGUAGCUAGUAUUGUUCCAAACAAUGAUACUUUAGGCAUUUAAUGGUCCUUCUGUCUAGCAAUAAAGGUGCUUGUGUAGAAGACAUUUACUUCAACAUUGUUCAGUAUUCCACAUUGGCUGUUAAGGAGCUUAAUUCAUUAUCAUCUAACCCUUUAGCAUUCAGAUUAUUCUGUCAAAUGUAACACUUUUUCAUUCACGUUCUUUCGAAUUAAUUAUGCAUUAUCUUGAAGCUUCAAGAUUGUGAUGAUGUGAUUGUUUAUUUUUAGAAUGACAUUGUAAGAUAGAUAUGAGAGGCCAAAUCUGGCCAGUUUGAACAUAAUACACGUAGAAUAUUUGGGCAGGAUACAGCUACGUGUGAAUGUCCUCUUUCCAUACUGGAUGCACAUGCCAUGUGCUUCUAGGCAGUUCUUAUUUAGGGUUAUUGCCUUCCUAGACUGGUCAAUAAAUCAUGUCUUAGUCAUGUUCUGCUUUUGACAUUGUUUCAAAGGCUCAACACCCUUCCUAACAUAACCAACAGGCUGUUCUGGAUGCAUUUCAUUGUCACCAGUGCAAGAGAAGUUGUCAUGUUCAUGACAAGAUUAAAGAGUCCCUUUUUUACUUAUUACUGUCUCUGUUCAUUUAUCAGCCACUUACUGAGAGGUAUUGGCUGCAUUUUUUUUAUGGCACCAGCACUAGAGAGGUUCCUUUGUCUCCUGUAGAACUAAAGAUUUCUCUCUACUCUAUUGUCUACCUUCCAAGGUAAACAUAGCCAAGACAGUGAAAGUAGAGAAGGAAGGGAAGAGUGAGUGAGGAAGAAAACAGUGAUAGGAGUGAGAUGUUAGAGGAGUGAGUAAUAGAAAAGAACUAGUAAUAACUAUGUAUAGGUUAUUAGUGUGGAGAAUAAAUAGAAAAAAAAGCAGCAUAAAUAGAAUGAUGGAAUUACAGAAAAUAUGAUUGAUGAUAAGAGAGCAUGUUAGUAGAUAGUAAUAGAGGUGGGUAGUUGGUAAUGGAGAGCUUUGAUGUUAUCCUCUUUUACGGAGGUGUCAUGAUGGAGGUGAGAUAGAGAUGAAUAUGCAGCUAUAUGUUAUUGUCAUGUUAUUCUAAGUCAACAGAAGUUCAGAUGUCCCCAUUUCAAAGACACUGGUUCCAGUAUUGUGGAAAAUUGGACUGAGUUGGUCAAGUGACAACCAUAUUUUUUCUAUGGCUAUAAAACAACUAGAAAAACUUAGCUUUCUGCUGUGUAAAGUGGUGAUUGUUUUAUUUGUGUUCAAUUCAAAAACUUUCAGCAGACUGCUCUAAACAGUAUUACUUUUGAUAUAUCUUGUAUAACUAAGAUAACACAAAUAUAAAUAAUUUCCACUUAGGCUAAAAUUACUGAGAUUGAUACACAGAUUUAUUAGUGCUAAUGACUUACAGCUAUAAUUUCAUUUGAUUAAAGAUUAUUUUUAACUCACUACAUUAAAUAUGGUUGCCUGUACUUAACUAAAUGUUCUUCAUGUAGGUGAUAAGCUUGAGACAUUUAGCAGUGACAUUGUUUCAAAUAAUUGAAUCAAUAAAUUAUCAUCAUACCAAAUCUAUAUGCGAUUUCAAUCCUUCUGUAGUCUGGUAUCUAUAUGUUGACUAUUUUUUACCAAAGAGUUCUGAUAAAGUGGAAACAUCCAGAAUUACCAUCAAAUUAGACUGUCUCCCUGUCCACAGCAUAUCACUAUUGGUAAAUUGAAGUUCCAGAGUUUCCUCCCUUCUGUUUGUUUUUUGAGAGCAGUUUUCAUUAAUGCUUAUUAAUUUUCAUUACAUAUAUAAUUUCAGUUGAUUAAAAAUUGUAAUUCACUGCAUUAAUCGUUAUAUUUCUGUUAAAAGAAUCUGCUUUUGGUUCAAUUAAUUUUGAAAAUUAUGAAAAAUUUAAUAAAAUAUUUUACUCAUUAUUAAACUGGUCUUUGGAACAUGAAAUGUUAAAGGAAGGUUUAAUUUAUAUCACUUUAAAUAAGUUUGUAUCAUAGAACCAGGGGUUGGUCUCACACAGUUUAGUAUCAAAAGGAUUAAGUACGUUAAUGCACAUUUAACUACAUAUAUAGGUUUCUUUAACAAAAAAAAUUGGACUUAUUUGCAAAUAAUGUGCAUUUGUGUGUGUGUGCAUGUGCACUUGCAAGCAUAUUUAUGUGUUUUUAAAAAGUUCUCUUUGUAAAUGCUUAGUUUCAAAUUUGGACAUGCUGUACCUUGAGAAAAUUUCUCCAAUUCAUGCCUCAAAUUGACCAAAGCUUUCUGAAAAGAAUUUGGUUAAUGGAAAUUGUGCUGAAACCCAUUCUGUGCCAGUAUGCAUGUGUGUGUGUAUUUGUUUAUGUAUACCUGUGUAAAACAAUGCAUCAAGUUACAGGCAUUUUAUAUUAAAAUAUAAUUUAACCAUUCAGUAAACAAGGAUCCCUAAAACAAGUACAGGGAUUGAUAUAACUGAAUUAAAAAACCCUGAAGUGAUGCCACCACAUGGCUUCAUUCCAAUGAUUAAAACUAGUGUAGGAGCCUUUAUGCCACACUACUGAUGACAUAAAAGGCCCACAAACCGAAUUUGAUGAUAUUUCUUAUAUGUUCGCUGUUUAUUCAUCUACCUAUGAGAUUUUGUAUUUGAAGCAUGGCAUUGUGUCAGGUGAAUUGAUGUUUUUUUAUAUUAGUUUCAAAUUUUGGUACAAGGCCAGCUAACUCAGAGGGAGGAGUUAAGCCAAUUACAUCAACUCCAGUGCUCAACUAGUACUUAUUGUAUUGACCCUGAAAGGAUGAAAAGCAAAGUACCUCGGUUGAAUUCACAGUAAAGACAGACUAAAUGCAGCUAAACAUUUUUCCCAGUGUGCUAAUGAUUCUGCCAGCUCACCACCUUAUGUUUAUUUAAUAUUAAUAUUUUGGUUUCUCUGGUUUUCUGUGUGUAUGUGUCCUUGCAUAUAUAUAUAUAUAUAUAUAUAUAUUAGAUUAGAAUAUUUUAGGCCACUGAUAGACUAUGGUAUGUUCCACAUAUUUAUUUAUAUAUGUGUGUGUUUGUGUGUACAUACACAUACGAGGGAUGUAUGAAAAAACAAAACAUGGUGCAAGACUUCAAGGCUCAAAAUUUUUCAUACACCCCUUGUACAUGGAAUAUUACCAGUUAGGGAGGAUUUGAGAGGACCAAAGUUCAAAUAAGGACUCAGUACACAAUUAUAAACUGGGCUCAUGAAACAAUUGAUGGCCAUUUUCAUGCUAGUAAUAAUAAAAUAUGUUAGAUUGAGAGAUAGAUACUGUAGUACCUGUCCAAUCCGAGCAUAACUGUAGACUUUGCUUAUCUGAAAAGUUAUAUUGAGGCAGUUUGCAAUAUUCAUCAAUAGAAACUCCAAGGUGUGAUGUAACUGUUUGAACAUUCUGAGCUGAGCAAUACAAAUUCAUGUUAUUGUUGACUACAAGCCAUAUGGCAUAGACUCCAUUGUUUAUGAAUAUACACUUCAGCCAGUCUUCUCCCUUAUAAAUCAGUUGUCCAAAUUUGGGCCAGCAGUAUUUUCAACCAUGUGACUGAAUUCAAGAUGUUUCUACCAUGCCCCAAAAUAUGGUAACGAUAAUGAUGAAUGUGUUUGUGCACACUCAUGUAAUUAUAUUUGGAAGUAUUUAUUUCCUCUUGAAACUAGCUUUAAGCUUUCAAAUUUUGGUGGGUUUUUUUUAUGUGUGUGUAUGUUUGUGUUUUUCCAAAUUGUUUAGCCUCAGAUGAACCUUGAAUAAGAAGGCUCGUGAUCUCAGGAGGUUUUUAAGCUGUGGCCAUUCUGUUUACAGACAUAGUAUAUCUAGGAGUACAUUAUCCAGUAUGUCCUUUCUUUUUUUUUUGGUGGGGGGGGGUUGAAAUGAUAGGAUGUAAUUUGAGAGAGAGACUUGCUUACUAUUUAUGGUUACUGCUGCAUAGAGGUUUGUCAUUGGCUUGUUAUUUUUAAGUUUUAUUGUAUUGCAGAACAAACAUGUCUUCCUGUUGUACUAAAAAUAAUAUGCAUGUUUACAUAGUGUGGUUAUUUGUUAAACUGUUCACCUAUACUUUAGAGAUAUUUCUGGCGGCAAAUAGAUUCUGAUAAAAAAAACGUUUACAUUUGACUUCACAUCUUUUUAUGUUUCAUUGCUGUUGAAUUUGAAUUUAAAAAAAAAUUUUUGUUUACUUGCUGAGGUAGGAUUGUCUAGGUAAAUGAUUCUACUAUUGGAUACCCUUCCUACUACUUAUCAUUCUUUCUAAAAUUGAUGUGAAACUUGUUUUAAUACUUAGUAAGUUGGAACCAGUAAUACAUAAUGUAGUAAUCUUAUUUAUGCAACAUUUUAAAGCGUUGAUUGAACUACUGAUGUCAUGUGCCUGUAUGUUUACAUUAUUUAUGUUCCUUAAUUCAUUUUUUUUUUUAAAUCAUAUUUAAUCCUUACAUUUUAAGGGUCUCUGAAAAUAUUCUCUUUUACAAACAUGUUUGUUAGUUAUCAAUAUUUGUUGGUUUCUUUUAUAAUUUAAUAGCUAAAUUUGAAAAAUCUGUUGUGAGAUUCAUGUAAGGUUUAAUAAGAUUUAUAUAUAUUUAGUUUUGAGCUUCUGAAAGGAUCAAAGCAAUGUUUUAUGUUAUUGCUUUUUCAAAUAAUGUUAUUUAUUUGUACAUAAUAUAUUAACAUUUGAUCUGUUGCUAUAAUAUGACACAUUUUAACUGUUAAUAUUUUGUAUCUCUAUCAUCAAUCAUUAUUUUUCUCCUUUAAUUUCUACACUGUAUGCAUCAUAUUAUUAAGAACAUCCCUAAACUAUAAACCCUUUGCUUUAAUCAUGCUCACAUCCUGAUACUUAUAUCUUUGUACCUUUACUGUUAAACCAAAAGCUGAUAAAGCCUGGCAUUCUACUCUUAUCCCAAAGAAAUGUUAAACUGUUAGAUGAAAUGAUCAUGAAUUCUGCAUAUGCUUUUCACAAACCAUGAAUAGGUGAAGCAUGUAGCCAUUAACCUCAAAAGAUCGAAAUGCUGAUAUGGGAUUUAGUUUAUUGAUCUUUAGCUACCACAAUUUCUGUGAUUUAGAGAAAUAAAACUGGAGCUAAAACAAUUUCAGAUGAUGAUUAGUAGAGGGAAGGAUGAAGCAACAGUUAAUUUUAUGUAUUCUUGUGAUAAGCUUGUGAGAACUGAUUGAUUAUGGAUUCUUUUAAACUCUUGCUACAUAGCUUUAAGGUUAAGGUGUAGAUAGGUGAAACCAAUUUGCCAGUAUCUUAUGAAUCCCUUCUAAUGGUUACACCUUUUGAUGUUCUUUGAUUUAUCUUCAAUAGAGUUAAAAGGAAGGCACUGCCUGAAACAUGUGAAGAAUGGCAUGUCAAAGGUUAGCGUAGUUUAUACUUGCACUUUAAAAGAAUAAAUAAAUUAAAUAAAAUAAAUAAAGAAUAAGCAAAAUUGCUUUAAAUGUACUGUUUGAAGUAGACAUUUUUCUUGCCUGAAGAAAAUGCUUUUGAGAACAUGCCAAAGAUUAUAAAAGUUAUACAAAACAAGGUUGAGAAUAAAAGAAGACUAAAUAAAAGAAUUUCUAAAUUCUUUUUUUUUUUUUCAAUAGAAUAAACACUUCUUAGAAUUUAUUUUGAGGAAUACAUUUCACAAAGAAUAGAGUGUGUAUAAAAUAAGAAAGAUUGGUAGAGGGAGCAGUUCCUGUUAUACACAAUGCUACAGUGAUAAUUAGGUUAAUGUCACUUCACUUGUGUAACAUAAAUGACUACUAUUGAACAGCAACUAUAGUAGUGCCAAUAUAAUGGUAACUAAGAAGCUACAGCUUAAGUUAUUGCUCUCAUAUAAUUGUGUCACCAAUUAACUUGAAUAUGGUUUCAUCUACUUAGUUUGAACAUAAAAAAUGCGUUCAAGAUUUUGCUGGAACAAGUUUAAUAUUUCCCUAACACAUGAAAUUUAAGCACUUUAACCAAAACUUUAAAAGCUGUCUAUGGUGAAACAAAGAACUGCUUAGUUCAAAAUAAGUACUUUAUAUUUCUUUAAAGAUACAGGAACUUUAAUCUUUUAUCAUUCUAAACAAAAAUUCUAAGAUCAUACUGCCAGAGAGUUUCAGGACAAGUGAGGUCGAGUAAAAAUUAUGGAGAAUUUAGAAAAAAAAUCUACUGUUAGAUUGAAUUUGAAAUUUUCAGGUAUAAAGUAGUUUAUAGUGAGGUGUCUAGAACAUGAAGCAAGUCUGGAGAAAGUGUAUUUUUAAUAUAAUUUAUUGACUUGUAAAUAUAUUGGUGUAACUAGCAGUAAUUAUAUGGUUGUAAGUUUAGAUUUGCUGUUUCUUUUUCAUGGAAAAUCAAAAUACUUUACAUGAGACUUGUUUAAUGACUGCAAAAAUCUUUGCUGCAAAUAUAAUCAAAUUCUUAGUCUAUUACCUUCAUCAAGUUGAUUGAAUAUUAAUUUAAAUGGAAAUUAUUCUAUUUCUGUAACUUAUGAAAUUUUGUGUACAAUUUUUAUAAUUUGCAUCUUACAAGUUUACUUUAAUCAAAGUAUUUUUCAUACUACCUUUCACUUUAAAUUUAAUAUGCAUUUUAAAAAUUUAAAGCACCCACUACACUCACGGAGUGGUUGUCAUUAGGAAGGGCAUCCAGCUGUAGAAACACUGCCAGAUCAGACUGGAGCCUGGUGCAGCCUCCUGGCUUCCCAGACCCUGGUCAAACCAUCCAACCAGUGCUAGCACGGAAAACGGACGUUAAACGAUGAUGAUGAUGAGGUCCAGCUCUCUAAAGGAUAAUGACAUAAGUAGAGAUAUAAAUACACAAUAUAAACAUUACAGUAUUAUAUCUUAUUAAAAAAAUUCAGAACAACUAGAAAUUCCUACACUGGCUUUUCUAUAAAAUUUGUUGUUGAAUCUAUAAUGGAAAUUAUAAUUCUUCCUUUCCUUGUAAACAAUAAAUUUAUAAUUGUCAGCAAUUAACAUUUUUUGCCACCAAAAAUGAUGAGACCUUUUUAACAUGAGUGGUUUCCUUUAUAUAUUUUUGAAAAUAAACUGUAAAGCUUGGCACCCUAGCUGACAAUACCAGGCAAAUAAUUCAUAUCUGCCUCCAGCUCUGUGAUGUGUCCAUGGCCCAAACACUAAAAUUUGUAAGUGUUAGUGUUUUAAAAUAUGCCACAAACAAUGUAGCUCAUAGAUAUAAUUAGUGGCAAAUUUGUUGUUAGUUGAUUUGCAGUACUAAAUUCCAUUUACUCCAGCAGUUAAUGUUACCUACCUGUGAUAAGCCUACAUUCUAUCAAAUGGAAGAUCUUGCUUUCAUCUGCUUCUUUUUAUAGAAACUGAAAUUGAGCAUUGGUCUAGUAAAACAAAAUGAAAAAAAAUAGUUUCAUUCAUUGUUCAUAUAAAAUGCAUUUAUAAGAGAUCUAUUAUGCCAGAAAAUAAGUACCAUUUCGAAAGAUGGUUGGUGCUAACAAUGCACAUAUGUGCUGGCAAACAACAGUUCUUAGAACUGGAAGACUUACUUAAUAUAAAAGUUGUAAAUAAUGCAUAUUUUAUGAAUAGUGGUUUUAAUAUAUACACACACACACAUAUAUAUAUUAGACCAAGAAAAUGAGAUGUUUCAUGAAUUGUCUGCCUUUGCUACACAAAGGUAAGCUAUGGUUCUUUGAUCUCUAUAGUGUGUGUGUGUGUGUAUAUAUAUAUAUAUGUGUGUGUAGUACAUACAAACACAUUACUUACACACAUUGAGCAGCCAUUAAUGGUUUAACUUUGUUUAGAAUAACAAUUUUCUAUCUGAUGUUACAUUAAUAUUAAUCUACCAUUGUACCUUAAAUGAGUAUUUCUCAGUUCAGCUAAAAUACAUCUUAUUUUAUGAAGCAUACAGACCAGUUCUGCUUUGAGUCAGCAGCAAAUGUUUUUCAUGCUAGAAUGUGGGAUUGUAAUUCAGUUGUUUGUUUCAAGAUAUACCAUGAGAUUAGCCAUUUCUUUGAGCAGAACUGGUUGGGUGGGACUAUAUAAAUUAUGUAAGUUUACUCAGCAUUUUAUAAAUACAGAAAGCAGUUUGGUAGUAACUUAUUUGUUUUGUGCUUUUUUUUUUAUUAAACUGAUAUUAAAGUCACUUAAUAUUUUUACAGCUGAAUGCUCUUCCAAUUAGUUGUUCACUUAACAAUGGAGUGAGCUCAGCUAAGUAGACUAAAACAAGCCAUGCUGGUGGCAAUUCUGUUUUUUUUUUUUUUCUGUGUUGUCAUAUGUGAAACCAUAGUGAUUAUCUCAUUUACUUCAGCAAGUACACUGGAGUCCAUGCUUUGCUGAUGAGAGCUUAAUAAAAUCAAACAUGUCUGGAGAUGUUCCUUGAUUAUACAAUAGUAGUUAAAAUCAUUGAUUGUAAGGCUUAGCAUUUGAGCAAUUUUGAGGGUUUUAAUUUUGUGUUGUUGAUAUAAAUAAGUGCAAGACUGUUUCUUUCAGCCAACUUCAUUGAGCAGUUUGCAAAGCUUGAAGGAACUCACUUGGAAAAGCUGAGCCAAAAUUUGGGAUUUGAGGCACUUUGCAUUGCAAUGGUGAUGGGACAUCUGUAAGUUAGUAACAUCCUUCAAGUGAUGUAUAUAGUGUUUCUCAAUUAUGCAAAUGUAACACAGUCGGAUGUGAACUACUAUGAGACCAUAAUCUUUGUUUUGUGUUGAUGCUUGGUGUUGCUUAGCCUCAGGUCAGUAGAUCUAUGAUGAUCUUUUUCAUCUUAGCUCUGUUAUGUCAUAUUGUCUUUUAUUUAGACAUAGUGCAUUGAAGACUACACUAUUUUUUGAACAACAGCUGGUUGCCAGCUGACAGAAAAUCUGUAAAGAAAAGGAGUUUCAGAGAAUGAUAUUAAGAAAGAUUGGCAAUGUAUGAUAAAGAGUGGAAGAGGAAAUGAUAUCUAAGAGAAUUUGAACUGAGACCUAAAGUAGGGGGUUGGUAUUAAGGUGAAGACUAGGUAAAGCACAUUCGUGAAGAUGUUAGUAGUAGUAGUAGUAGUAGUAGUAGGUAGGCCAUCAACAUCAUAUUUAGAAAGUUUGGGCCUUCAAGUGCAUUACAGAAAAACAAAACCAAAUUCUCACUACCAAAUUUUGCCAUUCUCUGAUGGAUGGCUUGGCAUGACCCCAUUCAUAUGACAAUAGUUAUAUGGAGUUUUGAGAGAAAGUGAUAUUAUUGGAGAGAUAUUGAAUAGAGUUAAGAUGAGAUAAAUAGAUGUUUGAUGGCAUCAAGGAAUACCUUUUUAUUCAAAAUAAAGUUUGUAAGCCAUCACAGUAGCUCUGCAAAAUAUGCUUAGGUAAUAAAAGGAUAGCUUUUAUUUUCUUUUCUUUUUUUUUAUUAAUUUGGUAUUCUGAUUAUCAAUAUAAAAAUUUUAUAGAAAACAUGAUUAUAAAAAGAUUAGUAGUGUGUGAAAUGAAGGUAAGGUAACUGAUAGAAAAAUUAGAAUGGGUAAAAAAUAGCUCUGGCAAACCUAAAUUAUUACAUAAAACAAGAAUAUUGAUUGUAGCUGUAGCAGUAAGACACCCAUUAUAGAGACUUGUGUGUGAUCAAUAAUCAGUCUGUAUUAUGUUUAGACUAGUUAUUGUAGCCAGAUUUCAGAGCUGUAUACCAGACAAGAGGUCAGUAUUUGUUCCAAAAUAUAUCUGGUGAGGCUUCAGUUUUUCAUCAAUAGAUUUUUGUAAUAUUAUUAAUAUUUUCUACCAUCAAUUUGUUCUGCUCUUCAGCCUACAUCAGUUAUAGAAAUAUUGGAACAUAUAGCUCUAUCUUGUCUAAACAGUCUUUUCUGAUACUAUUCUCAAAAACUACAUUUCUAAUUUUCCUUUGAAAUGCAUCAAUUUAUUACACUACCAGGUAUCCUUAAAAGCUGCAGGUGCUUCUGAUAUAUAAAUUUUUCUUUAUAUUUUCUCUUCCCUUAAAAUCUAACCUUUUUGUUUCUACAUAUUCCACUUAAUUCCUUCUCAUGUCAUCAAUACUUCAGUUAAAACCUGUUUUUUGCUUGUGAAUACAUAUCUGUGGUUCAUAAUUUUUCUUUGUGAUAGCCCAUUCCAACUUUCCAAAAGUUUGAAAAUAAAAGGAUUUCAUUUAAUGACCCCAUAUUGCAUAAAUUUAUGAAAGUGCUGGAAAUCUGUAUAUUUAUAUUGACUAUUAGCAAUUGAUAACCAAACUUUAAACUGAGGCUUGUUUAUCAUUGUUUAUGGAAUAAUGAUGGUUUCACAGUUUGAAAAUCUUCAGGAUCUUCAAACUGGAUCUUGGCUUGCACUGUGAAAAUUAUUACUGUAGAUCAACUUCCCAUUAUUAUUAUUAUUCUUAUUAUUAUUAAGGCAGUGAACUGGCUGAAUCGUUAGCACACCAGGCAAAAUGCUUAGUGACAUUUCAUCUGUCUUUACAUUCUGAGUUCAAAUUCCACUGAGGCUCAGUGGAAUUUGAACUUAGAAUGUAAAGAUAGAUGAAAUUUCACUAAGCAUUUUGCCUGGUGUGCUAACGAUUCAGCCAGUUCACUGCCUUAAUAAUAAUAAUAAUAAGAAGAAGAAGAAGAGAGGAGGAGAAGAAGAAGAAAAAGAAGAGAGGAGGAGAAGAAGAAGAAAAAGAAGAGAGGAGGAGAAGAAGAAGAAAAAGAAGAAGAUAGGAGGAGAAGAAGAAGAAAAAGAAGAAGAGAGGAGGAGGAGAAGAAGAAGAAAAAGAAGAGAGGAGGAGAAGAAGAAAAAGAACAACAACAACAUCUACAGUAAUAAUUUUCACAGUGCAAGCCAAGAUCCAGUUUGAAGAUCCUGAAGAUUUUCAAACUGUGAAACCAUAAUUAUUCCAUAAACAAUGAUAAACAAGCCUCAGUUUAAAGUUUGGUUAUCAAUUGCUAAUAGUCAAUAUAAAUAUACAGAUUUCCAGCACUUUCAUAAAUUUAUGCAAUAUGGGGUCAUUAAAUGAAAUCCUUUUAUUUUCAAACUUUUGGAAAGUUGGAAUGGGCUAUCACAAAGAAAAAUUAUGAACCACAGAUAUGUAUUCACAAGCAAAAAACAGGUUUUAACUGAAGUAUUGAUGACAUGAGAAGGAAUUAAGUGGAAUAUGUAGAAACAAAAAGGUUAGAUUUUAAGGGAAGAGAAAAUAUAAAGAAAAAUUUAUAUAUCAGAAGCCCCUGUCAUCCUUUCAGGGUCAAUAAAUUAAGUACCAGUGAAACACUGGGAUCGAUUUAACUGACUAGUCCCCUCCCCCAAAAUUUCGGGCUUUGUACCUUUCGUAGAAAGGAUUAUUAUGAUGAUGAAGGCAGUGAGCUGGCAGAACCAUUAGCAUACUGAGCAAAAUACUUAGUGGCAUUUCAUGUCUUUACAUUCUGGGUUCAGAUUCUACCAUGAUUGAUUUUGCUUUUCAUCCUUUCAGGAUCAAUAAAAUAAGUCCCAGUUGAUCACUGGUGUCAGUGUAAUUAACUCGUCCCUUCCACCAAAAGUUCAGGCCUUGUGUCUGUUGCAGAAAGGAUUAUUGGUAUUUUACUUGCUGGAUCUGGAGGAAAAGAUAAUACUCUUAGCCUUCACAUGUGUUUGAGAUGAUGCUAUUAAUGCUCUGCUUAAAUUGUUGCAAUUCAGCAACUGAAGGUAAGACAUGAGCAUGGAAGGAACUCCAGACAUCUGACAUUCAGGGGAAGAAGGAUUGGGAACAGGAGUUAGUGCAGAGCUUUUGAUUAGAUUGGGAUGUUUUUCUAAUUCAUUCCUCAUAUAUUUGGCAUAUAUAUUUGCUCUCAAUAAAUAAUAAUCUCAGUUUCAUUAUAUGUUUCUCUUUAUAUAACUAAAAUUAAAAUAAGUCGUGUAGCAUGUCACUUUAUCAAUUUUAAAAUCAACCAAUUAGAAAACUUCAAUACAAUUGCUCAAACAGUUUGAAAUAGCAACCAAAUCUUCAAAUCACAUCCUAUGAUUUUAAAAAGUGGCACUUGUCAUCUACAUAGAAGUAAACAACACCUGCAUUUUAAAGCAGUUUUUUUUUUUUUAAUGUCAUUUUCCAAAUAAUCAUACUUUGAUGGACAAUAUUCUAUGAAUACUAGCCUUUAGUACAUUGUAUUCUCUCUCUCUCUCUCACCCCACCCCCUUGCUGUUGCAACAGUUUUUGCUUUUCUGAAAUGGCUAGUUGAUAACACCAUCCAAAAUAUUUACCAGAAUAAUAAAAUAGUUUAAGGUAGUAGUGAGAUUUUUCGUCUGUUCUUAGAAAAUGCUUUAACUCAUUAGCAUUCAGAUUAUUCUGUCAAACACAAUGCAUUGUUUGGACUUAAGCAGGCAUUAUCUCAACUUCAAGAUUUCAGUGAUGUGUUUGUUUAUUUUUUAAAUGACAUUGUAGAGUUGAGAGACUAGACCUGACCAUACAGUUCUAUAUUUAAGAGAUGAGGAAUUAUGUAGAUUAUUUACAUUAGACGGAUAUUUGUCCUCAUCUUGUUUGUUGUUAACACAACAUUUCAGCUGAUAUACCCUCCAGCCUUCAUCAGGUGUCUUGGGGAAAUUUUGAACAUGGGUUCUCAUUCCUAAGGUAUUUUUCGAUAUUAUUAUUAUUAUUAUUAUUCAGGUCACUGCUUGGAAUCAAACUUGGAAUCUUGGGGUUGCUCACAAAAAUAUGUUAAUCUCCAAAAAAUAGUGUUACAUUUCCAUCUAAACUUCUUUGAUAACCCUAGAUUAUAUUUUGCUGACACAGUCAAGAUCAGUAGAACUGCAGGAAAAUAUAUGAGCAGAGAGCAGUGAGGGAAGAGCCUGAAAGGGUUGGGCACAUGGAGGGUGAUAAGAGGAAGACAGAGAAGCAGAUUAGAAUUGCUUGAGUGGUAUGUGGCAUGAGCCCAGCCAAUUCCAUUGUAUUAGCAGUAGAAAAAGCAGGAAGAAGUGACAGCAAGCCAGCAGACCUCAUGCUAGAAUAUCUGUUUUAUUGGUCCCCAACAGCAGGCUUUCACAUUGUUUCAAUUUCUCAAAUUUCAUUCAUAAGGCUAUGGCCAAUCCAAGAGCAUGGUAGAAAACAUGCUGAAGGAUUGAAUCUGAAACCGCAUCAUAUUUAAAGUUACAUAAAAAUUAUUUUUUAUAUUUUUACAAGGUUUAAGGUAGCAAGCUGGCAACAUUAUUGGUACACCAGGCAAAGUGUUUCACAGUAUUUCAUCCAUCUUUAUAUUCCGAGUUAAAAUUUCUCCAGGAUCAACUUUGCCUUUCGUCUUUUCAGAGUUGAUAAAAUAAGCAUCAUUUGAGCACUGGGAUUGCUGGCAUUGUGUCAAGAUUUGGAACCAUUAUCUAUACAAGGUUUAAAUUAUUAUACUUGUAGUCAUGUAAGAGAAUUCUCAAUAAAUUAUUGCAAAAAUUUGAUUCCAAUAUAAAAAUACUAUAACAGAUUAAAUUUUACCAGUUUGAAUUUUACUUCAGCUUACUUUCAAGUAUUAUAUAUUUCUCUUAAUAUUUUCAUCAUAUAUUAUCUGAGGAAAAUAGCAUUUAUACUGUGGAUUUUUCAGCCCUCUUUAUUUCAUUCACUAUGCUCCUUAACCCUUUUGUUAUAUUUCUGUUGAAUAACACUACCUUUGUGUCAAUUAAUUUUGAAAAUUACUAAGAAUUUAGUCAAAUAACUUGUUAUUUAGCUGAUAUAUGGGACAUUAUUUAGCAUGAAAUUAUGAGGAAACAUUUUAAUAUUGAUCACUUUAGAACAUAAAGUUCACAUCAUGGAACCAGAAGUGAUCUUGGGUAGGAUGGUAUCCAAAAGGCUAAUGCAACCACAGCCAAGUUGGAAACUAGAUACCUUCUGUAACUUUCUUGAAUUAUAUUUAGGGAUUGGGGGGUGGGUUCUAAGAAAAAGUUUGAAUUCUGGUAAAGAGAGCUGUAGUCAGGAACUAAUGGUUAACAUGUUGAACACUAAAAUAAUUGUCACAAGAUACACAAAAAGCCUUGGUACAUCUUAUUUUGGACACAGUGAAUAACUGGUGCAAUGGGAUCUCUAGCAGAUUGACAGGAAAUUGAACAUCUGAUGCACCAGGAUGUUCAUUAAAAGUGAUAUACAGGUUAUAGAAUUUGUGCAUCAGCAAAUGUUAAAGAUAAUGUGAGAGUUUUUUUUUUUUUUUUCUACUAUAUACAAGGAGACUAGGUGAAAAAGUGCCAUGAGUUGAUAGUGAAAGAUAGCUGAUGUGUGUGUAAACCAAAGAAGAUCCAGAGAAACAUGGUGCAGACAUAUCUGAGACUAUUAAACUACUCAGAUAAGAAGGCAUAUGAGUAGAAUUCUUGAAGAAAUUUUGUAUUGCAGAAUCAGCCACCUGUGUUGGAAAAUAUGUUAUUUAUAAAAUUGAAAUUAUACAAACUGCAAUAAUGAAAUCUUGAUAAUCUCUGUAAAAAGCUUGACGUAUGAUACAAUGGAAUUAAACUGAACUAGUGAAACCUAACAGAAAUGAGAUAUUGAUGUUAAGUAAAAUUACAUCUAAUUGUCUUUUCAUUGGAAUAUGUAUAGACUUGUAUUAAUUACUCUGUUAUUAGGGUAAUACAAGUAUAAAAUAUAUUCAUAUGCCUACUAAUAUCAACCUAAUUAUGUCCCUUUCUAAAAUAAGCUCUCUUUCUUUCUCUCUCUCUCUCUCUCUCUCUCAUAUACAAGUUAGGGUUAGAGAUUGAUUGGUUUGUUAACCUUAUCUUGACUCAAGGUAGUCUUUAAUCAUCUUUUCAUGCCAAUUUUUUUACAUAUCUAUGUAUUUCUUUGGGUUGGGAUGAACUGGAAAUUCACAGGGUUGAGUGAGCUAUCUCCUACACCAUUACAGUGAAGACAUGCAUUAAUUUUAAUAGUAUUUAACCUUUAUUCUAUAAUUUCUUUCCCUUUGAAACUCUGUAACCCUUGUCCAAACAGAUUAUUAACACAUUUGUGAAUAAUCAAUCACUUUGAAGAAACACUUACUAAUGCUUAGUUUUUUUUUGUUUUUUUUUAAUCAAAAUUUCAAUAUAAUUUUCAACAAUAUAGAACAAAGUCUGUUUAAGAUGAUGGCAAAAUAAUUUUGUUCACUUCUGAAUAUAUCAUUUUUCAAAAGAGAGCAAAACUUUUUGAGAGAACAAGUAAAACAAUGAGAGAACCAAAAAUAUUAAAAUUAAAAUACAUAAAAAAUGUUAAAGACCAAAAUUUUUUUUAAAUUCACAUGCAGAAAACAAUUGAUACAUAUGUUAUUACUAUUUAUUCUCAAACAGGCCCUAAAGAGUAUCCCCUAUAAUGGAAGAUGUUUUGGUCAUGACUGACCUGUCUUAUUUUGAGAUAAGUUUACAUUAUAUUAGCCUAUUUUUAAGAAAGUAGGAUCUGUUUCCAGGUUGGUUUGGCUACUCUAGUUCUGGUGGGUUACACAUCUAUAGAAAGUCUUCCUCACUGCUGAACAUGCACAAUGUUACCUAGCUGGUGUUAACAAUCAAAUAUUGGAUCAUUUCACUUAACAUGUUGUGAACAAUUUUUGUAGUUUUUCUUUUCUUUUCCAGAUCACCAGGAUCAGCAAAUUUACUGUAAUUAGCACGGCAUCGAGUGCAGUAUAUAUCCAAAUUUUGAUGCCUUUCUUUGAUGGUUUUAGUAGAAUAUAUUGUUUAAAUUUUAAAUGACCCUUGUAACCAAUCAUAACUUCUUCAAUGAGAACUUCCAGGAAUGUAUUUAAAAUUAGUUCAUGAUAUUCACAAAAGAUUGUAUGUUAGUAAGUUUAUCAUCUCCCGGACUGAUCUUUUGUUAGUACCAUGCAUCAUCUGCCAUUAGUCCUGGCUAUAAUUUUGUGUGUGUGUAUAUAUAUAUAUAUUUAUUUAUUUUUGUCUUAUAUCUAAUUUCUGUAUGAGAUCUGGCAGCUGUCCUGAAAGCUUGGAAAUGUUUACACCUUGAUGUCAAUCACUGUUAGUUUAUAUACACACACACACACACACAUACAUACAUACAUACAUACAUACAUAUUUUAUCACCAGUUAUAGUUUCAUUGUUGCUGACAUCACAAGUACUAAUGUCUCUGCUACAACAAAAUUAAAACAUUUUUCCCUCAGUAUUUUUAAUAUACUGAGAGAGAGAGAACCUUUAAAUUUGACCUUGGGUGUAGUUGACGUCAAUCACAUAUCAUAUGUCACUAUUGAAAAUCAUGUGAGAAAAAUCACUCAAACUAGGUAUUAUAUACUAAAAUUGCAUGACAAGCAUUACAAAUAAUAAUUGUGAAAUGGUUUUCUAAUGGUCAGCAUAAGAAAUUUCCAUUGCAGUUCAAUAUAUAAAUCAAUAAAAUAUUGUUUGAUAAGCAAGAGAACACUCCCAAGAUAUCUCAUGUUUGAUUGUCAUCAAGCAUGUAUCUUGAAAGUGUUUUCAUGAGUUAUUUCUGUAACAGCUGUAAUAUUGGAAUGAUACUUGUUACACUGAUUAUUGCUUAGCAUUUUUGAGUGUACUGUCUCUUUGAUUUCUUUAGUUUCCUAAAGAAACACCUUCCAAAAUAAUGUAGGCAGGGAACAAAUCAGGGUCUGCUCAGAAUGCUCACAGCAAUGAAAUCUAUUAACAGCACUAAAGAACCAAGUAGUAGUGUUUAGUAUAUGCUUGUCUCAGAAAGAUGUUUAUAGAGUCCUUUAAGCCAUUCGCAUUUAAACCAACCAUGUCUGACCCAAAUAUUCUACUUGUUUCAUGUUCAAACAGACCAGAUCCAACCUCUCACACUUAACCUACAAUGUCACUAAAAAUAAAGAAUCACAUAAAUGAAAUCCUGAAGUUGUGGGCUAAUUCAGGAUUAAUUCAAAACAAUGUAAAUAAAUAAACAUUACAAUCGACAGAAUAAUCUUAAUGCUAAAGGGUUAAGGAUUUUAUCUCUAUUUCAUGGUAAUUGAAGUAAGGAUGGAUAACUGUUUCUUGAGCACAUUGAGAAGCAUGGCUAAGCCAGUGAAGCAGAAGUCAAUUCUAAGUGCUAACUACAUGGGUACCUGGUUGUUGAACAAAUAAAUGAUUAAGUUAGCUAAUAUUUUAAAUGGGAUUCUGCAUAAUUUUGUAGUGUAAGCGCAGGAAUGGCUGUGUGGUAAGUAGCUUGCUUACCAACCACAUGACUCCAGGUUCAGUUCCACUGUGUAGCACCUUGUCUUCUACUAUUGCCUCGGGUUAACCAAAGCCUUGUGAGUGGAUUUGGUAGAUGGAAACUGAAGGAAGCCUGUCAUAUAAUAUAUAUAUAUAUAUAUAUAUGUUUGUGUGUCUGUGUUUGUCCCCCCACCAUCGCGUGACAACCACUGUUUGUGUUUAUGUCCCCGUAACUUAGUGGUUCAGCAAAAGAAACCGAUAGAAUAAGUCCAAGGGUCGAUUUGAUUGACUAAAGAUAGUGCUCCAGCAUGGCCUCAAUCAAAUGGCUGAAAGAAAUAAAAGAAUAAAAAAAGAAAAAGAAUACUUUUUUUUUUUACUUAAAAUGUUAUUAUAAAAGAAACUAACACAUGUACACAUACACAUGUGUGUAUGUGUACACGUGUUAGUUCCUUUUAUAAUAACAUUUUAAGUAAAAAAAAAAAAAAGCAUGUGUAUGUGUGUACAAAACAAUUGAUCACUUUAAAGUGCCUCGGGGAAGAACAUAUUGUAGGAACCCCAUGAAUUUCCAGAAUUAAUAUAAUACCAGCCAGAAUCUUCAGGAUCCUAACUGGUAUUAUGAAUUAUCAGUAAAUAAAACUCACAAAAAAAGGAAUAUAUGCCAUAAGGGAGAUGAGGAGAGGGGACAUGAUUUCUAGUAUUUUAGGCAGGUUCUUUUGUCUAUGAAUCUCAUUAUAGAAUUGAUGGAAGAACUACAGAUAUGUAUAAAUUUAUCAUCAUCAUUUAAUAUCCAUUUUCUAUGCUGACAGUCUGACCAGAUGCAAUGAGUCACAGGGCUGCAGCAAGUUCCACUGUCAGCUUUGGCAUAUUCCUAUGGCUUGAUGUUCUUCCUAACACCAACCACAUGAUUCAUAUUUUUUUUUUUUUUGUGCCAACAUCACUAGUGAGACUGAUAAGUCACUUGCCUGAUAAAAAAAAAGAACUAGGUAAAAGGGAAAACUUUCGUUACUAAGUCGAGGGGAGGUGGCUUUAUGCGAAGUGUUGAAAGGGACAAGCAUAUAAAAUUUGAUAACUGUUAUGAAGUGAUUCUGAAGAAAAAUUGAGAUGUGAGUGAAAAGCAGAUUAGCAGAGCAUAAUUCUUUGAAAGUCAUGGUGCUAUUAAUAUUUACACAACAAUUAAGAAGACUUAUGGUAAAGAUUUAUUGUAGUUGAGGUAAUGAGCCGAAAAGUUUUAAUUAAAUAAAAUUAGCGUUUAUAUUCUAUCAUCAUCAUCAUCGUUUAACGUCCGUUCUCCAUGCUAGCAUGGGUUGGACGGUUCGACCGGGGUUCUGGGAAGCCAGAAGGCUGCACCAGGCUCCAGUCUAAUCUGGCAAUGUUUCUACAGCUGGAUGCCCUUCCUAACGCCAACCACUCCGUGAGUGUCGUGGGUGCUUUUUACGUGCCACCUGCACAGGUGCCAGGCGAGGCUGGCAACGGCCACGGUCAGAUUGGUGUAUUUUAUGUGCCACCGGCACGGAAGCCAGUCGAGGCGGUGCUGGCAUCGGCCACGAGUCGGAUAGUGCUUUUUACGUACCACCAGACCAGGGAUCCUGGCUGGUUCAAUUCGAUUUCGAUUUCGCUUGCCCCAACAUGUCUUCACAAGCAAAGGGGUUGGCAUGGGUGCCUGUCGUACGGUCGCAUUGGAGUAUUUUACGUGCCACGGCCACGAGUCGGAUAGUGCUUUUUACGUACCACCAGACCAGGGAUCCUGGCUGGUUCAAUUCGAUUUCAAUUUCUAUAUAAACAAAUAUUCUUUUUUACUAAUUCAUAAGAGGCAUUCUGGUUUUAUGCUGUAGCUAUUUUAUAUUGUUGAAGCUGGUCAAACUGGGCAUUGUACAGAUGUUUAAGGAUAGACUUCUCCAGUGUCGACUACUGUGUUAUGUGUGUGUGUAUCAUCUAUGUUUCCAUGCAUGCAUGGGCCAGGCAGAAUUCACUGAGACAGAUUUUUAACAGCUUAAUUCUCUUCCUAUCACCAAGAAUCAAGCAAGGUUAUACUUCCCCAUAGCUGGAUAUGGUUUUACAAAACACUGAUAAUGAAUGGCACCACUUAUAGAACAGUGACACUCAUUUACAACCAUCAUGUUGUUAUGUCAAAGAAAUGCAUACACACACAAUUGAAGAGUUUUAUAUUGUAGGUACUUGGUGACCUCACCGGUGCUGGUACCAUGUAAAAAGUACCCAGUACACUCUUAAGUGGUUGGCAUUAGGAAGGGCAUCGAGCUGUAGGAACCAUGCCAGCAUGGAAAUGGGAAUGUCAAAUGAUGACAAAUAAAUAUAUAUAUAUAUAUAUAUAUAUAUAUAUAUAUAUAAUUUCUGUCUAACAAGUCUUCUUACAAGGCUUUGGUGGAAGACACUUGCCUAUAGUAUCACACAAUAGGAUUGAAACAUGAAACUAUGUAGUUGGACUGUGAAUUUCUUAACCACAUAACCAUGUCUGCCGAAUACAUUGUAGCAAAGUGAAACGAGAUGAUUAAAAAGUUUAACUGAGUAGAAUGUAUAAACCAUUACAAUUGCAAUGUUGAAUCUUUGUAAAGGAAAUAUACCAGUUCAAGUAUAUACAUUUUGAAUUCUCAUAAAACCCUGGACCAAUAGGAAAAUCAAUAUUCUGGCAAUGAUCAAUAUAGUAUGUUUCACACAAGUAUAUUAGUAUAUUUCUAGCAAGAUUGAGCAAAGAAUUAACCAUACCUUUUUUAUUUACACUGCCACUCAAUUAGUACAACCACUUAAUGCAAAUCUAAGAAUUGCGGCAUUUUUUUUCCCUAAGUAUAUUACUUUUCUAUUGUGUUAGGGCAAUAAAGAGAUUUCUGAGGAAGAUCUAGUGAUGGCUGCUUCUGUGUAUAUAUAUAACUCAUGCUUGCUUGCAUUUCAUUUAAAUAUAAAUUCACCAUUCUGUUUCUUAUGCUGUUAAGAGGUAGCCAAUAUCAAGGCCAAAUAAAAUGGUGAGCUGGCAGAAUUGUUACCAUGCCGGACAAAAUGCUUAGCGACAUUUCAUCCAUCUGAGUUCAAAUUCUGCUAAGGUCAACUUUACCUUUCAUCCUUUCAGGGUCAAUGUAACUGACUUAUCCCCUCCCCUGAAAUUGCUGACCUUGUGCCAAAAUUUGAAAUCAGUAUUAAGAUCAAAAAAAAAAAAAAGGCAAGUUGAGAAAUAAUUCACAGAUUUAUCUAAUCCAAUAUCUCAGAGAAACUGAUAUGAUCCUCUUGUAGCUAACUCCCUAUUGUAUUAAAUUUAACCUUUUUGAUACCACCUAAGACCACUUCCAAUUGUAUCAUAUAAACCUCCAUCAAAAUUUCAUAUUAAAGUACAAAAUGCCAGCUUAAUAUUGACAAAGCGUUUUUUCACUAAAUUCUUCAUUUUCAAAAUUAAUUGAAAUAAAUGCAGUGUAUUUCAACAGAAAUAUGCUAACAAAAGGGUUAAGAUUUCUGCUGCUAUUUAUCUGUACAAAAUUUGACGUAAAUUCUUUUGGCAUUUCAUAAAAGCUAUUGUAUUUCUCCUUACCCUGCUGUUAAUUUAAAUAGAAUCAAUAGUUGCUACUAGUCAAAACCGUAUCCACUUGAGUCCACCUAUAUUUGAAGUAGUGAUAUCAAAUAACUAGUGCAAUCAGGACUAACUAUUAUUGAUCACUCACUAAAUAUAAACCAUAUUUUUAUCUUAAAAUUUCAUGUAUCUUGAUAUAUUACCUAUCUUUUGGUAUAAUUAUAGAACUAAACUAUUUUCUUUUGUUAACAAUUCAAAUGAUGAUCUUCAUAGCCAUAAUUCACAUCCUGUCAACAAAAUCUAAUUAGUUUAUUUCUUACAAAGAUAAAAUUUUGAGGGUUAUUUUUUUAUUGUUACCUUAUUUUUUGUUUCUAGUUUCACUGAUGGUUAAAUUUAGCAGUAUAGAUUCAAUUAAGCCUUCUUCUGAAAUAGAAUUAUUUUUUGUUGCUUUUUGUUCCAUUUUAUUCAGCUGCAGAUUUAAUUCAUCAAAAGCAACAAUAGCAUCUUCACCUGAUUCCUUUGGAGGGUAUUAAUAUCUAAGGAUAUUUGCUGCCUCUGAUUUGUGUUCUUGUUUCACAACAAUAUUCUUUACUCCAGUUCUACAAGCACUUUAAUUGACAAUUAAAUAUCACUGGUCAGAAAAAAAUUAAAAAUUCCUCUCUUGAGGUUAACAUUUUAACUUGCCAUUAAUUCAAAAUAACAUUAUGAGAAAUCAGGUAACCUGAGGAAAAUAGAAACCUAAGUAGAGAAUAAAUCUGGUUUUUAAUUAUGAUUUUUGUUUGUUUUGUAACUUCUGUUAUUUACUGCAAUCAUAAACAUUAAAGACAUUUCUUUUUUGUGGUGUAGGGGUAGUCAGUGUUAUUUGUAAAAAAUAAAAGAGAGAAAGAAAAAAGUCACAAAUAUUGAUUCUAAUAGAAUUUGCCUGAAACUCCUACUUUAUUUUGUCUAAACUGCAAUCAUUACAGUUACUGGCAAUUCUGGAAUUAUUCUUUAUUGAACACUGUUUAAAAGCUUCUGUAAUUUUUUUUUUUUUUUUUAAUGAUGAAAUAAUGCAACACUACUGCUUCUCAAAAGAAAAAGAAAAAAAAACUGAGACUAAUGUAAGAGUUUACAAUUACAUGCAUUUAGAUUAUGCUGAUCAAUAUUUAAUCUUCUUGAUUAUUCUGUAAUUUGAUAUUUUGAGAUGAUAGAAAUCUUCUUUCAUAGAUAUGAAAAGCUGUUUUUAAACACUAAGCUAUAACUUUUUUCCUGCUCUCAGAGUAUAUUGUGUUAUAUAUUAAAUGCAAUAUUUAUUUCUAACAUUGAUGCCUUCAGUAAUGGAGUGUUCACAGAAUCAGUUUCAUUUUUGCUUUCUUUUUCUUUGUCUUUUACAUAUUCCCAUUCCUUUUAAAUGUAAUGAUGCCUAAUAAUUACUGUAUGUCAGUUGGAAAUAGGACUUUUUUUUUUAACUCCUAAUGCUUAUUCUAAAUAAUAUGUAACUUCAAAAGAUUUCUUAGGUAAAACUAGUUUCUAUGAACACUUAAUGCAACUGGUGCCUUUGUGUUGUGCAGGUCAUGAAUGGAUUGUAUGUGUGUCACUACUGUUUACCAUUACAAAUAAAAUAGUACAUAAUAUAGGCUAUUACUAAUAAAAUAGUACAUAAUAUAGGCUGACCUAAAAAUAUGUUCAAAGCUAAAAUAAAAGUUAGAUCAUGUGCUAGAGUCACACAUGGUUUGAUGUUUCAAACUGAGUAAUUAUGCAUUAUUAACAUUUCUUCAUCAGUACCAUAAUUUAAUUCGGUAUCCAAACAAGGUUGACUGGACUACAAUAUUGUUUUGCUACAAUUAUUUUGAUGUUUUGAAUAGUAACUGAAUUUUUCUGCAAAUUAACAGAGUAAUAAAAUAAUUUUGUAAAUACACAUAUGUGGGAUGUUUUUCUCUUUUUUUUUAUGUAUUCUGGAGAAUAAAUGAUGAUAUUACAGAUUAUUAUGGAUGGCAACACAGACAUGAUACAAAUUAUGCUAAGACAAUAAUUAUUUAUGUAUUUAAACUAGAUUUUCUUCUCUCUCUUACUUCUAACUAGCUCUCUCUCAAGCCUACAGACAAGGAAGACAUACGGACAGUUUGUUUCUCUUUUUUUUUUAUGUAUUCUUUGAAGCUCAUUGUGAUAAAAGACAAUAUCACAGAUUAAUAUAGAUCACAACACAGAGACAUGAUAUUAAAUUAAGCUUAAACAAUUAUCUCUUUAUCUACUUACACUAACAUGCUGUCUCACUUAGUAAAUGCAGUUGCUCAGUAACAUGAGCUUGCCCACUACGAACACUUUCUGUCUUAAGUAUGACCAGCUGCCAUUACUUUAUCCUGACAGUGAGAAAUUUUAUGUGAUCACACGAGUGGUCCUGACUAGAGUGCCUUGGAACAUAGUUCUUCAGUCAUAUUAAAGGCAACCUAACUAGAGUAUUUCUACAGAGUGGAAUAUAGACUUGGAAAACUACAGUAAAGGUAGCCUGCCUAGGAGAGUAGUAACUGAAUUAAAAAUCUGGACAGAGGAGAAAAUAAUUCUAAAAGUUGUAGCAAAGGCAACCUGCCUAGAAAAACAGUAACUCUACAAACUGACAGUGUAUAGAGAGAACAUUUUAGACUUGAAAGGCAACUUCUCUAGAGUGGGUGGCUUGCUAGAAUGCAUCCAAACUAUACUGUAAAGUGGAUGGAGAUAGGAACAGCAUCCCACCAAUGAAACCAAGCCAAAAUCAUGACAAUCACGAAUGCAGUGAAAAUUUCUAAUUGAGUAUACAGGACAAUCAUUCACUAUGUCAAUACUGCUCACUGUAGUGAAGUAGUCAGGUGGGAAUAUUUGACGAUGCGUGAGAAGCUUUUGACCAUUAUCAAAUGAUUGCACCAACUUUCUACUUUUUUAAUGUAGAAAACAGAGGUGAAACAACCUAACCAUGACUGGGAACUUUAUUCUUACAAAAUUUCUUGGCUGCUACAGUCAACAUUGGCACAGUAGAAAGUAGUUUAGGAGAAAUUGCAAAGAUGUUUAUGUGGAUGUAAGUAGAUGUAUACUGUGCAGAAUAGAGGGUGGGGUUUGACCAAUGUCUUCACCAGCAAAGAACAAUGGAUAGCAAGAGCAACUGAUAUUAAGGAAAUGUGAGAAAAGUUAAAUUUAAACUAAUAGGUAAUACAACAUCAAAAGUGAUCUCUUUAUGUCUUUCCAAUAAGGACUAACACAUAAACAAAAAGGACUAUUUCUAUAGAGUACCUGGAUAACAAAUGACAGCAGCUUCAUUACUUCAGCUAAUGGCUUUAAUGGACAUAUUGCAUAGCACUGUGAUGGCUGCUCCAGUAUCCAUGGAGGUUAUGAUACAUGGAAUGAAGAGAGAUCAAGGCUCCUAACCAUUUGCAAUGCUAACUUCAGGAAACCUGCCAACCACCUGACUCCUAAUUACCUACCAAACAGAUGAAUAUGCAAACCAGGUUGUCCAUAACCACCAAGAAAUGGAACAGACAGUUGAUUAUGAAUACUAAUUCUGCUAAUAGAAAGUGUAAAGUACAAAAUGAUGGAGCAUGGAGAGAUUUGGAAUAAAAUAAGUAGCGUGUCUACAGGUUUUGGAUUUCUCAUAUGAGAGAGUGGUAUACCAAUAAAUUUGUUAAAUAUUUAGUAUGAUCCUUUCAGAUAUUCUAUGAAGCAUAAUUUCACUCCUUGUAAUUUUUAGUGUGUAUUUUGUUUUUGUUUUUUGUUGUUUUUUUAAGAGUGGGGAUGUUCAGAAAAAGCAAUUUAAAUUUGUUAGUUAAACAAGAUACAGAUUAGACACUCAAGCAACUAUCUGUAUUACUAACUUCUUCAUUCAAAUAUUAUCAUUUAAUUUAAUCAGCAGCAUUUUGUAAAACAUCACAUGUCCAUUAGAUUUUGUUAAUGAGAUAGUGAAGAUUAAUUUAAAUUAAAACCAUAUUCUAAUCUACAAAUAUGUAAUUUACAAAAGUAAUUUACUUUGAAAAAUCAGAAUUUUAUAAUAUAUCAGCAAACUUUAUAAUAUUCACUGGCUGAAAUGGAAAUUACAUUUUAAUUACUUAAAAAAGAAAAUGUUGGUGAAAUUUUCAGCCUGUUAUUUUUAAUGUUAGCAAAAUGGUUAAUAUAAUUAGAUAACUAGGAGAGGUAAUUCAUUGAACUCACAUUUAAGAAUUAGAAGCAGAAAUAUCUGUACAAAUAAUUAAGAGAAACAACACUUGUAAAUUCUGAUGUUAUAAUUAAAUACAUUCAGAUAGUAUUGUUGCUUUACACAUUUUCUGAUUCCACAUAAAUCAAUACCCUUUGACCUUUUCAUUACUAUACACCUAACUAAAAUACACCCCAACGUCUUUCAAUUAAUUUCCACAAUAAUUGUGGUUUAGACUGGUUUCAUAAAAUAAUUAUGACACAUUUUAUUUAUUAAUAUAUCAAUAUGAUGUUUCAAAUAAAACAAAUAUUUCUCUCAUAAGUCUAUUAUGAAAUUCAUCUUCUGAUAACUGGUAAGUAAAGGUAAAAUAUUAAUUGAAUUUAUUACCAAUAUUAUAUUAGGAAGCUUACUAAAAUGCUCAUAUUUUUAGUAAAUAAACCCUGGUUAUGACCCAGUUUGUCCUUUCCUCAAGUUUAUAUUUUCUGUAACAAAUAGACUCUGAUGCAUUAUAAUAGCUCUUAAAACCCUAUACCACAAAUAUCCACAGGUGUCACUAAAUUUUAAAAUGCAUGAAACCACAGUUUUAAUAGCAUUGUUGUUUAAGGCUUCUGGGUGAGAAACAAAGUUUAGUAUCAUUUAAGAAUGAACUUCUUGUCAAAAGACUUCCUAUUUGCACCAUGAAUUUUUUUUGUUUUUGUUUUUAUCAAAUAAAUUUCUCUAGAUGUUUUCUUACUUUGAUUUUCAACCAUAAUGGCAGUUUAUACCCCAACCAGUGAGUUAGAAUUUAAUAGCUUUAAUUGAUUACUUAGCUUGACAUCUUUUCAAGCACAGCAAACCGUCAGGAGUCUCAGUCCCUUAUCAUCCCUUCUGUGAGCCCCAACGUCUGCAGAUCCUUUCUCACCACUUUGUCCAAUGUCUUCCUGGAUCUACUCCUUCCACAUGUUCCCUCUACAUUUAGAGAUUGGCAUCUCUUCAUGCAACCAUCUUCAUUCACAUACAUUACAUGCCCUCUUUUUCUAAUAGGAGUUUUGCAACUUCCAAGAUAGAUAUUAACUGGAGCACAAACUCAGCAUUGAGACAGGAAAGGAUGUAAAUAUACUUCUAAUGAUCUUUGUAUAAUCAACUUAACUGUAUUCAACUACUUUGGCAAGUGAAAGUAACAUGAGAAAGAUAAUAACCACAUUCACAAUGUUCACCAACAAACAUAAAUUGCCACAGCAAAUUUUAUUCAAAUUUAAGCAGCAGUUAUAUUUUUAUAAUUUUAACUGGAAUAACUAUGCUUCAUCAAGAUCUAAUUUCUAACAGGAUUGAGAGAUUUACAUAGAUAAAGCACUACAGGAAUUUAAAAGAUAAAUACUAGAAUUGGAGGGAUAACAGAUAAGUUUGAAAGAGAAAUACUUUAAACCAUUCUCUUUCUGGAAAUCAUUGUUUUCACUGCAGCUGUCCAGCAGUGUUUACACACUGGAAUAUUCAAACAUCCUGUUUCAAGUUCACCAUAUGUUAUUUUUUACAUAUAUUUUUUUUGUUCUAUUUUCUGCUUUCAAAAAUUAAAUUCAAAUUCAGGGUCGUUAUUGCUGAAACUAGAGCUUUUCUAGCUUUACAUAAUUUAAAGAACAGAACAGUACAUAAUAGAAAUACGAGGUGGUGGUUUGGAAAAAUAUCAGAAAUAUUUGGAAAACAAAAUUCUUGUUUAGAAAUGCUGAACAUCAGCAUUGUUUUAACAUCCACUUUUCCAUAAUUGCAUAGGUCAAAUGGAAUUUAUUAACCCUUUCGUUACCAAACCGCCCAAAGCCACCUGAAAAAAAUUUUGGUUAAUGUGACCAAACCGCCCAAACCCGCCCGUAUUUACCUAUUCAUGUUUAAAUGAGAAUAUCAGAGCAAAUCUCUUUAGUACAUUCGUGAAAACACGUGAUUAUACUUCGUAAACAGUUCAUCUACAGUUUUGUACAACGAUCGAAGUGUAAUUUUAAUUCUGUGAAUUUUGGGAGAUUUUUUUCCGAAAUUUGUUCCUAUUGUGUUUUCAAAAUUUGUAAUUCUGACAAAAAAUGGAUAUGAAUUUCAUUAUAUCAAGCAGCGAGUCAGAAUUUGAAGGAUUUUCUACUGAAGACCUUGAUAAAUCUAAUUCUAUGACUGAAAAAAAAAAGCACGUGGUAUUUGAUAAUGAAUCUGAUGUUUCAUUUUCUGAAAGUGAAAACAGUGAAUCCAAGAGCUCCGACAGCGAUAAAGAAAAUGAAUUAGCACCUGAAUCAAGUGAAAAUUUAAAAACUGUUUCUUUCGGUGAUUUUUCUGAAGAAACUGAACCAAGCCACAGACUUUCCCAGGAGAGUAAAGCCUUAGACUAUUUCUUUUUACUUUUUCAAAUGAGCCUAUUUGAAAUCAUUAUGGCGGAAACGAACUGUUACGCUAAAUGUAAUCAAAGCGAAAGAAAGGAUAGUUAGUGGUUUCCAACAACCUUAAAUGAAAUUAAGACUAUUUUGCCAUAAAUAUUAUUAUGGGUAUCAGAAAGUUACCCACAAUAACAAAUUCUAUCAUAAAAUUUUGUUGUAUACCCAAUUGAAUAUUAGCUAAUAACCCAUUUUCUAUAGCGAUGUUUGAACAAAAUUUUAAUAAUUUUAUAUUUUGUUGAAUUUACCUGUAUCUACCUGCAAUUAGAGUCACUUUGUGACAAAAAUUAUAGUAUAGAAUUGGUUGAGAACAUUUCAUUGAAUUAUCUUCCAAAAUUCAUGUUAAUAUAUUGAUAAAUAAAAAAGUUAUAGUUGUUUAAUGAAACCAGACUAAAUUUGAUUAUGUUAGAAAUUAAUUGAAACACAUAAGGGGUGUAUUUUGGUCAGAAAUAUAGUAACAAAAGGGAUAAGGUAGAAUUUCUUUGGUUUGAUGUCCUUCUUUUGCCCACUCUCAUUUGUUUCCAAAUAAGGCAAUAUUUCUCCAUGACUGGACAUUUUUACAGAAGACUGGAAAUGGAUGACACCACUUGGUUCAUUGUGACACAUAUUUACAACUAUUGUGAUGUGAAGUCAAGAAGGUGCAAACGUACCACAUUCACCUACGACAAGCUUCUUUCAGUUUCCAUCAACCAAAUCUACUAACAAACCCAGGAGAGUAAUAGAAGAUACAAAGACAUUUACCCAAUGUACCAUGCAGUAGGACUGAACCAAAGCAAUAUAGUUGGGAAGCAAGUGUCCUAACAAGACAGCCAAUGUGUAGCAAAUGUUUUAGCUAGUGAAAUUAUUUAUUAUCAUUUAUGCAAUGACCAUAUUUACAUCAAUAUUUUCAUUUAAGUAUGAAUAUUUCAAUGCAGGUGGUGCCAGACACUUAGGUAGCCUACAAUUAUAGGCAAUAGUAGAUGACUUGGUAAUAAAAACAUUAAAUAUAUUCAAUUUAUCAAAUAUGUUGUUCAUUCAUUUCAAUAUAUUUAUCUUUUCAUCAAUUUGCUUCAAAUUAAUUUGCUUAGUUUCUUUAAAGGGGAGGUUUAGUUGAUUGCCUCGACCCCAAUGCUUAAACUGGUACUUUAUCAGCCUCAGAAGGUUGAUAAAGGUGAAGUCAGCCUCAGUAGGUUUUGAACUCUGUAAGUAAAGGAGUAGAGUACUGCAAAGUAUUUUUCCUGGGGUUCAGCCCUCUAAUCCCCACCCAUUAUUUAUUAUAAUCUGGUCAUAUGAAUGUGUUCAUAUUUUGAAACAAUUUUCCAGAAAUAACAUAAUUGAACAGUUUAAACUUCAUGUGAUAUAUUUAUCAAACCACAACCAUUGUUGGUUUCAAAUUUUGGCACAAGGCCACCAAUUUCUGGGAGGGGUUACUUGAUUACAUCAAACUCAGUCCUCAAUUCAUACUUAAUUUAUCGACCCUGGAAGGAUGAAACAAGUCUACCUUGACAGAAUUUGAACUCAGAAGAUAAAGACAGAUGAAAUGCUGCUAAGUUUUUUGCCCGGCAUGCUAACAAGUCUGCAAGCUUGCUAAUUCAACCACAACCAUUAUUAAUGUGUUAUAUAAGGUGGUAAGCUGGCAAAAAUCGUAAACAUGCCAGACAAAAUGCUUAGCAGUAUUUCAUUUGUCUUUAUGUUCUGAGUUCAAAUUCUGCCAAGGUUGACUUUGCUUUCAUCUUUUCAGGGUCAAUGAAAUAAGUACCAGUUGAGAUAAUCAAUUACAUAACCCUAACCCUUGCCCAAAAUUUCAGGCUUUGUACUUGUAUUAAAAAGGAUUAUUAAUGUAUUAUAUUGAAAUAUAUUUUUCUAAUUUGUGUAUGUGAUUUCCUUUUUUUCCAGAUUUCAAUGUAUUAACCUUGCUAAAGACUCAUGAGUGCAAACAAAAGUUGAUAGUUUAGGUAAGUUAUCUUAACAGUUAUUUAUGAUUCACCUUAUUUUCUCUUUCUCAUAAAAAAUAUUGAAAAAAACAGAUGCAAUCAAUCUAAAUGGGCUAAGUACUGGACCAUUGAUCAAAACUUCCAGUUGGUCUCUUUGGCAAAGCAUAUUAAUUGUCCUAAACUAAAAUAAUAAAUAUACAGCUCAACUGAGUUGCUAAUAUAAUUAGAAUAAAUAUAUAUCUGUAGGCAUUGCUUCUGUAAUUCAGACAGUUGUCUGAAUUUUCAGAACAUUCUUGAAUUGUUUUUGUUAUUUUUUAAUGAAUAAAAAUAAUACAAAAUAUAAUUGUAAAAUAUUAUAAAGAAAUAGAAUUGAUUAUUUCUGAAAUAAAAAAACUUUUUUUUUAACAAGUGUUUUAUAACAAUUUCAAUCAAACCAGUGCAAUUACUUGAAUAUUAUAUUUUUAAAAAUCUUCAAUUAUUCAUUUUCUACAUGUCAUAGAUUAACCAAAAUGCUGUGUUUUAUUGUGUAAGACUGGAACAUAUUUAUUUCACAUUACAGCAGAAGUACCUUCCUGGAAACUAAUGUUUUUAGAUACUAAGCAAUAAUGUGGAUUUUUUUUUAACUGUGAAUAUGAAUAGGGAUUUUCUCCCCCCCCCCCAUGUGUAUUCCACUUAUGAAUUAAAUCAGACCAAUAACAUUUUUACAAUCUUUUUUCCAAUGUUUUAUUAAAUAACUCAUUGUUUUACACCAUCUGUUGCACUUACAAGUCAAUAGAUAGGCUCUUAAAUGAAAUUAAACUUGUUUCUUUUCUAUUGCAAGAUUAUUUUAUUUCAUUGCUUAUAUUAUUAUUAUUAUUAUUAUAUAUUGUGAAAGAAAGGAUAUAUGAGAGCCAGAAAUCAAAGAAGGGACACUAAUAAAAACAUUGGUGUCCUUAGUGUGUAUAAGAUACACACACAAUGGUGCCACAUAAAAAGCACCCUGUACAUUCUGUAAAGUGAUUGGCAUUAGGAAGGGCAUCCAACUGUAGAAACCAUUCCAAAAUGGACUAUGGAACCCAGAGCAGUUCCUGGCCUUGACAGUAUGGAAAAUGGAUGUUAAAUGAUAAUGAUGACAUAUACACACAUGUAUAUAUGUGUGUAUAUGUGUACAUAUAUAAAACCAGGUUAUCCCCUGCAACUACAGUAUUUACUUUUAACCCACUUACAUUACAGUAUAACAACACAAUGUCAUGUCUGAUUCAAACAAAUGCAAAGCAUACAUCCUUAGCAAAGUAGUUAUAUAGACCAGCAAUUCACUAUAUCUAACAAUGUAUUGGAUUGUCAUUAUACUCUUGUUAAACACCAAAUAAUUAGACUAACACAUGCCUUUCAAAUCCACUUUGUGUUCUUGUAGUGGCCACCACUUUAAAUUCUUGAACUGGGUUGGUAAAUUAAAAAUAAUAUGUUGUCACACUACACUCCACAGAGCCAUGCACUUCAAAUGGUGUAGGAUAUCAAAAUAAAGCAUUUGUUUUGUUUUCUAGACACUCUAUGAGUGGGUUGACUGCCUACCAUUAAAUCUUGCAUAUUUGUGGUAUGGAUCUUUCUCAGCAAGUAGAACUACCAAGCUAUCCUGAGAUGUUAAACAACAAAGUCAGUUCUGGGCUCAAAAUUCUGGAAGACCAAGAAAGAUGAAAAUGAAACAAAUUGACAUACAUCAUAUGUAAUUUAAAUUGAGAGUAAACAAGCACUGCUUUGUGGAUAAAUUACACCUAUUUUAUGUUUAUAAACAAUAACUUUGUAAUAGUUUGCAGUACAUCAUGAGUUAACAUUAUUGGUAGAUUCCUGAAAAUGGUGACUAUAAGUGAUACAUUGCUGUGACAAAAAGGAAAAUAAGACCAGGUUAGAAUAAAUGUUGAUAAUCAUCACUUGCACACUAAGCAUAGUGAUGUACUUUUAUACUACAUUUUUCUUUUACACUUUUUUCAUUUUUUUAAAUUCUUUUCGACAACAUUUUGAAAAUAUGAAACUGAAUACAGGAAAAUUUGUUAAAACUGAAAAAUAUUUAGUAAUGUCAUUAUAUUUAGGCAUUAAACUUCAAUAAGAAAUUGAAUUACAAAUUAAGAGUGUCUGAGUAGUUAAAUUCUAAAGAUACAUCAUGGGUUUAAUUCUGCUAGAAAUUACCGAUUUUAAAAUUUGUAGAGAGUAAAAAUUCUUAGCAUCCCAUACAAACUUGUCAUUUUCAGUACCAUAACAUAUUACAAAUUUUUUUUUUUAAAUUACAAAAUACUCAGCCAUUGAUACAAUUUUUACCUAGUUCAAGUAAAUUUGAUACCAGUCUGCAGAGGUACAUUAGUAAUGAGCCAGUGAAUAGCUUUUAUGUAUUCACUUAACCUGUGAGAAACAGCAGCCAAAUUUUCCUCAAACUACACCUUACAGUCUUGAAUAGGAAGAAUAUUUUGGGUAAUGUACUCAUAAAUACGCAAGUAAAGGAGAAGGGUUUUAGUUAGAACACAUUUGAUCACAAGUCUACUUAGGGCUGAUUUCAGGCAAUGACAACUGCAUCAGUUUUUCUUAGAAUAUACCAAUUCUGCUUACCCUAGCAACAACUCUCUUUUCUUUUUCCUUGUCACCAGCCACUUAAAAUACAAUCUCUAGGGAUCAGUGCUAUAAUUCAUUAACUGACUUCUAUUCACAUACUGUAGUUAUGGAUAACAAACACAGUGAGGCGAAGUCUACAACAUUAAAACUUUAUGCACUACAUGACCAUGUCAAGAAAAAAAUAUAUACCCACUGACAAUCAAAACCUGUUAUAUGACAAUAAAAUAAAAAAAAAUUAUGAAAUAUGGAAGAAUGUGCAAUAAUUUCAAACUAGACUUAAUUCUCAGUCUCCAAGUCGUUCAAAUAUACAUCUGCUCAAACUGGACAGACAGAGGACAUUUAACAAUGCAGUUAUUAGUCUCACUGUGGCAGCAGAAGAGGAUAUCUUGGAAAAUAUUAAAUUUUAAGGCUUCUUGCUAUUGUUUAUACUUAUUCUCUUGAUUAAAUAAUAUUGGUUUGUAAUAAAGAUUAUCUUAAAAUGAA
rnacentral:lncRNA from 1 species